CUUAAAAGUCUCUCAUAUUUGUUGUAAUUUUUCAAACCUUUUACACAUAUAUAUAGGUGUGUUGUAGUUAUAAAUAUAUAUAUAGGGCACACACACACAUCAAUUCCGUAGGACCAAAAUCCCUACACUCUCCUCACCAUCCGCCGUAGGAUCAAUCAUAACUCAAUCAAUCUUAUAAACCUAACCAUACGGCUACUGUAUCACAUAAUACAUAUAUACACAAUCCUUUUCUACCUCAUCCUUAUUGGACAUUAUUUUAGUGUAUAUUAAUGAUGGUCCAAAGCCUACAUGCGAGCCUAAGCUCAACAAAUUUGAGAGACGACGGUGAAAACCUAUACUAGGUUCUAAGUCGUCAAUUGAUCAAAUCGAGAGUAUUAUUGUUAUAUAGAAGGAAAAUGAUGUUCGUAUACAACGUGACAUUGAGUGAAUGACUAACAAAAUUUCAUAAAUUACAGCUUUUAAUAAACCAUCUAACAACAUUGUUGACACUCUAUACGCUUGUAGGCUACAAAUUGACCUUACUGUAAAUAGUGUCAUUUAACAAUUCGAAAUGAUAAAAAGUAAACUCUCGAAUAAGAACUUCGAUGUUUCUUUAUAUGUGCUUGUUUGAACUACUACACACUUUCUACACUAACUUAAGCAUAUGGGUAUCAUUAACUUGAUACCUCACAAAUGUACUCUUACGUUACGUCGUAGACGAGAUUAAAGCAGAGAAGCGAAACAAAUGAUUUACCAAAGACAUGUGACAAUUAUGAAUUCCUUUUUGUCCUAGUAUUUGUCGCAAUAAUUUAAAAUAUAUGUAUAUAUAUAUAUAUAUAGAUAUUGUGGUGCUAUUCGAUUACAUUAAAUAGCUAGGAAAGGCCUUUAAACUUUCCCCUACUCUAUAAUGGCCUACGUAUUUAAUCCUACAUACAUAUUAUUACUACUUCACUUCUCUCCAUUUGCAUCAACAUCAUCACUUCCUAACAUUCAAAUUAAUAUUAACCCUUCUGACACUGUUCUUCAUUACUUCCCCUCUUCUUUCUUCCACUUCCUAACCUUAUUUAACUUGGUCCUAGUAUAAGUUAAAAAAGUGCCUUUAAGUUUUAAUGAGCUUAAUAUAUAUAAAUCAAUACAUAACCCAAGUUUUAAUGAAAGUACCUAGUGAGAGAUACAACCGAAGACGCAAGUCCAAAUAGAAAGAAUGAAUGAACUUGAAGAGAACUCGAAGACUAUAUCAUUGUAAGAGAAAUUGUCCUUGUCUCUUUAUGUAAUUACCUCAACAUGAUCAUCAAUAUACUAGCUCUCAAGUAGAUGAUAGCUAUGAGGUCACGUAGGAAAAGCCUAUACUACUAUUGAUCGAAUAUUAUAUUUAUUCACAAUUAUAAAGUUGUUUUCAUAAAUAUUUGUGAACUUCACAUUACUUUUAAAAGCAUACUAACGCGACACACAAUAAAUAAAGAUAACAUAAAAAAAAAUUAUUUUGACUUAGUACCACAAUUCAAUUAACAAAAUCUUGUUAACCUAAACAUUAGAGUGGGUAUAACCUACCAUUACACCCAUAAAACAUCUCAUAACACAAGUAUGAAGAGAAUGAAAAGAAUAGGAAUUGAAAAAAGAAUCCAAAAUUACAAAAGAUAUAAGGCUAAGAUUGUUAAUAUGUGUUGUCUUUGUAGAAAAAGAAUGAAAAAGGUGAAUAAGUAGAAUUGGAUGGAGGGGUGGGCGAGAGAGGAUUAGUUUAGAAACAGGAUGGAGAGGUAGGAGAACUUGUCCGAUCCGGGGUCGGUCGUUGACCCGAACCGACUUUUUUUUUGUUCUUUAAAUUUCCUUAUUAAUUAUAAGUAAUUGAAAAGGAAUUAUUAAUAUAAAUAUUUAAAUAAAGAAAAAGACGGUUAAUUUGGUAAAAUGGGGGAGUGAAAAAUCACAUUUUCCAAUGAAUAUUUAUAUAUAUCCCCAUAGAUGCGAGGGCCUAAGGAGUGAGGUACCUGUAUUUCUCAGAGAAAAGAAAAGCAGAGAUCUUUUUGGGCCUAUCGAUAACUAAAAGAGAAAAGCCAAAGAACCCAACAUUUUAAAAUUUUAAUAAAUACCCAUUCCAUUCCAAACACCAACCAAGAACAAUCAACAAUCCUAACUUAACAUUGUCUUCUUCUUCAUCAUCAUCUUCUUUCUUCUUCUUCUUCUUCUUCUUCUUCUUCUUCUUCUUCCACUUUUCUUUCCCUUUUCUUUCUGAUGAUCCCCAUGCCAUACUCUGCUUUUCUUUUGUCCCCUUUCACCCACAAUUCAGAUCUAUCUUCUUCAUUAAUUUAAACCACCUUUUUCUUUGCUUUUUUGCUUACUCUAUAACUUUUUCUCCUUUCUCUUCCUCUUCUUACCUCAAAUGGGUACUGGUUGGAGGAAAGCGUUUUGUACUACCAUUUCUCGAGAUUCAGAAUCUAAUAAUGCUUCUGAGAAACAGAGGAGCUCUGCUACUCCUAAUCCCAGUCCUAGAAGCUGUGUUCGAUUGGGUUUCUUCAGUAACCCUUCUACUCCUCGGAUGCAAUCUCAUCAGCCAUUGAGUAGUCCAGGUCUUCGUUGCCGUACUGCUCAAGAUGCCACUGUUAAUCAAAGUCCCACUCUUCAUUGCAAAACCUCAUCUUCCUCUUCAUCAACUCCUAAAUCUGCUAAAUCCCAACGAGGGAUUUUGGGUUCGAAUCCUUCCUCUCCUCGUUCCCCUCUUAAACUCUCUCUUUUCAAGAACAGCUUUAAGUUCAGAGUAUGUUUUUUUUUUUUUUUUUGUUCUCUCUCUAUCUUUCUCUCUGUUUUUUCAUUUAGAAUUCGAAACUUGACUUACGGGUUCUUUUUGUUUGUUGAAAAACAGAGUAGCUGUGGAAUUUGUUUGAAUAGCGUAAAAACAGGGCAUGGGACGGCGAUUUACACGGCGGAGUGUGGGCAUGCUUUUCAUUUUCCUUGUAUUGCUGCUCAUGUCAGAAACCAUGCCACUCUUGUUUGCCCUGUCUGCAACACUACAUGGAAGGACGUUCCUCUGCUCGCCGCCCAUAAGAAUUUGGGCCCAUUGACCCAACACGAUCCUAAACCCAAGAUUGAAGAUAAAACCAUGAUUGAAUCUUCCCCCCGAGCGGUUAAAACCAAACUAAACCCAAAAGAAAAGGAAUUCAGAUCCUAUGAUGACGAUGAGCCCCUUCUGUCUCCAACCUCCGGUGGCCGGAUUAUCCCAAUCCCUGAAGCCGAUGAGAACCAAGACGAUGUGGAGGAAUUUCAAGGCUUCUUCGUUGACCCAAAGCCGCCUUCCAGUUCAGUUAAAUCUUCAAUUCAGAGGACCAAUGUACAGGUUCGACUCCUCCCUGAAACGGCGUUGAUUUCAUCUGGACACACUCACGAGACCUACGCGGUCGCUCUGAAAGUAAAAGCCCCGCCGCCACAUCCGGCUAGAAACAGAGCAAAUGCCAAUUUAUUGGACCCAUCCCGCCGUGCGCCGAUUGAUUUAGUUACAGUGCUGGAUGUAAGCGGAAGCAUGACGGGGCCGAAAUUAAUGAUGCUGAAGCGUGCCAUGCGAUUGGUUAUUUCGUCGUUAGGGUCAUCGGACCGCCUUGCCAUCGUUGCUUUCUCUGCCACUCCUAAAAGGGUGUUGCCGUUGAGGAGAAUGACGGCUCAAGGCCAACGCGCUGCCCGGCACGUGAUUGACACGCUGGUCUGCAGCCAAGGAACCAGCGUAGGAGAGGCUUUGAGAAAAGCCACAAAAGUACUCGAGGACCGGCGAGAGAGAAACCCAGUAGCUAGUAUCAUGCUUUUGUCAGACGGCCAAGAUGAACGGAUCCAGUCAAAUCAACGGCAGGUGACACGACACGAGUCAUCUACAAGAUUCGCCCACAUAGAAAUCCCGGUUCAUGCAUUUGGGUUCGGAAAGAGCGGUGGAUACUGUCAAGAACCGGCGGAGGACGCAUUUGCAAAAUGCGUAAGUGGAUUAUUAAGCGUGGUGGUUCAAGAUCUCCGUAUUCAACUCGGGUUUUCAAGCGGUUCAUCUCCGGUAGUGAUCUCCGCUAUUUAUUCAUGUACCGGGCGGCCCACGGUUUGCAGUUUGGGUUCGGUCCGGCUUGGAGAUUUAUACGGCGAGGAAGAAAGGGAAUUACUCGUAGAGUUGAAGAUUCCAACCUCGGCUUCAGGGACCCACCACGUGAUGACGAUGCAAUGUCUUUACAAAGACCCGUCCACACAGGAGGUAGUGUACAGCCGAGAACAAGACAUCCUCAUUGCACGACCCACAGCCGUUGGAUCAUCCACUCCUAAGAUCGAAAGGCUGAGAGACAUGUUCAUAACAACUCGCGCUGUGGCGGAAUCCAGGAGAUUAAUCGAGUACGAAGACCAUACGAGCGCGCAUCACUUACUCGCCUCCGCGCGUGCAUUACUAAUCCAAUCCGGAUCACCAAGUGCUGACGUGUACGUGCGGGAGCUGGAAGUUGAGCUGGCGGAACUCCAUUGGCGAAGGCAACAACAAUUCGAAUUACAUCAGCACCAGCAGCAACAACAAAUUUUGGUGACAACAACGCCACGUAGGCGAGGGGGUGAUAAGGAAAAUCCCACAAUGGUGGAUGAAAACGGAGAGCCGUUAACACCGACGUCGGCGUGGAGAGCGGCGGAGAAGCUUGCCAGAGUAGCGAUUAUGAAAAAAUCGUUGACGAGUAGAGUGGGGGAUUUACACGGGUUUGAAAAUGCGAGAUUCUAGAAAUGGCAGAGGAUUGAUUGACUGACUGUAAAAUUUGGUUAAUUUUGGAAAAGGGUAAUGAGAAUUUGAAAAGGAAAGCUAAAAAGUAAAGUACAAAUAUGGAUUUAUGAGGGGCAAAUUGGGGUUUUCUUCUUCCUCUUCCUCUUCUUCUUCUUCUUUGUUCUUGUUCUUGAAAGCUCCAUUGAUUGGACUUUCUUCUGGUUUUCAUCAAUUCCACACAUACAGCUCAGCUUUCUGUAGCUUUCUUUCAUGUUAGAGUAGAAGAAAAAUGGGAUUUCCAAAGCAUUAGAAACCACAAAUCUUAUUUUUAUUUCAAAAUGGGUCUUUUUGUUUUCUUUUUCUUUUUUUCUUUUUUCUUUAAUUCCCUCUCAUUUUAAGGAAAAAAGUUCUUUACUUUUUCUUCUUUUUUUUGGUUGUAUAUUAUUAUUAUGCAAUGAUGGGAAAGGAGUAGGGGUGAGGGGGAGUUGGUAAAGUGGGAAGAAGACUCAAUUAGAAAGGGAAUGAAAUGAUGAUGAAAUGAUAAAUGCAAAGGUUAUUGUUGCUGUUGUUGUUGUUAUUAUUUAAGAUUUGGAGUAUUAUUAAUCAAUAAUUCUUGGGUUGGCAAUGUUUUGGAGAUCAAAUUCUCUGCAUUUGAUCUUAAUACAUAACUUCCAUUUUGCCUUUGAAAAUGACCCUUACAUGGUUUAUUUUGCUUUCCAAUGAAGCAUUGGGUGGCAAAAAAAAGAAGAUAACAAUAGUGGUGAGUUGAUGCAAAACUAUGUCAUUAGUUUAACCAUUACUAACCAAAAAAAAAAAUAAAAAAAAAUUGAAUGUUCUAUCUCUUAUCCAUGCAAUUGUUUUAUUAGAAUUUUGGUGUAAGGUAAAAAAUGAGAAUAGUGUAAUUUUGAGAAUGGGUGUGAACAAUGAAGUAAAUAGGUAUUGAUUGUGCAAUGGGUUGCACAAAUUGGUCCACCACAAAGCUUAUUAAUAAGGGGACAUAGAUAAUAUAUAUAUGGAGAGAAAAAGAUUCAUCUAAUUCAAAAAAAAAAAAAGAAGACAUGAUGGAAGGAUGGAGCAUUGUGUUCAAUUUAUCCAACAUGUGAAUCAAUGUAUACAUUCAUUCAUUACCAUUAACACUCACUUCCUUCCAUCUCUUUCCAUUUCAUUAUGUUUUCUUUUUUUUCUUUUUCUAUAUCCACCUUCUUUUUAUGUAAAUACAAAUAGAAAAAACCAAUGGUUUAGGCUUUUGAUUUGGUAUAUUAUUUCAUUUUUUCAAAUAAUUAAAACCAUUUUCUCUCCAUGAUUUCUUGGAGUUGUUUGAAUAUUUUUUCAAAAUAGAGUCUAAUUUUUAUCCACAUUUCAAAAUUAAAAAGGAAAUAGUUUAUUUAAAGAUAGAAAAGAUAUUUAUAAGUUCUUAUUUCAAAAUUUAAAAGUAAAAAGGUCAAAACCUUACCCGUUUUCAAACAAGAUGUAAUAACACCCUAAUUUUAAUAUGGGAAGCAAUUUAGAUCAAUUACCCUUUUGUUUCUAUUCUAUCGUGGAAUUGUUGUAGUUUAGAAGCAUGAUAUAUAGUGUGUAUUCUAGUAACAAAAUAUUAAAAAAAGAUUGUAUCGAUAUAGUUUGUUGUAAAAACUUUAUUGGUUGGUAAGUGGUGCCAAUCACAAUUGAAAUAAUCUCAAAUUUACACAUAGUUAGGUUGCAGUUUUAUGAUAGAAAUUGAGGAGUAAGUCACUAAGUUUUGGUGAAGAAAGAUAUUUAUUUUGAUGGGUUCGAGUAAUUUUUAAAUCAACCGUGGAUUAUAUAAAUGAUUAAUUGUCAAAAGAAGUUAAUUAUUAUGAUUAAGUCAGGCUAGAGUCAUAAUAUACAGUGGUUAUAUAUGUUUAGGUAUUCAUUACCAUAAUGAUAAUUAUAUUUUACUUUGGGAAUUGUGUUUGAAUCAUUCAAACGUUAAUAUUAAAAUGGAUAAAAGAACUACAGAACAUGAUCUGAUUUCAUCAGAAUCUUUGAGGAAAAAAAAAACUCAUUUUGUCCUUCCAUUUUAAGUUAGAAAAUAAUAAUAAUAAUAAAAACUACAAAUAAAAAAUGUUAAAAAUAUUAAUUGUUUAGGUUAGAUUGUUGUUUGUUUUUCACUAAAUAUUCACUCUUAAAAGGUAAAUUUCGAGCCUUAUUAGUAUAUUCGAAUGCCAAUUAAAUUAAGUAAAAAGAAACAAACAUAAUUGUUUUAGAAAAGUAAAAUUAUUUAGUUUUCACUAGUGUUUUUCAUCACAAAGAUAUCUAAAUUGAGUAAUUUAUUUUGGAGUUUCAUUUAUUCGAACUAGUAGUUCUUGAGAGUUGAUACCAAUGAAAAAUGUUAAGAGUUUAACGAGAUACGAAGUAUAAAUUGAUAAUUUUAAUUUUCACUUCAAAAUUAUUUUAAUUGAAUUACUUAAUAUGUUUUAGCUAAACCUUGAGAGUAUAACAAAUGUAAUAUUAAAACUUAAGAAAACUAUCAAAUUGAACUAAAAUUUAAAAAAAAAAACAUUUUGAAACUCAUCCCAUCAAUAGAAAAUUAUAAAUAUAACAAUCAAAUUUAAAAUAUUAUUAUAUAUAACAAUAUAAAUUUUAUUCAUCGUCACAAUUAUUAUUAUAUUAAGAAAAAGAAAAAUGAAAUUAAAAUGUUACAUAUAGAUAAACAUGUAAUAUUUUAAAACCUAAUAAUCCCAUGAAAUUAUAUUCAAAAGUUAAAACUUAACAAAAAUGAAAAGGGCAAUUUUUUUCAAACCAAAAAAGGUGCUUGUCAAAUGAAAUACAUUUUUUGAAAAAUAUGUUUAUUUUUUCAAAAAAGGAAAAAAACAAAUUUAAUUUCUUAAAAUCCAAUUUUUAAAUUUUGGAAAAACAUCGCUUUAGUCUUUAGAACAAUGAUCUGCAAAAUUGUUAUAUUUUUAUUUUUGUUAUGCUCUACUUUUGAAAAAAUAAAACUCUAAUUUUUAAAAAAUAUGUCGGCUGUUUAAUAUGAAAGUGUUACAAUUAAUUAAGUCUAUACAUAUUAUUGAGAAUUAUAUUUAAAUAUUUUCAUUAUUAGAGAGAAAAAAAAAGGUUAAUAUAUAGAUUUCAAUAAUGUUGGAAACAAAUAAUUAUUUGCUACAUGUGGGACAAUAAAUGCAUUCUAUUCUCAAUACACACAACACCAUUUUCAUAAAUAUAUAUGACUCUUAAUUUUUAAAAAUACUUGAAUUCAAAUGAUUUCUAUGAUUAGCCAAUUUUAAUUUAUGACUUGAAGACUAAAUUUAUAAUUCCUUUCUAAUUCAAUAAUAUACUAAUUUUUCAUUAAAAUAAUUACAAUCAAAUCACAAUUUGUAUGUAAUACCUUUUAAUAUAAGCAUAGUGUAUGAAAGAAAACCAACAAGAUGAUAUAAUUUAAAGUUUUAAAAAUUGGGUAAAAUAUGUAUUCUCGAGUAAGAGAUAUAUUUUUUGAAUUGGUUCGAUUUUUGUCAUUGUGUAUUAUAAAUAUUACUAUGUAGUCAUUAUAUUAAAAGAAAUAUAAUGUAUUUAUUCAAAUACAUUAUAGCAAAUUUUUUCUUUUAAAAGAAAACUGUCAAUUAGUUGAUUUUUUUUAAAAAAUAAUUUAUCCCAUUAAACUGUCAAAUACAUUAUACACACAUUUGACUCAAUAUUCUUGAGAAUUCUUGACUAAAAAUGUUAACUUCAUAUAUAUUGUUGAAUUAAGAAAAAAAAUCAAAUGCUUGAAAUUAAAAUAUCAUGAUAGACACUACUGAAAUUAAUGGUAAAAUAAGAGAGAUUAUAUAUACACACACAUAUAUAUAUAAAGAAAUAUUCACAUGAGAAUUGGAACUUGAAGCACUUUCGAUUUUAAAUUGAUUGAAAUUAUACUCUAAUGGAUCUGCCCAUGUGAUUUUCUUUUUUUUGACAUGGAGGAAAAAGAAUUAAUAAUAUAAAGCAUAUACUGCCACUGAAAAUAUUGCAAUCCCAAGAUCAGUUUUGUUUUAGAAAAGGGGUUCCAUUAUCUAAGAUAAUUCUUUCAAGUAUGUUACACAUUGUCAAAUCCUAAUUUCUUUUGAGAAACGAUCUAGAGAAGAUAGUUGUACACAUAAUGUACACCACAACUUUGCAAAACAUAAGGUGGAAUUGAUAUUGAAAAAUCUCGACAUUGAAAUUAUGACUCUUUUACCAAAAUGAGUUUGAAAAUUUUGACUUGAGGGUGAUCAUUUUGGCAUAAUUUAGUUGUUGCAUGUGAUCCUACGUUGAACAGUCUUUAUUCGGUAAUUUAGAAAAAUGUUUAUCAAAGAAGACAAAAAUCUUUGUUUGAGAGUUCAGUCUUGACGACUCAACUUCAAAAGAGAAUGCCUCAUUGUGUCUUUGUUUCUAGAUAUGAGGUAGGUCCUUGAAUCUUUUGGUUGGUCAUUGAUCAUGUCUAACAAUAUUUAGAGAUUUUCCUGCUUCCAUUUUUGUUGUCCACUCGUUUCAUUGUGCAAAGAAGACUUUGUGGCUGGUUUCUUCUAGUGGAAGGAAUGUUAUAAUUUUAGAGAUCCUUACUCAACCCGUGCGAUAUUUUUAUGGAUUUGAUUCUUUGUUAUGCUACUAAACUUCUUUAUUAUUAUUGUUGUUGUUGUAUUUCUACGUUGAUUUGUAACUGGAGAGCUUUGUUAUAACCACCUUUUGAGUGUUUGGAAAUUAUGCUAUGCUCAUUUAUUUCAUGCUCAUCAAUGAAAUUUGUUCUCUUUCCAAGAAUAUGUAUAGUGAAAACUGGUUUAGUUUUUUAUUAUAACAGUAGAUGUGAUCAUAAACAUUAAAAACAAAAAACAAAAAAGAACUUACAACUUAGUGCAGAUAUAUCUGAAGCCUCACUUGUUGGCCUAAUAUUGAUUUGAUCGCAAAUAAGCAAAAGAAGCAGCAGGAGAUAUUACAGAAUGACAGAAGAAUGAAGGAUUAUCUCUAUAUAUUGAAAAUCAGUAUCUUAAUUACAAAAAUUAACCACAUUUCAGAUACAGAUUACAAACUUGGUACAAAGAUUACCUCACAAAUGGACAAGGAACAAGCCAACACAGAGGUAUGACAGACCAGGUUUCACCAUUGUCAAUACACAAAUCAUCAAAAGGAAAGUUCCCACAGAGGGAUUAAUGAAGAUUAAUUACGGGAUUCGAGAUCACGAUGAACUGAGGUGAGGAGUUUUCCCCUUAUUUCGAACUGUGGAAGUAAAAGCAAAGGGAGGUGAACGAGAGUUUCAUAUAAUAUUACUACUGCUUACUUCUGGUUUUGUUCCACUUUAGCUCUGAUUUUCUGUUCCAACACUGCGAUUUCUGUUUCCAAGCUGAACAUUCUAUUUAGAGCGUGCAUGUUCUCCAAGGUUUCACUUAAAGUUCGGCUGUCACUCCCGUCGCAUCUCAAAUGCUGCAUAGGACCAUGAAGCAGCUUGUUAACUAUACCACGACUAAGAUCAUCCACAGCUCGUCGAGUCUUCUUGGGGAUAUCAUCACCCAUCUUUGAUAGGCAUUUUUCUAACUCGGCAGUUCUGAUUCUUUCGGCAUAAGCCCUUAGUUUUUUAAUUGUUGGAACAGUCUCCAAUGAAUCCCUCCAAGCUUCAAAUUGCUUGGAUUCUUCAGUGAUAAUUGAUUGUGCUUCCAUUGCUUUUCGGAGCCUAUCUUCCUUGUUUGCAGCAACUACCUCCUUAAGGUCGUCAACAUUGUACACUCGUACAUCUUCGAGAUUGUUGAUACAUGCUCCGACGUUUCGAGGAACAGAGAUAUCGAUGAAAAGCCUCAAGCCCCCAACAUCAUGCCCAACAGGGGGAAGAUCCUUAACCUGCUCCUUUGUAAACAAAAGACUUUCAGAAGCUGUGCUGGUAAAUAUCACGUCUGCUUCAGCUGUACAGCUAAGCAUUUCCGUGAGGGGCUUGUAGAUUAUCUCGACAUCCUUCAUCUCCUCACGGAUGGCUGUGACUCUCUCUUCAGACCGAUUCACAACAACCAUCUUUGUGCAGCCUUUAGCAACCAAAUGUUUAAUUACAAGCUUUCCCAUCUUACCAGCUCCAAUCACCAACAUUCUGGCAGUGGCAUGUGAAGGUUCAGGAAGCUUCAUCAAGGCCAAUUCGACAGCAGCGGAACUCACAGAAACAGCUCCAGCAGCAAUAUUAGUCUCUGUUCUUACCCGUUUACCCACCGUGAUGGCAUGCUUGAAAAGCCCACUAAUGUUCCUUCCAAAUCCUGCAACACCCUGUCCAACCUUGACAACUUGUUUAACCUGAGCAAGGAUUUGGCCUUCUCCUAGAACAAGAGAGUCAAGGCCUGCUGAAACUUCGAAAAUAUGUUGUGUGGCAUCGUUGUUAUACAGCAAAAACCGGUGCUGGCAAAUCUCCGAAACCGGGAUUCCACUUGUCUGAAAACAACAACAAACCACUAUUCAUAUGAAUUUCCAUUUUUCACAUGACAUCAAAGUUGAAAACAUAUUCUUCAAUGGUGGUGGUCUGAAUCAGAGGAUACAGUCCUUCUCUAAUCUUUCAAUAAUUGUGGUUGUUAGGUAAUCUCAUACAAAAAGCCUAUCUAAUCUAGCCUUGAGAUUUCGACAUAAAGGAAGCUCGUCUGGAUAUUCAAAGUAAGGUUUAAAGAUAAUAAUUUUUUACAGUAAAUUCCGUUGCAAACUCGGAGUCUAUUGUCAUCACAUCUCAUCCUAGGUUCAGGCUACCCUGGGGCAGGUUGUGACAUUCAAUAGCAUUUGGAAAAUACAUCUGAAAAUAUAAAAGCUAAGACCUGGAGAUGCUUGGAAAGUACAAAAUCAGAUAGAAGGGAAAACAAAACCAUAUAGGUAUAAUCUAACAUGGAAAAAAGGUAGUUUUCAAAGAUUAUGAAUCUUAAUAUCAAUCAAACCUUGGACAUCCAUUCAGUCACUUCCUUCACUCCACGAUGCUGAGACAAAGCAACAACAUAUAUCUCCAUUCUGUUGCAGGUGCUAAGAACGGCUGCUUCUUCAAUGUGGUUUAAGCCACAGAGCUCUCCAAUGGCUCGAGGCCACUCUGCCUCAGGAAUGGCCAGUUUUUCUCUCAUUUCAACAGGUGUUGUAUGAAUACUAAGCCCAAUGACAACAAUGCUGCUUCUUUCCUUUGUAUAUCCUAAUUUCCAUACAGAAAAAACCCAAAAACUUCAGUGAACACACCAGUUUAGACAUGUUUUACAACUCUUCCCACCAUAUAGCAUUUUGACAAAUAGAAAUUCAAUCACAUACCCAAGAGCUAAUGAUGGAAGUCAAACAUUAAGGAAUUGGGAAUUUGAAACUAGAAGUAAUGGUUAAGAUUGUAAUGCAAAUUCAAGUAAUGGGAAAGUAUAAUAAAAGGGAAAACAUACUGUCAACAGCAGAGGUCUUGAGCUGUUCAAGGGCAGAGAGAUUAGAAGAUUUAGGUGGAUCAAUUUCAUCAUUCUGAACCAAAACAUCAGAAGAAGCAAGCUCGCACUUGAAUGGGGUGAAAGAGGAAACCCCAGUUCGCUGAAAUAGAAUUCUCCUGGUUCGAAUGGAUUUACAGAAACCGGGAAGGUGAGAAGAAGACAAAUUCCUGGUGGAGGAAGAAUUUGAAGCCGAUUUGAACAAAAGGGCUUCCAAUUUAGCACCGGAAAAACUGGUGGAAACAGCCAUUUGAAGGGAAGCCCUAAAGCCAGAAAGGAGAAGCAGAGAGAGGGAGAGGGAGAAGUGGGAAUUGGAAACGAAGGUUGAGUUGUUUCAAUUCAGAAGCAAAAAUGGUGGAGCAUGGUGAAAUGGGAGGAGGAGGUAAAUGGAAGGACGAAAGUGCAAAAAUGAAAGAAAUGGAGGGUAGGAAAGCAAAAGAAAAGAGGUGUUUAGGGAAUUGGGAAUUGGGGGAUUUGGGGAUUGGGGGAUGAAAUCAAAAAAGGAAGAGAAUUUAGAAUUGGGAUUAUGAAAUUUGAAGAUUUGUGAUUUCUCUUCGUUGUGAUUGGUGGGUUGAACACACGCCUUUAUCCACACUCAUUUCCAGCCUCUAUCUUCUUCACCCUCUCCUCAUCCCUUUUUAGCCCUAUUUUCUUCAAACAAAAAUUAUCAUAUUUAUAAAACCUAAUUCACCUCCAAUUAUAAUAUUUCUAAUGCAAUUUAUAAAUUUAUUUUACAUUUUUUAUUCAUUAAUAUGGAAUUACGUUCGCUUUCAUCUUCAUCUUCAUCUUCAUCUUGUGUAAUUUAAUAGUAUAUAAGUUAUAAUAGAACCUUCUCCUCCUUUCAAUUCUUUCUUUUGUUGGGAUUCAUAACAAAAUAUCAUCUUCCUAUAAACAUGUCUUGGUGGCCAAAGGUUAAACACACAACCAUCAAUAUCUAAUAAUAAAUCUUCAUAAAAACCGACCCUAAAUGGUAUUUUUCAAUCUAUCCAUUCUUUUUCCUUUAAUUAGUACAUUUUCUUUUAUUGAUAUUUCAUUUUCUUCUAGUAAGAAUUUUAAUUUUGAGCGAUUUGAAGUGAACCUCCCGGCUCAAAAAUAAAAAGAUCAUUACAUUUGUUUUGAAUAUUAAAAUUAUUUUAUGUUGUUAUAAAGAUAAGAUGAUUGAAUUGGAUGGGAAUGAUAUGUGAUAGGGAUUGAUUCAUAAGAUUUCAGUGCUUGUGUUUGCCACAAGUUUCUUACACAACUCAUAUGUGGACAACACUCUUGCACUCACUUUUCAAUCUUCAAUAACAUCAUAUAUAUUCUAAAAUUAUACCAAUGUUACACAAACAACGUUGGUAAAUUGUUAAUGAACCUCUUUAACCUCGAGGUUGAUAUUACCCGUCAAUUCUAUCUUUACAUAAUAUAGCGUUUUUUGUCUCAUAUCUAUAUUAAACAAUUUCAACUAUGAGGAGGUAGUAAAGGUAAAAACUAAAGAGCCAAAGAUUUCAUUUAUAUAUAAUAUAUCAAUAGUAUUUGAAGUGAAGGAAGAUUAAUGAGAUGAGUUGAUGAGUUGAUGAGUUGAAAGACUUAAGUUGUAAUGGAUCCAUUUUAAAAUGAUAAGCCUAAAAGAUAGGAAAGGAUUAGAGAUGCUUUCCUUGAUACCAAAGCAGAGAACAAAAACACUCAACUCUCUCAUACCUUACACAUAGACACAUGUACAUAAGUUGUAUCAAAAUAACACACAAAACUUUGGAAUCACAUAUAUUUUUGUUAUUAUGAUGAUUGAUCAACAUUUAAGGUUUCCCUAAGAAGAAAAACUUUAGCUUUACAAAUCCUCAUUAAACUCCUGAAUUUAGUAAAAAUUGAGGUGGAUUCCAAGUUAUGGGUUCUUUCUUGUUGCCUACAAUUUUGAUGAAUCCAUUUUCUACUUUCAUCUAAAAUAAAAGUAUUGGUAAUGGUUUGGGUUUCUUAUUUUUAAAUAUUUUCAAAUUUGUAUACUGACAUUUUUAUUCCAUCUAUCAUAUGUGUUUUUGUUUCUUUAUAAUAAAAAUUCACUAUGUGAAUUUAGCAUUUUACUAAUUGCUGUUGUUUUCUUUUAACAUAUGGUUGGUUAUUGUUGGAUUUUUUAAAUUUGGGUAUGGCUUAUAUUUGUUAAUGCGAGAUGAACUUAUAUAAAUAUUUUAUUUUAGAAAUUGUAUUUGCUUUCCAUAACUACUCUCCACAAUCCUUAUGUUUGAAGUUAUAGACAAGUUUUAGAAACAAAAACUAAAGUCUAAAGUAGUAUUGUAUGAUAACCAAGUUAUAUGAUUUUAAAAUCCAAAGUUUUGAAAACUAAAGAAAAAGUAGUUUUAUUGGCUAAGAAUUCAACUCUAUGAUAAAAAUGGGCCGAUUCAAAACCUAAAAACGAGAAAACCAAACAGUAAAAAAACUCCGAUCAUGGUGGGCUUUGAAACUAACUAGGCCGAUUCAAAAUGCAUUGUUUCACAAUUGUGGGAUGGGCUCAAAACCCAAAUAAAAACUAAAAUGGACAUUUUAUGGGCCGUUUUUUAAUCCCUUGAAUAAACUUCAGAAUUUCAAAAUAAUUUCCGAGAAUCCUCAAAAUUUUGAAUUAAAUUCUAUUUUUUUUCAUUUAUAUUUAAAAAGCACUAUUUUGGUUUCCCAAAAAGAAGAAGACAAACUUUUUGGAAUUUGGUAUAUAUAUAUAUAUAUAAUUUUUUCUUUUUAAGAAUGGAAUUUGAUUGCUGAUGAAGCACAAAAAUUGUAAGUUUGCAUCAACUGAAUGAUGACAAUUGAAGGAAUUUUUUUAUUCUUUAAUUCUAAAAUAAAAGUACAAAUGAUAUAAAAAUAUAAAACUGGCCUAACCCAAUACAAAAAUGUGUAGACUUUUCAAGGAAAGAAUAAUUUGAUUUGAUUUGAUUUAAUUUAAUUUAAUUCAAUUCAAUAUAGCUUUUCUAAAAAAAAUUCCCAAUGAUCCACAAGAGCAAGCAACCUUAUUUAUUGCUUUUGGGCCCAAUUUUUCAAAUUUCACCCAUGAAAAUGACAGAAACCUACAGGCCCAAACCCAAUAUUUCAUCUCACAAACAAACAAAUUUUCUUUUUAUUUAUCUUCAAUUUGUAUACAUAUAUUUUACUUUUUUUAAAAAAAUAUUAAUAAAAAGCUUAAGGACAUGUUUGGUACUUCAUUUUUUGAUUUUUCUUAAUUAAGUUUUUUAAAAAUAGAUGUGUUUGAUAACUUUUUUUUUUUAAUUAUAAAAGAAAAUUAAUUUUUUGUUUUUGAAAGUUUUUAAAAUUAUAAAUGAAAAUAAAAAAUAAAAAAUAGAAAACAAAAUUAGUUUGGAAACAUAUAUGGUUUUUGUUUUUUAGUAAACAAAAAUUUAAAAUGAUUUUUUCUUUUAAAAAAAAGAGAAUUUUAACAAACUAUUUACAUUCCAUAAACAAAAUCACUAAAACAGAAAAUUAAUUACAUUUAAUUUUUCUAUAAAGUGAAAAUAUUUUGUUGAAUGUUCUAUUUUUAAUAAUUUCUCAAUUUAAAAACACAAUUUAGGAAAUAGAGAAAACAAAAACAAAAAAUUAAAAUGUAAGGUGGAGAAUUAAACUCUUUAACUUUUAUAAAGUAAUGAAUGUUUUGUCCACCGAUCUAUACUUGAACCGAUGUCUGCAUAAUUUACAUGUAAUCAAUAAAAGAUAUGUGUAUCGAUAGGUAUAAUUAUAGUUAUCCAUUGUAGUGAACAUUUUUUAUAUUCUUCUCGAUUCAUAAAGAUAGGAUUGAUUGUUCAAAAGUUUUAUAAUAAACUUGAAAUUCAAAUCAUGUAACUUUUUGGUAUAGUAAAAGGAGAAAAUGAUAGGGUGAAGAAGAAUAUGUAUAGUGAAUAAGACAUUUUUGGGUAAAAAGGGAAGAAAAAUGAGUAAGAAAGAAUGUUCAAAACCCUAAUCUUGUAGUGGAUUGGCUUGAAUAUUACAAUGGGAAGGAAGCAUGCUUCCGUAUUGCUUUUUGCCAAAGACCAAUAUUUAUUCCCAUCCUUUUACUUCAAACAAUAUAUCACAUCUCUCGUCGUUUUGAACCGGAACUUCAAUAGAUAUCGUCUCUAACUUUUUGUUUUCUUUCUCUUGCGUAGUUUUUCUUUGGACCAAUCUUUUCCUAAUCAUGAAGGUUACGUAUUUGAAGUCAUAGUAAAACUUAGACCGACAAUGUUCAAAGCUUUCUUUUUAUUUCCUUACGAUAUGUCUGAUGAUGGAUGUGAGUUGUUGCUUCCUUAGUUUAUGAUUUUUUUUGGAAUGUUUGACGACUAGAUAGAUUAAAUCACGAUCAUGCGUUAUAGUAGUGGAUUGUUGUCGUCGUCAUUGUCAUUUGUUGGCAUCAUCAUCAUCAUCAUGAUCAUUAUCAACAUGGUGUUGAUGAUGGUUCCAACCAAAAAUUAUUCAAAAUUCCACAAAGGUUAUUUUGAAGUUUGACCCUAGAAAAAGAAAAAGAGAUCAGAGAGAAAGAAGCACCAUCUUUCUCAAAUGCCUCUAUAGGAAGUUCUCAUUGGUUGAGUUGAGUAUAAAUGUGGUAAUCCAUUUUAUGAACAUAACAACACUAACAUAAUAUGCACACAAGACAAAUGUCAAAGCACACAAACUAAUAUUUUUCUCAAAAUUAAGUUUGAAUUUGGUCAAACAUUUGCUACAAAAAUAAUAUGAAAACAACAAUAAUAAUAAUAAAAGUCAACCCCACUAAAUUUUAUAAUGGAACCUUUCUUAAUUUCCCCUUCACACACACAUAAAUAAACCUCAUUUUCACUUCAAGGCAAACAUACAAAGAUAAAGAGAUAAAAAGGGUUGGCUUAGUUUUCCUAACUUUUUCACCUUCUAUCUUAUAUCCACGUGUUUUGCAUAAAACUAAACACAACUAAUGUAAUAACACAUAUCCUUUCUAUUCUUUUCAUUCUGUUUUUAGAAAAUUUCUAAUACUACUAUGUGAAAAUUUUAUCUAACUAUAAAACAAAUACCUUUAAAAUAAAAUAAUAUAUCAUUUAACAACAUACAUUAGCUUAGGAAAGUAAUUAUAUAGUGGUAGGCUAGUGGAAGGCAAAAGUGCUGCUUCAUCUGCUGGCAUGAGCAGUUGUUAUCAAAGUUUAGUUGAUUGACUUUUGUGUCAAAGAAAUAUUGGGUGUGUGGGAUAGUGAGAGUAGUGUGUGUGAAAGACCAAAAGAAGACAAAACAUUAGGGUUUUUAUUUAAUAAUAAUAAUGUGGGGCAAUUUUCAAACAACAAAAUAAUUGACAUAUAUGCGAGUUUUCUUUUCUUUUUUUUUCUUUGAGACAUUCCUUUAUGUGGGUCGGUUUUAAUUUCACAUUAUCGGAAUUAUUGUUUUUAUAUAUAAAAUAAUAAUAAUAGUAAUUAUAGUUGUAAUUGUUUGUACUCCCAAAACUUUAUGUAAAAGUAAACAUUGAGCAUUCACGCAUGUUAAAAUUCAAGUCUUAACAUAAUUGUAUACCUUUGUAGAAGUUUGUUGGUUUUUUAUAUCAUAAUUUGAUGAUCACAUUAAUUUCUAUGAUUAUAAUAAGGUUGGAAGGUCCAAUUCUUGCCGUUCAAAGUUUAAAGAUGUAAUUGGAAUGGAUUUAUUUUUACAAAUUGACAAGGGGAGAAGAGAAGACAAAGAAGAUGGCUUAAAUUUGUCCCAAAAGAGAGAAUUCCCAUACCCUAAAGCCUUCCCACAUGCCCUACAAAAGACCACUUUUGUUCCCUAAAAAUGACCCACUUGACUACCCUAUAAACCAAUACCCACUGCCCCAAACAAACGUGUCUGUCCCCUCUCAAGCCAAAGACCCAAUAAUAUUCUAAAAAUAAACACUUCAUCAUUAUGAUUAUUAUUUUUUUAAAAUAAAAAGAGAAUAAAGAAUAGUUUAUUUUGCCUCUAUAAUAAUAUAUAUAUCGUAAUUCGUAGGGCAUGCAAAAUUAAAUGGUCCAAUCUAAAAUCCCUUUUUGAAAGGCAUUACACACAUUACGGCUUCUGAUAUGUCCUUUCUUAAGACCAAUGAAUUAUCUCUAUCUCCCACACAAUUGGCAUCUUUGAAUUCUACUUCUACCUAAUUUUUAUUUUUCUUUCUUUCUUUCUUUUUAUAUAAUUUAUUUUCUUCUUAUAUGGGGUUAUUGUUUCAACUCAUUACUUCAUUUACGUAUUUUUAAUGUAUUAAACUAAGUAUAUAGUAAAAGGGAAGUGAUCUACGUAAUCUCUGUAUUUUUAUUUACUAUUAUUUGCUUUUAUUAUCAUUAUUAUAUAUGUAUGUUUUUGUGGAUGGAUAAAGAAUAUCUGCCGUUUGCUUCUUAUUUUGAAAAUGGCUGCUGUGGCUAUGCAUGGAGCAGAAUAUUUAAAAAGGAAAAACAAAAACAAUAAUAGAGACCAACGAAAUUAUGAAAUAUAUAUAUAUAUAUAUAUUAGAAUGGAAGAAACUUUUAACUUUGUCACAGUUAAAGGCAUCGUGCCGUGGGGUCUUUGUUUUAUAUAUUUAUCAAAUAUAGAGUCAGAAUUAUAUUUAACUGCAAAAAAGGGUUCAAAGAAGAAGAAAAAAAGAAAGAAAAACAACCCUAAACAAAUGGAAGAAAGUGAUGAAUAUUUUAAACUCGAAAGGAAUCAAACUAUAUAUUAGGGGUUAAAUUAUAAGUUUCAUUCAUCGACUUUAUAAUUUGAGUAUGCAGUAGAUUUUUAUGGUUUAAAAAAUUGGCUAAUGGGUCUCUUUUCAUUACUCAUCUUAUUUAUAAUAAUAUAGGUAUCCCUAACUUUGAGGAUUAUUCUAUUUUGUAAAAGAUGAAAAAACGACUCAAUCUUUAUAACACAUAAACAUUGAUUCUCAUCUCAUUGUUAAUUGAUUGUCGUUGAAUUCAUUAAUGUAUGGCUAAAAAUUUAGAAAUUAAACUUGAAUUCAAUUUAACUUGCCAAAAAGGAUUUCCUAGUACUACUAUCGUAAAAGAAACAAAGAGAAUCCUCUCCAUGACUCAUAUUACAAAGAAACAUGAUCUUCAAGCAUUAUAUGAUUAACACAACUACACUUAUUUUACAAGGCUUGAAGUGGUUUAUAGAUUAGAAUUACGUGAAUUUAAAGUCAUAUGAUUAUUUAAUAGUACUUAUUAGAUGAUAUGAUAUUAAAUUACUUUCACACGUCAAUAAUUCAAGGCUUUUAAAUCAAUCAUAAUCUAAAAUUGUACUAGGUGAGAGUGUUCAAGAAGUUCAUUAUGAUUUUUAACGAUCUAUUUAACUUUAUGAUGAGACGACAAUUAUUCUUUUAAUAUUUUGCAAAAAUCCUUCAAUUUUCCAUCAUUUGUGGUAAAAGAAGCUUUGUUAGUGGCCACUUCUCUAUGUUUGGCUUUCACUCACUUUGGUGAAAGAUAAAGGGCAACGACCCACUCUCUCCAUCUCUAUUUUUCUGCUAUCUAAUCUAAGUUUUCUUUUUGGAGUUGUUUGUUUUAUGAUCUUAAGAGACAUUUAUGGGAAAUAGGGCAUUUAUAACACAGACACCAAAUUUAGCUAGGCAUGUAUCUCACCCUUAAUAUGUAUAAUUCUUUUUAAACUAUUUUGUUUUGGUUCAUCAAAUAUGCAUUAUAUAAUUUUCUUCUCCUUUACUUAUAUUCUCAUUUCACUCUCUAGUACCUAUCUACUUUUUAAAUUUCCUAAUUUAGUUUAGUAUAUAGUGUAUGUACUUUCAAUCAACUAUGUCACAGUUAUUCCAUCUUUCCUUUUUAUACUUUCUUUUUAACGAUCAUAUAAUUUAAGACGAAACUCGUUCCAAAUCUCUUAUUUUGAAUUGAGAUUACUACAAUAAUUAGUGUUAUUCUUUAAAAGUAAAUGAAAGUUAACAUCAAAUAUAAAGAUAAGGAUGACUCUUUUUAUGUAAGAUUGGACAUUAGAUAUAUAGAAAAACGCAACGUUUGAGAUGUGAAUUAGGUAAACUUUUAAAUCUAGAAUUUACAUUAUUAAAGUCGUAAAGAAAAAUAAUGAGUUCAAGAGUGUGUAGUCAAUGUUUAAAAAGCUUUGUAUAUGCUUUGGAAAUGCAAAUUUAGAAAGUUGGAUAAUAUGUAAAAAAGACCUAGUUUGAGGUAUGUAAACAAUUAUUACAAGAAUAAAAAAAAAACAAAGGGUUUGUCCUACAAACUUCAAACUUAACAAGUUUAGUAAACAAACUAUGGAUUAUAUUGAUGUUCAAACUAUCCAAUCUCUCCUUAAUCCAAUCAAUUGUUCUUUCAAAAUAUACAUAGAAAAUUUGGGUUGGUUCAUUGCAUAAGUUGUUUUGAUGAUGGAAUUCUUUUAUUUGAAAAUAAAUACAUAAAGAAAUUAAGUAAUUAAUUAAUUAGGAAAAGGAAUAAAAAUAUAAUUAUUAUAAAGAAAGAAAAGAAAGGGUAGAUGGGUUGGAGCACUAAAGAUUCCAUUAUUAUUAGCACCAAUGGGAAGAGGUGAAUGGGGGGGGUGGGAUUUGGUUGCCUUUUCUCUGAUAUUUUGUUGCUUAAAAGAAUGUCUUUUUUGGGGCAAAAUAUUACUCUUUAAGCUACAAUUUCCAAUCUUCACACGCGUCCUUUUCCUAUUGGCCACCCUCCUUUUUCUUUUUCUCUUCUCCCUAAUGCCACCUCGGAUUAAUCUUUCCAUUUUCCAUCCUAAUUUUAAAUACGCUUAAUAUUAUUAUUAUUCCCAUUUUGAUUGUGAUUUCAAUGAACCAUAUUCUACCUAUGUCUCUUUUUCCUAUUCAACUUAAUAAUACCAUCAUUAUUUUCCUCAUUCCUUUCAACAAAUAUCCUAAAACAAUUCUUUUCUCCAUUUUCUUUUCUUUGUGUAUUUAAAUUAUAAAUAAAUAAAUAUUAUAAUGCACUUUUCCCAAAACCCUAAACCCCUCAUGCAAGUCUAAUCCUACAACAUUUUUCUUAACAUUUUAUAGAAAAUAAAAGUUUAUUUCUCUUUUGAAGGUUUGUAGAACAAAUGUAAAAUGUAAGUUUAAGGUAGGGAAUUUGAAAACCUUUGAUUUUCUAGACAAAGAAAUAGACUGAAAAUUAACAUGUCCUAACCAAAAUUAAACUAUAUAUCUUUGAAUUAAUAAUAUCGUUGGAUAGUUUAUACCUUUACUUAGUUUAAUUGAUGAUGUUAACUUGAAUAUGAUCCAAUUAGUUUAGUUUAGAUAUAUAAGAAUUCAUAAAUAAAUAUAAGUGAUGUGUGUAUAGAUAUAUAUUUCAAUCUUCAAAUAUUAUAUUGUAAUAUUUCACAACGUUAAUAGAAAAAACUAAUACUUUUUUUCGCUUAAAAGAGACUGGAAUAAAAUGUUAAAAUGGAAUAAAAAUGAAUAGCCUUUGUAAAAAUCUUAUUGGAUUCAAAUAUAAAAUUUAGUAUAAAAAAAGGAUAUAUUGUGACACUUUUUAUAUAUAUAUAAAUUUAAUAUGAAAGGUUUUAAAAUGACUAAAAUGGAAUAAAAAUUCUUUUUUCCAAGAAGAAGGUGAAGGAUGCAUCUGAUUCCUCUUUGAUUCAAAUUCUUAAUAUGAAUUAAAUGGUUUAAGUUAUUGGGUUGUCAAAUACGAGAGUAGAUAAUUAGAGACACCCACUCUUUAAUUUAAUGGUCCUAAUUAAAAGAAUUAAAGAGCAUAUUCAAUUUGAUUUAAAAGGAGAGGGUCCCAUUUUAAGUUGUUUACUAAAUUAAUAUAUUCUCAUAGCCAUUUAGGGAAGAUUCCUCCCUUGGGAACAACACUCUAUAUCUAUUUUAUAAUCAUCACUUAAAAAAUUAAUAACCAAAAACUUUAUAAUACACACAUUUGGGGAAAUUUCCCUCUUCCAAAUGACUUCCUAUUUUUGAAUUAAAAUAAAGUUUUAGACAAAUCAAGUGUAUCAUUAUUCGAUGAGUUGAUGCAUUCUUUUUACCUAAUUAAACUAAUCUUAAUUAGAAAAAAACAGCACAUUCUAUAACCUCAAAUUUAGUUUAAUCUCUCCUUGGUAGUUUUUUUUUAUAAGAGGAAUGUAAAUAUUUAGAUGUUAAAAAGAUUGUGGUACAUCAACAACAACUUUACAGCAAUAAGAAUUUGACUCAACUGACAUCUGUAGAUAUGUUAUGGAUAAUAGAUCUAAUGUUUAAAUCUCCUCACUUCCAAUUUGUACUAAAAAGAUAGCUAUACCUAUAUAAGUUUCCUAAAACAAAAGUUAAUAAACAUACUUUUUUAGUUUUUUAUUGACAAUAUUAGAGGUAAAGAACAACAUCUAACUUGAUAAUAAAUGUAUUAUACUAAUUGACCUGUGUUCAUUUUGGCUUCUUGGUAAGUUUUUAAUAAUAUAUAACAUUCAUUUAACAAAUAAAAAACAAUUGAACUUUCUUUCUCUCUAUAUAAAUUAAUAGUUGUCUAUUUGUGUUUUAAAAAUAUUCAUUUUGUUUCCAUAUUUUAAAAAAGUGAUAACUUAAAAGUGAACUUUUAAAAGAACAUAGAUUCAAAGAAGUAAAAUGAAUAUUUUGAAAGUAAUAUAUAAAGAUAAAAAGAACGAAAAAAAACCCUAAAAUGAUAAUAACUAACUCAAUCAACUAUGUAAUAUCAACUUUUACGUCAAAUUUUUGAUUUUCUAGCUAUCUUGUUCUAGGGUAAAAGAAAACUAAAUCUCAAAAUAUAAACAUUAAAUAAAGUAUUCAAACUAUAUAUUAUAUAGAAACAUGAACUCGAAUUAACCUAUAUAAUUUAUUCCACAUUGCAUGAUGUGAUUGAAAAGAAAUGGAUGCAUGGACAUUUAUUUUUUGAGUUAAAUGAUACAAAAAAAGUUCUCUUGUUGUAAAUGAUGAGAAUGAAGGCGAAAUAGAAAACGAAGGUAAAUCUUGGUUAUUUUACUUUAGAUUAUCUAAACAACAUAUUGAUAAUAUGAAUGAUGAAAACAAGAUAUGGAUUCACUUAUACAAGCUAUAAAGUUAUUUAUUCUUGAGCUAAUAUGAUGCUUUGUUGGACACUAAAAGGAAAAUGAUGGGAACGAAGGUAAAAUAGAAAACGAGAAUGCAUGGAAGAAAUUAAGAGGGUAAAGAUUAUUAUUUGAUAUUGAAGAAGGAAAAAGGAAAAGCAACUUUUAAGUACAAAGUACUUUUAAUUAUAUAUUUAUUUUGAGCAGAGAGGGAAGGUGUCCUUUAUAUGUAUGCUGCACACUUUGAAGGGUAGGGUACCCCUCUCUCCCUUCACUUAUCCAAAACUGAGAGACUAUCAGUACCAAUUGUACGGAACAUUGACCCUAAAGUCUCUCUCUAGUUUUCAAAUCCAACACUUUCUUCUUUUAACACUUUCUACUAUUAUUAUUAUUGGUGCUAUGAUGGGUUAAAGACAAUAACUUCCAAACCCUCUAUGGUAAAAUUCAAGUACAAUUUAGUUUGUACUAUAUCCCUCUUUCUUUCUUUUUUUUUUCUUCCUCCCUUGUUAUUUUCAAUUAACUUUUAACUCCUUUUUUUUUUUCUCCUUUCUUUAUUUCAUGACCCAAACAAUAAUGCUACUUUGGAUGAUUAUCUUAUUUGAUUUAUUGACUCGAUACACUUUUUUCGACACUUCACAUGUGAUAACGACAAACGUGUGAUGUAGAUGUUCAGGUGAUAAUAGAACAAGUUGCUUGUACGUCUUUGCUUCGUCAUCGUUGUUUAAUUAGUUGAACUAUCUGGCAUGUUGCCAUUUGUCAUACCUAUAUGCCUGAUCAAAACCUUGCAUCUUUCAUUUCGAUCUUGUAUGUGUGUCUAAUAUGACGCAAAUAAUUGUCAACUAUCACACUUUUGAAUUAAACAACUCGAUCCCAACACAUGAUUAAUUAACAUGAUUUUCUUUUAGAUAAAGUUUACGUCUACUCCCCUUCAAAAAUUCAAAAAAACUAAAUAUGUUCUCAAAGAUACCAACAUGUUCCAUCUAGUACUCCAACCACGUCACUUUGCCAAUACUUUUUUUCUCUAUUAUUAAUCAUUACAUCCAAAUUAUAAUUGAGAAGCAAGAUAAUCAAAGACUCCUUAGUACAUUGUUUAUUAACCAUCACAUCCAGAUUAGUACUAGGGUUAGGGUUUAAAGAUCUCAUCAUUUACUAGGAUGAAACAAUUUCUAAGUUGAGUAAACGAAUAUGUAUUAAAUAUCAAAAUAUCAUUCCUUAGUACAUUGUCCCUUUUCCAUUUGUUUCAAUAAAUUUAGGGUUUUAAGUGCAACAUAAACACACUCAUAUUAAUAAGGAAAAAUCGAAUUUAAAUCUUAGAUUUCUAUCCUGUGUCGUGCAAGUACGGAAAUUACGGUAUACUUUACCAUCUGAUGGAAGGUAGAUUCAAUCAAAACCAUUAAUAACUGACAAGUGGCAGCCAUCUACUAAUUCCCUCCCCAGUCGCAGUUGACUUCAUUUACUUCGGUUUGCCGUGCGUUAAAAUGAUGGCGCCAUCCAUCGGUUCUCAAACGCGAGUAUAUCCAUUUUCUUCAGAACGAGCGCGUCAGACACCACCCACCUCUUCCAUUUUUCAUGCUGCUCUCUUCUGCCCCUAAACCCUUUUCUUAUCAAAAUUAUUAGCUAAUCACUUGUAGAUUCUUUAUUAUCAUUAAAAAAUACUUUAUGGUAUUUUCUUUCCAAGUAUUAAAGAGAUGCAUGAACAGAGAUGUAAUCGGAUUGCAUACUAAUAUUGUUAUUUAUCUUCCUUUUUCCUUCAAUGUGACUAUUUGUUAUUGAAAAUCAAAACUAAAUUAUAGCAUUCAUUAUAACUAUAUACAUAUGAACUUUCAAACGUGUGAAAUAAUUGUUAUAUGUACCCUAAAUCUUGUAGCCCAUUUUAAUACUAUGAAGUUGUAUUAAUAUAUCUUCAACAAAACUUUCUUUUACUAUUAAUAUAUUAUUGACAAAAAACAUUUAUUGAUAUUCAUCACCUUAGUCUCUCAUUUUCUUCUCUCUCUUCUAUCCUCGAGUUCAAUAUAUUGACUACAACUUCUCCAAUUUUUCUUUACCUUUUUGUUUCUUUUCUUUUGUUACUUUAGGGUUCUCGUUUUUCUAUGGCUACCUAAUCCCUAGUAUAUAGAUAGAAAAUGUUAUCUAUACCCUAAAAUUGUGUACCCCAUUUCAACAUCGAAUGUAUCCUUUUGAAAAAGUUCAUCCGAUAAAGAACCAAUUUAUGUAUUUGUUCAAUAGUUGAACAUCAUCGAGUCAUAUGACAAUAGUCGCUCUUUAAAAAUAUUAGCCAACGCCCUAAUAUAAAUUCAAUUUCUUGUUUUUUUUUUUGUUUUUUUCACUCUCAUACAUUUAGUGACGCAAAAUUAUCCAUCACAUUAUGGCUUGUUUGUGCCUAGAAUGAUUUCUUAUAGAUGGACCUAAGUUAAAAAUAAUUAAAUAGAUAUCUUUACAAAUUCGCAACAUGUUUCUUUUAUUAAUAUUAAUAAUACCAUGGUGUAUUCAUUUAUUUUAAUCUCCUACCAAUUUCAUUAUUGCAUUAUAGACUUGAGGGCAUUUAAAUUCCUUGUUUGACAAUAUUGUUUUAGAAUAUAUCACUUCCUUGCUUUUGAUUAUAUAUUGAAUAAAUAUUUGAAUAAGUAAUGGUGGAAAGAAUUUGAAGCAAUAAUGAUAUGAAAUACUUUAAAUUAUCUCUACACCUUCCAAAUUUAUGAGUUGUCACUAACAAGACAUACCCAAAAAAUGCAUAUAUUAUUAUUAUUAUUAUUUCAAUUAAAAUUAUAAAAUUUAGUUUUCCCACUGCCUUUUAACACUAACUUCAAAGUUGUAGUUUAUAUAUAGUGUAGCUCUUAUUUUAUAUUUAUAAACUUUGAUUUACGAUUUUAUCCCAAUAUUCCUAAUUAUUUAUUUUCUAGUCCUUUUGGAAUUUCUAGCUGUGUGUUGUACAUCACUUUGUACUUUUAUUAAAUUAAUGCAAGAUGUUUUAUCAUGCCACAUUUUUUCCCCAAAUAAUAAUCAUUUUAUUAAUAAUUAAAGUAUAUCACAUCCUCAUCAUUCUUCAAUAUAUAUAUGUGUGUGUGUGUGUGACCAAAGACUCAACAAAUUAAGGAAGAAGUAAAAAGUUAUGGCUACCCUAGAGAAGAAAAAGGGAGUGUGGGGGGUGGUUUGAAAUAAUUAGAAAAGAUAUAUAUAAUAAUUAAUGGGAAGAACCCUAAAAUUCAAAGGAUAUGGAAUCCCACCAAUAUUAUUUGAAGGGCACACACACUGCCCAUUAUUAUUUUAAAAAGAUACUUUUUUGUUUUUGUUUUUCACCACAAAAUUAUAUUGCAUGCUCAUGCUCAUGGAGGAAUUUAUAGGAUAGCUUAGCUACAUAGCCAUAUAAAUAAUGAUAUUUUUCAACCCCCAAAAAUUAAGGAAAAAAAUAUGGAUGAAGACUGAAAAGUCGUCUUCCUCAAUCGAAAGAAAUUUACAGUUAAUGGUCAUACGUGUCCCACCAAGGAGCAAAAUGUGAAGAAGGAUAUAUAUAGUGUGUGUGUGUGGUAUAUAAAGGAUAUGAAUAUGCCAUAAUGAUCGGUAACAAGUUGGGCUACAUACAUUUAGGUUAAGUAAAUUUAUUAUAUUCUUUUUUUAGAGAUAACAACCAUGGACGGACUAGAUUGAAUCUUUGAUUUCAAGAACAAGAAUUUCCAAUAUGUCGACCAAGUAGGCAUUGGAAAAAGACUACGUACCCUAAACUCUUGAUGGUCUUCCGCUUACGCAUUCUCCCAACUCCAAUCUCAAAACAAAUUUGGCUCUUUUGACGAUUGUCCUUAUAAAAAAAAGACUUAUUUUUGUAGCUAGAUGAUAUAAUAUUAAUUAAGUUUUUGAAUUAACUAUUAAUUUAAGAGCACAUGUAAUUAAACUAAUUUUACUUAUUUUUAGAUAAACUAUUAUAUUUUUAUAUGUCCUUAAUUUGCAUUACUCAGCCUUGAUGAUUCAUCUACUAGAUUACAUUACUACAAAGUGAUAUGUGUAGACUAUUAAUGUUGGCAUUGAAAUGCAAAGAGAACAAAGUGCUCCACUCAACAUUUUAGGGUUUAAGGGUUAAAAGGUUGAUUUAUAUAUAUAAAUGUAAGUGUAAGUAAAAAUAAGUUAGAAGUUGUUGUCCAUUUAAUUUUGAUACCCUUUUGUUGAAAGGGUACAAAUGUUUUGAUUAGUCAAAUACAAAAUAUUUUACCCAUUAUGUAUAGUUUUAAAGAGACGACAAAAUUCAACAAACUCACAUCAUGGUCUAAAAAAGCAAAUAUUCAACUUUUCUUAUCAAUGUGGGAACUCAAUACAUGGCCAUGUUAUUAAUUAAUAAAAGGGUGAGAUGAACUAAUAGUAAGUAAGACUUUUGAAAAUAUUAAACUUGUAUUUUAUUUUAUUUUUCCUCAAGUAGUAUAUAUAUAUAUAUAUUAUAUUAGCAAAACAUGUAAAUGAAAAAUAUCCCUUUUUUAAAUGAUAAAGACAUAUUUGUAAAUUUAAAAUACAUAAAUGGACCACAUAAUGAAGCUCAUUUUUUUGUUAUAUUUUUCCUUCACUUUCUGUUCCUUCAACAAUAUUAUUGUAUAUGAAGAUAUAUAUUUUGACAUAUGGAUGUCAUUGUUUGAUGAGUGUAUAUAUAUAUAUAAUAUGAAUCAAUUGAUUUAUCACACUUUCAUGUAUAUUAUUUAUUCUUAUCAACAUACACUUCACAAUUACAAUUAAAAAAAAAGAAACUUUUGUUUUAUUCAUGUGAUAUAUAUAUAUAUAUAUAUAUAUAUAUAUAUAUAUAUAUUAUAUAUAUAUGAGAUAUAUUUUCCUUACACCUAUUUUUGUUUUUAAUUUCACUAUCCAAUUCUCAAUAUUUUAAUUGGUUGUUUGUGUGUGAUAAGAGUGAAAUGUAUAAAAAUGGAUGUAUGUUAAUAUUUUCUAAUUUUUAGUUAUUAGUUUCGAUCAAGAACAAAUUUAUCUUUCUAUAAACCCUACGAGCUUGGUUUUGUGUCUUCUAUUAUUUCUUUGUGUGCGGUCAUAUUUUAUUAUUUUAAAUAGAAAAUUGGUCAAAAAUAAAAAAAUUAACAAAAUAAAAAGAAAUUGGUCGGUCAAUUUUUCAAUUUUUGAAAAAAAAAAAUCCCUUUUAAAUACCAUAUUUCAGCUUUAUUAUUUUAUGAGUAAUAUUCUCACUUUUUAUUGUAGAAUUAAUUAACUCUUCCACUAGAGGAUAUGUCAUGUCACUACCUCAAUCUAACCAUGUUUGAUUGAAAGAGUUGCCAAAUGUAAGUUAUUUUAUAGGAGAGAUCCUUUCUUUUAGCUUCGUUUUUUUUAAAUAUGAUACAUGAUGGAUCAUAACUAGGUUUGACACACCUUCUUAACAUUUUUCUUUCAUUUCUUGAACAUAUACUCUAUAGACAAUAAUCUUCUUUUAAUAUUUUUCCAAAAGUCUCACCUCUAACUCAAUAACUAAACAUCUAGACAUAUUACAAAAAUAAUAAUGUGAAACAUGCUUCGUCAAUUACAGUUAAAAUUAUAAUUCAUUUCGUGCUGUUUUUUAUAAUCAAACUUCAAAAUAACUAUUAAAAAGACUGACUAAAUUUAGGCAUGAAAAAAAUUAGAAUAUAAUAAUUUGAGGAAGGGUAUAUAUAUAUAUAUAAAAUGAAAUAUAUGUUAUUGGUUAGAAGAGAUGAAGAUAGGGUUUGGGUGGGUUUUGUGUGGAUGGAGGUGAAAAAGGAGAGGGUUCAGGAAUGAGAGAGAGCCACAGCCACUGCUCUCAAAAUUUCUUGUCAUCAAAGAAGUAGACACACACACAUUAUAUAAUGUUUAUUUAUUGCCUUCAUUUUGUUUCUUCACAAACAACCAGGCCCCCCCCUCCCCAUCUUCUUCUUCUUCUUCAACACAAUAAUAAAACUUCCUUUUUAAAAAUGAAUAAAAAGCUCCUUUUCUUUUCUUUUUAUCUUAACCAAUUAUUAUUAUUUUUACUGUUAUAUUUACCUUUAUCUUUUUUGUUUUUGUUUCUAAGAUCGAUCAGUAUGCAUGAACAUAUAUAUUAAUUAUUAAGGGCCAAUGCAUGUUUCUUUGAGCUUUAUUCAAUUUGUUUUCUGUCAGAUAUAUUGAUAUGAUAUAUUUCAAUUAUUUCUAUUCAAUUUAAAUUUGAUUUAUUUUUUAUAUAUAUAAAAUCACAAUUUGAUAAGUGGAGAGUACUGUUUUUGUGAUGUCAGUUAGUCCCCAAUUUUUAGUGUUGUACAUAAUUCAGACAAUAAGGUUUUUUGUUGGUUCAUUUUAUCCAACAUUUAUAUAUAUAUAUAAUCUCUAAUAAUUAGAACACUUCACAAUAUAAUAACUAUAACUAUAAAUAAAUAGUAAAAGAUCCACUAACCCUCCAAUUCUCUUACUGUAUCGUUUGCAUGGGUUUUCCAAGAUUAACCCUUCAUGCAUGAGAUCAGUUCUUAAUGCCAGAGAUUAUAUAUACGUGUGUGUAUAUAUAUAUAUAUAUACUAAUAAGUGGGUUUGUUGUUUGAUGAUACUGAUCUUUUAGCCUUUGUCCCAAUAGGGGCUGUGAUAAAGUUAAGUGCAAAGGCAAAGAGAGAAAACUAAGACAUGGGUUGUAAUUCAAAAUUUAAGACUUUAAAAAAGAUGGGAUUUUAUUUAUUUAUUUUGAAAGAGUGAUGAUCAGAAUAUUUUUCUUUUUCUUGAAAAAUGAAAAGAAAAAAAGAAAAAGAAAGGGGUCUAUUUUGGGGUUGUACAAGUUUCUUUUUUUUACCUGAUAUGGAAAGGGAAGCAGAAGAAAAGUUAGGCCAAAACCACACACUUAGAUUCCUUUCAUUACAAAAAGCCUCUCAAACAACCGACAACCUCUCUCUCUCUUUCUCUCUUUUCUUUUUUCUUUUCUCUCUAUUAUAUUUAUAUUUACAAUGGACAUCUUAAACUAUAAUUUUAUAUCUAAUCAUUCCCAUAUUAUUAAUUAUUAUUCAACUUAUAAUAUAUAUUUUAUACAUCAAAAACCAUAUUUAUAUGUAUUCAUACACACACACGCGAAAAGACAGAGAAAGGAAAAGAGUAAGCUUUAUAUAUAUGGUUUGAUCAAUAACAUUUUAGGGUUAAAAGUUUUCUUUUAGGUUUCUGAUAUAUAUAUUUACUGAUUACUAUAUCAAAGGACGUUGUUAACAAGUCUUUAAUACAACUUUUCAAAUCUGUAUUUGUUUCUAAAUGGGUAUGAAAAUGUGAACUUUUAACUUUAAAUAAAAGAGUUAUAUAGGUAGAUUAUCAUGGAAGCUAUAUAGUCGAUCAUUUUCGUUGCUCAAAUUGGACGUUUAUCGUAUAUGUUGUUUAUUUGGUAGCUAGGAUCAUCCUUUAAUAAUAUAGACAACAUAAUUAUUUAUAGAGUGAUUUAUUAGUUACAAAAUCAAAAGGUUUCUUUUUCUAUUAUUGUUGUUGAUAAUAUGCCGAGUGGAAGGGAAUCGAACAUUUGACCGUAGUUGAUUGUAUAUGCUUUUAUGUGUCUUCUAAAUUAUGUUUAUUUUAGUUCUUAUAGAGCUACUUUAUUUUUAGUUUUUUUUUUUCAUUCUUUUAAAAUAAUUAUUUGCUAACAAAUCUCUCUAUAAUUUUUUAACAUACUCAAAUUAUUUCACUUCUUGCAUUUUGAUAAUUAUACAUAACUCCAAAACUUAUAACUAAACACUAUACUUUUUCCUAAUAUGUUAGAUUUAAUUUGUUUAUGAAAUGUAGUAAGAAAGUGUCUUAAACAACCAAAUCAUGUUUUGAAAACUCAAGAAGUAGGUUUUCAAAAAUUAAUAUGUUGAUUUAAUAGGAUUGAUAAAAACAAUUUCAAAGCUUUGAUGGGUAAGACGAAGCACAAGUUUAAAAAACAAAAUAACUAUGAAAGAAACCCUAAAAACAAAUCACAAACUUUUUAAACUAUAAAAACAAAACCAACACAAUCUCAAAAGUCAAUAUAGUUCAACCCAUAAUUUAGCCCUUAAAAAAAUAUCAAAAUAUUAAAACAAAAAUAUUCCUACACUUUUAAAUGUCAAAUUUUAGUCAAUCUAAUUUCAACAAAUAUUAUAAAUAUUAAAGUUUUGUAUCCACGUUUGAUUUUAUGAUUAAUAAUUUUCCCACAAAAAAAGCACAAUAUUAGAAUUAUUCCAUAUAUAUUGUUGGUUAAAGGUUAUUAUUAUUAUUAUUAUAGGGAUCGAAAUACAAAAAACAAAAAUGUUAAAAUAAAAAAAUAGAUGGAGUAAGAUAAAAUAGAAAGGAAAUUGUGGAAGUAAUAAGAUGAAGAAAGAAGUAAUUUCUACAAUAAGUGGGGUCGAUUAAAUAAAUUGGUUUUCACAUCAGGACUCCUCAAGAGGGCGCAAAAAUUAGAAAGAAGAAAAAAGAAAAACUAACAACUUAAUGAACAGUAGUUUGUUUUGUAGGAGUGGGAAUGAGAGGAUGAGUUUCAUGAUUACUGCACAAAAUCUGCUCCAAAUUUUCAAUCUUUUUCAUACUCUGACUUCCAUUUUUACGGCCCAUAUCAUCAUCUUCUUCAUCUUCUGAACAAGAAGAAGAAAGUGAAAUUGGCAACAAUGGUGGAUUCGAAUUAGAAGAAGAAGAAGAAGAAGAAGAAGCCAUUGUUAGUUGCAUUGCUCUUUCAACUUGAACCAUCCAAUCUGUUGUGCAAAGUACAUAAAUCAUCAUCAAAGCACAUGUACCUUGAGCCGCAAGUAACCCAAUCCACAGCCCUGCAAAACCCAUUUUCACUACAAACCCCAUCAAAAUCGCCACUGGAAAACCCACCAAAUAGAAUGAUCCCAAAUUUAUAUUUGCUCCUGUCGUCGGCCGAGCACUUCCUCUCAAAACACCACACCCGGUGGUUUGUGGGCAAUUCCCUAACUCACAAAGCCCCACGAUCGGCAAUGCCACUGCAGUGAGCUCCAAAAUCUCGGCGUCAUCCGUGAAAAAUCUACCCCAUUUGUGCCUCAUUAGAGUGGUGAACACCAUGGCUGCCACACCAAGCGCAACGGCACAAAUGAGUGAAACGAUCAUGGAAAUGCGCGCUUUGGCUGGUCGAUUUGCCCCUAAUUCAUUUCCAACUCUAGUGGAAACACCGAAGCUGAGAGAGGAAGGGAAAACAUACACUAAAGAAGUGGUUUGAAUCAAAAUCCCCAUUGAAGCAAUUGUAGCUUUGGGAUUAACAAGAAGUCCACAAAGCAUUAUCAUGAAUUCAUACCACCACCAUUCAAGACAAACAGAGACGCAAGUGGGAAUUGCAAGAGAAAGCAGAGGAGUCCAUCCAUGGAGGCAAUCCACACUUGGAGAAACCCAAGAAUCUUUAUACACUCCAGAGAAGUAAACAAAGGAGACAAGGAACAAGAAGACAUUUAAAUUAAACCACACCAUGGCAAUGGCAACACCAGAAAUCCCCAUUUUGAAAUGGACGACAAGGAGGAAAUUCAGGGGAACGUGAAGCAAAACAGAGAGAGCAGAGCAAUAAGUCAAUGGGAGAGUAAUGCUUUGAGUUCUUAAGUAAAUACGAAGAGGAUGAAGAAGGGAGAGGAAAAUUAGAUCAGGAAUUGAGAAAAGAAUGAAAGUUUGGGCAACGGUAGAGAUUUCCUCAUCUUGACCACACCAUAAAAGGAUUCGUUUCAUGUUGAGCCACAUGAAGGAGAUAGGAACAGAGGAAGUAAGAAGAAGAAGAACAGUUCUUUGAAGAGUUAUACCAAGGAGUUUCCAUUGUUUAGCUCCAUAAGCUUGGCCACAAAUGGGUUCCAUUCCCAUGGCUAAACCAGAAAGAACAGAGUAACCAGUGAUGUUAGCAAAGCCAAUAGAGAGAGAACCCCCUGCAAGUUCAAGUUCACCAAGGUAACCAAGAAAAAGCAUGGAGAUCAUAGCUCUUGAGUACAAAAGUAGCCCUGUUAUUGCUGUUGGACCUGAAAUCUUCCCUAUUUCCUUCAUUUCUUCCACUGCCUGAACAUCAAUACAAAUUAUAAAAAAAAAAAAAGUCAGAAACUUUAGUAAAAAAGAAAAACAAGUUCAUUCUGGGGUAGAGAAAAUUCUCUUCUUUUUACCUCAGAAAGAGUUGGUAAUCUAUGAAGUUGAGCCAGUUGAUCAUCAGAAGGUUUGAGAAGAUUGUUAUUAUGAUGAUGAUGAGUAUUAAGAUUGUUAUUAUUAUUGUCCAAGUUCUUGUUGGGAGUGGUAGUGGUCAUGAAGUUGGUUUUGUAGUUAGUUGAAGGAAGAAAUGAAGAAUUAUUAGGAGAGGAAGGUUUUGGGUUACACAUGGCUAGCCUAGCUUAUUAGCUACCACACCACACCACAAUCUUCUUCUCUCUUUUUUGCUAUCUAUCUAUCAAUCUAUCUGUAUUUUUAGGAUAAAGAAAAAACUAAGUAAGAAACAAUAGAUAGAUAGAUAGAUAGAUAGAUAUAUGAUUGUGAGUAAAUGACUCUUCUAUUCUUCUCUCUUCAAUGAUAUUUUGUAUGUAAGUUUGUAAGAGCUUCUCAAAAUGGAAUGAUGAGAGUGAAUGGGAGAAUGGGUUUAUAUACAUACAGGAAUUGCCACCCAGAAAAUUUGUUCUGCCGUCCUCUUAAGGAACGUGUCUCAAGAUAUCAAGGACAGUGCUUAAGAGAAAAAGAAAAGAAAAAAAAAAAAAAAGGAAAAGGAAUUUUUUUUUCCUUUUUGUUUUAAGGGAGGAAAAAAAAAGUUAGGGGCCGACUGUCCUAAUAAAAAGCCAUUCACUUUUCCGACCAUUAGCUAAAAUCAUUUCAUAAUAUAUCCAUCACAACAAGAAACAAAUAUAUGGUAUAUGGGGGGGGAGGCAAAAUUUUCAAACCUCUUUUAUCUUAUCUUGAGGUACAAGUGAAGGUAAUUGAAAAUUAGUUCUUUUUUUUUUUUUAACAGCCACAAUCCUAUAUUUGUUUGGUUUCAAACAAAAAAACCCAUUUUGGAAAUUUUAUUAAAUUUAUAAGUAGUGGAAUUAAUAAUUUAAUAAUUUAACUCUGCCUCUUUUUUUUCUUUUUCUUUUUCUAUUUUUUUUGGGAUUAAUAGAUUAAUAUUCAUAAUGGAAAAAACUCAGUGGAUAAUCUUUUUUAACACUUCGACCUCUUGUGGUCGUGUUUGGAAAAUAUGCCCCGAAAGAGAUAAAAGAAACUUAUCUUGGAAUGCCAAGUGGAUGAGGAGAUCGAGAAACGAAAUUCUUUCUUUGAAAUGACAGAGAGCAUAUGAAUUGGUGGUUUAUAAAAUAUAAUAAAUAAAAAAACAAAUAAAAAUUUAUUUAUAAAUAUAAAUGUUUUUUGGGGGGUGGCUUUCAGUAGAAGAUGACUGGCUGGCUUCUAUCUUUGUAGGCAAAGGAGAUGUUUGCAUGUUCAAAAGCAACAUGCAUGUCCGAUUCUUAUACAACCCAUGUGGGAAAUCAUAGCCAAUAAAAGCACAACUCCAUGUGUUAGUAACAAUUUCAAUAGGAUAUAUUAAAAAAAGUCACUCGGACUGUUAUCGAUCUUGGUCAAGAAUGAAGGGAAAAAGAGAACAAAAUAUGUUGUAAAAGAACUUUAUGAUUAAUAUUCUAUGGUGAUGGUUCAUAACAGAUUUGGGUUUGGUCAUGAGGAGGAUGAGAUAAAAAGGAGUGAAGGAUGUUGAUUGGGAAGGAAUAAUAAUAAUAAUAAUAUUAUUAUAUUAUAUAUAUAUAUCUACAUACACUUAUGGUGUGGGGGGUGGAGAUUGUUUUUAAGCCCCUUUGGAAGUGGAAUAGGAUUGUUAAGAUUUUGUGAUCCCCUCUUGGAGAUUUUGUGACAAAUUAAACCCCUAAUAACAUCAUUCCAAUCAAUAAUUACAAUACUAUUUUAGACUAACGAUCAAAAAAAGGUGGGGGCCAUGAGAUGAUCACAAUUUACAAUGGAUGGAACACCUCUUUACUUCUCUUUCCCUCCUGUAUUUUUCUUGCAGGAAUCCAGACUUGAAAUGGGCUAACAUCUCUACCCCAUUAGUUGAUUUGGACCUAUUAUUAUUGUUGUUGUUAUUCCAGGUGGGUAAAACCUUUGGGCUUAGGAGGAGGAGGAAGAAUUAUAGCCUAAUAACAAUAAAAACAACCGAAGAGAGGAGAUUAGGAGUGGAUUUUUGAGAAGGGAGGGAGGGGUCAAAAUCCAUCAUCACAAGGAGGAUACUUGAAAAUGCAAAAAAAGGAAGAAAAAAAGAACCCUCAAGAAGAGUUUGUCAUCUUAUUUGGUUAUAGAUGAUUAAAAAAGAGAAGAGGAUUCUUCAUGGGUAAUGCUGCUGUUGCUGCUGUUGCUGCUGUGUAUUAAGAAUGGGACCACCUGAUAAGAGAAGAGAGUAUGUAUGUUAAUGGGGAAGGUGACAGUGGAAUGGCUGUGUGAAGAAGGAGCAGAUGGGAGAAAGGGAACACACAGAUUUAGGUGAACCAAUUAAAAGCAUUAAAUAUGUAUCCCUUUUCUCCCAACACAGAUGAGGCUGUCUCUAUAGAGGGAAGAGAAGUUGGGGGGACUGUGUCCUUAGCUGAGGCACACAGCCCUACCAUCAUCAACAAGCCAGAAACUUCUCUUUAUCACUCUGAGCAGCAGCUGCACAAAAGGACCAGUUUUUCAUUUGUUUCCUUUGUAUAAGAUAUUACUUCUCUGAAACUCAUAACACAACCCCAUGUCAGAUCCCAUGUGUCUUUGGCUCUAUCAGUUGAUGUAGGUGAAGGGUAAGUAUCAAACAGCAGAACUCUCUGGACAAAACAAAAAACAGAUAAAUUCAAGUAAGUAAAGAUAAACAAAAAAUAAUAAUAAUAAUAAUAAUAAACCAGGUCGGUAAGUACACUACAGAUAGAAAUUUUUUGCAGUUUGGGGAAGCAAAAUUUGGAGGGGUCCAUCAAAUUCCAGAUCCCAAACAGGAUUGAAGCAAAAGAAGUUGACAAGCAGAGCUAAAAGUAUCACAUGUUGAUGCCCAUGCAUUUGUUCUCUUCCUCAUCAAUCAGAAAGCAAAUUUACUCGAUACCAAGUUGUUCUAAUGGAGAUCAUAAAGAAUUUUUCUUGGCAUCUUAGCAAACAGAUUAUAAUAAAUGCUAAUACAUGUUCUUUUCGAAAAUGAUCUACAGAAGUUGACAUGACAGAUACUUGACACCAAUAAUAAAGAUUAUACCCUUCCACACACUGGAAUAGAUUCACCAUCGUUCCUCCAUACCAAGCUUUCUUCUAUCUUUUCAAGAGAAAGAUCAAUUCUAUCACAAGAUUCUAAACAGCUUAGACCUAACAUCUCCUUAAAGAAAAAAAUAAAAGUAUUUAACUGGAUACCACUCGUGCUUUCUUCAUCAAUAGUAAGAUGCAUGAAAAUGCCUAUAUUGUAUUCCCACUGUGACUGUUUUCUAAAUUCAAGCACAGAUUAUGUUAUCACUUAAAAAGAAUUUCAUUCUACCGUUAUGCUCGCUCCAUUUAAGAUGGCCAAAGAAUAAAGGAAUAUUACCCUUCAAACAACCAUUUCAGUACUAACUGAUACUUCUCAUCAUGCGUUUUAGGAAGCAGCAUAGCAUGAGAAGAGAGCAUAUUAUACUGAUAUAACAGCAAACCAGAUUUGUGUCAAUGAUCAAUGCAACCAAACAUGGGGAACUUAUUCUGACAUGAAGAUGCAAUAUCAAAGAAAAGCUAAAAAGAACGUUUAUUAAUAUAUACAAAUAUAUAUUUUAUUUAUUAUAUAUUGUUCAAGGAUGCCAUCGUUAAAAAAUAGCUUGAGCUUUAUUUAACAAAUUAUCUAAAAGCAUAAAAGAAAUGUCCCCAUCAGGGUUUCAAUCAGCACAAUAAAUAAUUGUUGCCCACCAAGCACAUUUCAACAUACUUAUACAAAAAUUCAUGCACAAAUGAAUGAGAAUCCAAUACAUUAUGAUUGAACCAUCAACGCACUAAAUAUUGCCUUAGAAGAAAAAUGAUACUUCAUAAGGAAUAAUUUUCAAUCAGCAGCAUUAUCUUCGUUGGUAAGAAAAUAGUCUUCAGAGUAAUUUUGGAAUCCACAGCUCAGGCUUCCCCACUUUUAACGCAGAAAUUGUCAUAAAGCAACAUUUCCAGGAGGUGGGACUGAUAUUCAUAAAAGAAAAUUCCUCACUGUUUGCAGAUAACUUGUCUCUCUCAGCAUUUGGUGACAGCUAGUGCCAUAAUUAUCAAUGAAUGGCCGAUAUGUCUGAUUAAUUAAUACCUUCUUUUUCCUCUUCUGUUGCUUACUUAUAUACACCAUUGAUCACAGUAAUAUAUGGCCAUGCCUUAAAAUUUACACCAGCGCUCCCUCACUGUUUAACCAGACACGUUGCUACUGUAAUAUAAUAAGCAAACUUCCCAACCCAUCGCACCAUAAAAAAGGAAAAAAAAGAUGUUGUACACCAAAACUCAGAAGUAUAGUAUGUAACACACGUGUUUUACAUAAAAAUUCAGAUCAAUUAUCAUGUUGAUCAUGGAUGAGAUGCACACCAACCAAGCUUUUCAAAUAUUCUGACAAUCAACAAAAGGAACUUUUUAAAAGAAGAAAACCCUAUAUAAACAGAGUAUCAAAAUGUAUAUUUAAAGCUGUUUACAAAUUUGUAGUGGGCUAGACAGUUUUGCAAUGAGAUGAUAAGCUAGAUAAAAAAGACUAAAGAGAAAUGGAUAUAACUGAGUACCUCAUGUGAGGUUUCUGGGGUUCUGAGCACCAGACCGAGGAAGAGCCAAGAUGGCAAUGAGUCCACUUGCAAAGGCUGCAAGUGCUGCCACAGCAAAAGCUGGAGAGUUUCCACCACCAAACAGCUGAUCCCAUGGUCCACUUCCCAGGGACACCACAACCUACUAUCAGAAACAAUAAAAUUGGUGAAUUAAAUAACUUCAAAAAGGUUAAGGGAAAAAUGGUUGACAAGUUACCAAUAGUAUGCUACCAAAACUUCCUGUGCAUGUCAUCAUGAGAACUAAUAUUGUGAUUGAAAUAGAUUUGAGCAUAUCAGAUCAAUUAGCUAAAAAAUUGCUUAAUACCAUAUGAUGGAAUCCCUUGAUUGGAAAAAUAAUUGGGUUGAAAGUAUAACACCACAUGCAACAUUUUCAGGACAUGACAGGUACUAGAGACUAAAUGUUUGACUUUUAUUAUUUAAGAUCAAGCCUCAUGUCGUUAUAUAUAUAUAUAUAUAUAAAGGAAAAACAAAUCAAAAGAAAAAAUUGAUUGCAAUCCCAAACAAGCUUGAAUCUUGCAGAAUGUCUCACGCAAUUACUCUCUCAACAAAGCACCCAGCCCCACCCUGCUCUUCUGUUCUGAAGCAGACAGAAGCACAAUGUAUGGGACCAAGAAAAUUAAUCGCUUUGUGAAACAUGAUUGUCCCGCUGAAUGCUGAACCGAUUUUACCUUUAAGUCACUCAUAUAAACCAAGACCACCAUAUUCAAGAAAACAACUAUACCUGCAUCCUUCCUCAAAAUUUAAAUUGAAAAAUGCAGAGUUCAGCAUGAAAAUUGAGAUAACAAAAAGAGAAAAAGUGGCAAGUUAGUUCACUUUGUUAUUAACAAAUGAGUAUCAUCUCUAAUAGAGAAGAACCCACUUCAUAUGAAAAGCCAAGUAGACUUAUAUAUGUAUAGAUAGAACACAUGGUGUCCAUUAAUACAAUGUAAUGUGUGUUUGUUUUAAACAAGAAUACAACUGAAAUUGAGGUGAAAAUAAUAAAUACAUCAAGUGACAGAUUCGCAAAAGCAGGGGAAGAAAAACCAAAAUAUGUGGCUCUUAAAAAAAUAUGUUCAGCUAAUGCUUCACUGUUCCAGAAUAAAAUGUUUUACUACUAUGUGGCCCUCAAAGUCUACCAUAUCUUACAGAUCAAUAUAUGCUCCUGACAAUGUUACCUAAGGCAACAGCCAAAUCUAUCGGCUGGAUUGAAUCCUACAGAGAGGUCCACUAACGAUCAAAAAGUUUUGAAUAAACAACAAAAUAUUAUGUCAAAUUAUUUUAUUUCUAUUAUUAUCCAUUACAUAUUGGAAAGUGACUGCAGGACUACAGAUAUGGACAAACUCUAAUCCUCUACCUGUGAUCUCUUCCACAUGGAAAUAUAUUUUCAUCUGCAUCCCUAAAUGUUUUCCCAAGACAAAAAGUAAAUUGGCUAACGGGGAUAUCCACCACUGAAUUUUUAAGAGAAGUUUUGUCUUAGUAUGUCCCAGAAAGAGGCCAGUCAAAAUUAGACAAUCUUUCUCAUUUGACAAAGUCAAAUGAUUAGACGGAGAACACAAACUGUAAUGUUCCUUCAUUAGUUCAGAAUAGGACUCUUUCUCCCAAGUUAACUGCCCUUGUAAAUUAUACCGCUUCCAACAUUAGACGUUUUCGAUCAUUUCAUCCAUGAUUUUUAUCCAGUGGUUAAAAGACAUUUUUAUUGGUUCACAGAUCCCUUUAAUGCACGUUCAUAUUGUGCAUAACUUCAAAAUAAUAUGAACCAACACUUCUGAUGCCAGUUAUCAGAUAGUGCAGAACCUAUAACAAUUUCCUUUUCCCAAAGAGGUUUGUUAAAAGAAUAUAAAAUAAAUAGAAUGACCCAAUAUAAGACAAAAUUUGUGUUAAAAAGAUAUCAAGUAUGAACAAAUAUCAUAAGAUAAUUGUUCCACUGUUUCUUCUAUAAUAUUCUGCGCACAUUGAAAACAGAGCUGAAGCACACUAACCUUACGAUCAAAUAUUACAUGAUACAAAUUUACAGGCUCAAACAUGGAGGAAGCCCAAUUUCAAUUAAUAAGAAGUCAUUUGAUGAAAAUCUUUCAACGUAGUUCAAAAGAGUACCACAUAAUAACCAAUGAGACAAAAUAGAAAACAAGUAUUACCCCCGUGAAGUGACAGAUAAAAAAAAUAUAUUGUCAUCAAAUAAUAGGGACAGUCAACAGGAAAAAAUUGCACAAAUAAUUGCAUGCUUAGUUACACUCUUGAAAGAGUAGUUUUAAAAUAUGGGCCCUUCUCAUAUGCACCUUACCCCUUAAAAGGAAAUAAAUUGACUGCUGACAAAAGAACAAUGGUAUAUUUUGUUUAUUGACCUGUAUUGUGUGAGUCCUUGACAACGUUUUGGGAAUAAAUGAUGCUACCCUCCACCCCAAUUGUCUAGAGUAUCUCUCGUGUUUGUCACAAAUUCAAGACUUUUUUCAGCUAAAGUCCUAUUAUCUAACUGAACACCCUCAAAAUUUUGGAAAGCACAGAAUUUUGGUCAACGACCAGCAAAUAACUCAUCUGAAUUGCCAUAAAAAAUCAAACUCUAUUUUAAUAAAGAAAAAAAAUUCAAACCAACAAGUCCUAGCCAUACAUAUUAUAUAUUUUUCUAUUGGAGUUUAAUAGGUCGAGAGAAAACCCUUUUAAAGAAAAAAAAAAGUUUACAUCAUUUCACUGUCGCAGAGGAAAAGAAAAUUAUGGAAGAUAUAUGUAGGACUAGAAUCACCUGUGGGAAAACUAUUGCUAAGUUCAAGACACCCGCAGACAAACCUGCAAGAAGCAACUCCACAAUAAGCAGCCCUCUAGUCUUCCAUUUGAAGAAAAUAACAUGAAUCUCACCUUGACCAAGUUGUAAAGAUUCAGCGCGUGAGGAGAUCAUGGCAUAUGGAACACUGUAAGUAAUCUGCAAUUAAUUAAUCCAAUAAAUCAAUAAAAGUGAUGCACAAAUGGAACUCGGUCAUGAAUUAUCACGAAUUGAUAAAUCUUAUGUUGACUAAACAUUCCAAAUCCAAUAUGUAAACAAGUACAUUUUUUAUCCUUAAAAUCUCUACAUUUUCAUCUAAUGGGAGUAGUUCGAUUGGACAAAAAAGAUAAACAUGUGUGCACAUUCUAUAUAAGGAAGGAACUGCUUACUGCCAAAGGGGCGCCAAGAAGAGCAAAGAUAAUCAAUGCAGCUGAUACAAUACUAUUUGGUGGGAGAUCGUGACCUAUAUAGCCCAUAUUGUUUGCCACAUACGUAACAACCAGGAUAGUAAGAAAACAUAUACCCAUAAAAAUAUUAGAGAUUCCCCAUAUGAAACCAGCACCCCACUUUCUGCACAGCUUCUCCAUAAGUAGUGAAGUUAUUCCGAGGACAACAGAGUUACACAACAGACCAAAUGCUCCCAUUCUGACUCCCGAACUAUAAGUCUGUCCUUCAUUUGGCUUGCCACCAUAAAUCUCUCUACCCAUCCAAUCAGUAUCAAAGAGAAUAAAUGGAAACCAUGCUAUCCAUGUCAGGGAAGUGACAAGCAAAAUUACCCAUAUAUAACCAGAGAAGUGUCUAAAAGUGUGAAACAAGUCCCAGAAAAAUGCUUCUGAAGCAUGACCUGACUCCCCCAUACUUUCUUCUACAACCAGGGAGGACCUGUCGUUUGAAACUAGAGGUAUCUCUUGAGCUGCCGAUACACUCAAAUAUGUUGUAAUUGCAAUGAACACGAUAUCAAUCAAGAAAGCUGACUUGAGAUUUGCACAAUUAACAGAACAUGCAGAGGUGAGAGUAAAUGGGAAGAUCUUGUACAAGCCACUAACAGAUCCAGUUGCAUAUCCAAAAAUAUUACCAACAGCAAUAAAUAGAGAAAAAUAAGCAUUUGCCACUCGAUUCCUUCGAUGAUCCUUUCCUAGCACAAUAUUAAUUUUUUAAAAACAUAAGUGUCUCAAGAUCCACAGAACAUAAGAUCUUUAUUAGGUAGUUAGGUUUAACCAAACAUGUCAUACCCACGACCACGAACUACUGGUUUUGAAAGGGGAGGGGGCCUUGAUUGUGUGCAUUAGCAAGCAUUUGAAGAGUACAAAAGUUGGUAUCUUAGUUCUAAUCCUUAAACUGCCCUCUUAGCAUGUCAGCACAUUAGCUCAAAUCCAUUUAUACUAGAGGAUGAAAAUCAAACUACAAAAUUUUGUUUUUUUUAAUAUAAUUUUGGGUGCAAGGGACAAAUAAUCCCACAAAAAAAUGAUUCCACCCCACAACAUUAAGCAUCAAAAUACUCAAAAGGGUAUUUAAUUUCCUACAUAAAUCAUCACAUUGAUUUGAAUUAAAACUUUUCAAGAUUCACAUAAGUUGUCCUUUAACAACAAAUUACUGCACGUGUUUUUGUUUACAACAACCAUUAAUUUACUAUUACAAUUUACAGCAAAAUACCUUAUACAUUACUGACUUUUUAGAACCUUUUGCAAUGAUUGGCGCAGUGUAAGAUUUUAAUUUUUCUUUCUAGUAUAUACAUAUAUAUUUAGCCAAGUGGAAAAACUACUAUCAAGGAACUCCGUCUGACAUCUCUGCACCCCUAACCACCCUAACAGAGACUUUCUAACUCCAACAUAUUGACUUCAAAUUUCAUAACUCACUUCAAUGUCCCCAACACCCCCUAAUAGAUCAAUAUUGACAUACAUGGAAAUUAUAAAGGAGAAAUCAUAAUAGAAAUACACACCACUAGCCUUAAUUCAAGAAUUAGUAGCAUAUUUGAUAUUACUUCAGUAAAUUGGGAGGCACGCUGGUAAUAUAGGGACAACGGUAAAUGUCUAAACGAAGAGAUGAAGCUAAACACUUAAGAAUCUCUACAAACGAAAUUAUAUACUAACAGAGAUAUCAAAAUUCAAACUUUAUACCGAAAAACUUACCGGUAAGAUCAGCAAGCAGAGCUCUACAAGGACCUUGGGAGACGUUGUUAGCUACAUCGAGAAUCCAAAAGCCAACCACAAAGAAUACAAUCGCACGAGGCCUAACAUCACCUCUGUCACCAAUCCACCAACCAAGGUCUGCAGAGUGACCAAUAACCAAAACAGCGAGUACUAUAGAAAGCGCUCCAGCGACGAUGAACGGCCUCCGACGACCGUAUCGGCUGGUGCAGUGAUCGCUCAUAUGACCAACGAGCGGUUGAACAAAGAGACCAGAAAUCGGUCCACAGAGCCAUAUAAGACUAGACCAGGCGUGAGGAAUACCAAGCUCUUGAAUAUAAGGAGUGAGAAGAGAGAGCUGCAAAGCCCAACCGAAUUGAAUUCCACAUGCGAUAGAUGCGACUCUUAGUAACCGUCUCAGUGGAACCCUAGGUCCGACAAGCGGUCGAUUUGCUCGCCGAGAAGCCGUACGGUGACCUUCAGACGACUCCGGCAUCACCAUUUUGUACCUCUAGCUAGCAUGCGCAAGCGCAACCUCUCUCAAACUUUCCUCCGGGGCACUCACUCGGAAUAUCUCUCUCUCCCUCUGAUCGUAACUGUACUAUAAGAAUCCAGGAGCGGCGAAGAAGGAAGGAAAGGUGGCGGUUGCCGUCAGCUUGUGAGCUGAGCAUCAUCAACAACCGAAACUGCCCCUACAGUUUUCAAUUAAAUUACGCACAUUGCCUCCACAAUUAAAAAAUAUAAAAAAAAGAAAAAAGCGGGAAAUCAAGGCAAACCAUUUUAAUUAAUUAACUAAUUAAUUCUAUUAUCUAAUUAUCAUCCCUAUCAAACUCUUAAUUUAUUUUGCUUUACUUUAAAAAGCAAUUAAAUUAAGUAAGACAAAAGUUUGAAAUGCAUACGAACAUGUUUACGUCUCAAAUUGAAAUGAGGAACGAAACUUGUUAAGGAGAGGAAUGUAUUUUCUUCUAUAACUUGUUACAAAAUUGAAAUAGAAAACUAAUUAGAGAUUGCUUCACUAUAAUAAUGACGAUGAUAUCCUAUAAAAUCCCAUGACACAACCAAACACAAGAUAUCUUAGAAUGUCUAUUAUUAUUAUUUUUUUUUUUUGUGUAUUUCAAUCCGGCCUAGAUGAAUGAACGAGCCUUGAAAACUAUUGUUUUUUUUUGUUUCAUCUAAAAAAUUUCUCAUAAUGACAAUCACAUUAUCUUUCUUAUAAGACUUAAAUUCUUUACUUUCAAUAUUUAAUUCUAUAAAUUAGAAACGAGAAAAAGAAAAAAGAAGAAAGAAUGUUACCUUAUUUUAUUAUAAACAAAAGUAUAGAAAUUCGAGGGAAACAUAUAUGUUAUGUAUUAGAAUAAAGUGAGAGUGAUAAAGAGAGAUGCUUUUGAAGUUGCUUAGUAUACAAGCAAGUAGGUUGGCCUUCUUUCUUUUUCUUCUUCCAAUUUCGUCCAUAACAAGUAAGGAAGUUGGGCCGAAAGGCCCAUUAGCAUUUCUAGAGCGGUGACCACAGUUCCACACUCACAACACCACCACGUCAAGCAUAUAUUGCCAACGAACAAAUGCCCAUCGACUACCCAUUGGCUAAUCCACCAUUUCCAUCAAGCUUGUGUUAUCAAUUUUACACACCAUUUUAUCAUAAUUAUAACAUCAUUGCACCAUAUGGUAUGUAUGCUCUUUCAAAUCUCAUAGCUACAACUAGCAUCUGACAUUGCGAUAGUUUAUAUUACUAGACUAAAUUUUAACGUAAAACUAUGGAUACCAAACUCUAAUUUUAUUUGUGUGUCUGAUAAACAACAAAGAAAGAAAUAAAAAGUCGAAACGAGAAGAAGAAUAUAAACUAUCAUAAUGUUGUGUUUAAUGAAAAACAAGAGACGAAAGAAGCUAGAACGAGAAAAUAAAAAAAAACUGUAUGAUCACUUUAGUUUCAGGGCCUCACAUGUGAUUCGAAGACAAUGUGAUAUUUUUACACACUUGAAGUAAGAAAAAGACAAAAAAAAAAAUCAUUUAAAUUUGAAUUCUAGACCAAAUUUUAUUGGAAUCCAAAAAUGGGUAAAACCCAAACUUGUUGGAUAUCCUCUUAAUAUACCCUCACUUCCUUCUCCAAUUUCCAAAGAAGAUUAUAUGUCCAUUACAACUCAAUUUGCCUUUCUUUCCUUUCAAGUAUUGUCAACUUGCUAUUUCCAAAGCUCACCCUAACCAAAAAUGGCCCCCUAAUCGAUCCAAAGUGUACGACAAAAUUUUAAUUCAAUAUCAUAUCUUUACCUUAUUGUCUAUCUAUUAUAAUUUAUAUCUUUUUCUAAGAUCGAGUUACUUCAUAGACCUUUUAUUGAUUCCUAAUUGUAAGCAUACACUUUAUUUUGAUAUACUUUUUUGGUUCUUUUUAUCUUCUUUUUUUUUAUAAAAAAAUCUUUGCACAUAUAUAUUAGUGAAACAUUUAUUUAUUGCUAAUAAUCUAUGAUAAAUUCUACACUAUAUCAUUUAGUGCAUAGAAAUUAAAGCUUGGAAUUAUACCUUUUUGUACUCUCUGAUCUUAUGCUUAAUCUUAUAGGCAUUUUAAUGGAACAAUGAGACAUUAAAGUUAGUUACAUGCUGAAAUACAUUGGAUUUGGUCAAUAUUUUUAACUGAUUUGAAUUCAAAGCUAGAUUGUGAGUAAUAAUAGAUAGGUAAUUAUCUUUAAUUUUUAAAGACAUGCAUCAAUUUCGAGUCAAAAUAACAAUCUUAACAAUGUAAUAUACAACGAACUAGGUCAAUCGUUAAACUUACGUCGAAUUCAAAGUUUGUUUACGAGUACAACAAUUAAUAAGUUAUCGUUUAUUUUUACAUAAGGUAUCGUCAAACUCGUAAUACAUCAAAAUAUUUUGAUUUCUUAAUAUAAAUAACGAAUCUCUAACUUUAGAAUAAAAAUGAUUGCUAAGCAUAUAAUUUGAGACGCGUGUUUCAAAUUUGUUCUUAAUCUUUUAAUAUGAUAGAUUUGUUUGCAAAUAUCACAAUAGGUUUUGUUAAAUGUUAAUGAAUGAGAAAGUGAGAUCAAAUACAAACAUACCUUAGUAAAAUCGAAGGGCUCUCUCCAACCUUUUGUAAGGACAAAAAAUAAAGCUAAGCUUGAUAUAUUAUAGAUAUGAUAUCACAAACCAUUUAUGAGUUCCCAUAUGUACUAUCCAUUUCCAAUGCUUUUUUUACAAUAAAAUAUAACCUAAGAGAUCAUGCACUGUCAACAAGAUUUAUACACAUGUCUCACAUACAGAAAUAGUAACAACAAUAACCCUUAACUACUCAUUGUUUUGUCUUUUAACAUACACCCAUAAUUGUUUAAAAGAAAAUAAGUAUAGAUCAUCUAACAUAAACUUUACACGACUUUUCAAUGUUAGUUUAUUUCUGUAGUUGCAUGAGCCAAAACAACCAUUCCUUUCAUUACUAACUAAGAACUAAAACCAAAUGGAAUAUAACAAAUUGAAAAAUAAUAAUAAUUAGUAUAUAUACAAAACAAGUCAUGGAGCUGCUCACUUAAUGAUGUGUGAGAGAUAGUAAUUAACCUCGUCAUUAAUGAAAAUGAAAUUUAGUAUUCUCUCAUCUCAAAAUUUAAAGUCAGAAGGUAGGCUUCAUAUACUUUGGACAUUUGAAAGGGAAAGAAGAUGGAAGCAAAGAAAUUAGUCCAAGAAAUGGAAGGUUUCAAGAUAAGACAAAAUCCAAGAGGGAAAACUAGGCAUGCACUUGCCUAUAUGCUUUAAUUUCAUACUAGUCCUCCACCCCAACUCAAGGCAAACACCAAAACUUCUCUAACAAGCUUGUAUCCCUGGGAACCCUAGCUAAAACAAGAAUACCUAGAUCAACGAAGAUAUAUAAUAAAUACGAGCUAAAAUGCUGAAGAAAAGUUAAUGUAGCUCUAUACUUGCUACACAUAUAUACAUUAGGAAUUAUGUAUUUUGAAAUUAUAGCACAUUAAACCCUAAAAUAAAACUAAACAAUAUAGAUAUAUAUAUAUGUAAUUAAUAUUUGUGAAAUGUAGGAUUGGUUUAAAUAUAAGGUAAAAUGUAGGUGAUAAGUAGGAAAGAUAGAAAGAGAAAGGAAAGAGUUGGAAAUAUGACUUGUCAUUGUACAGAGAAUAUGAAAUGGAGAUGGAACAGAUACUGAGAAUGAAUAAGGAGGGUAAGGGGUGGGUAGAUCUAGAUAAUAAUUAGUCACAUGUGUGCCACGUGGACAAUAAUAGAAGCCGUGGACUGGCGAAAUAGGACUACCGUUGAAACUAAAAAACUAUGACGUGGAUAUCCCUUCCCAUGUCUGUCCCCUAAUACAAUCUGUUGCAAUCCCAACACAUUUUCCAUUACCUUUACCUACAAAUCUACAUUACACAUUUUCUUUUUUAUCCCAUUUUCCAUCCCUAUCCCAAUCCUUAUUUGUCUCUUCCAAUCAUUUUCUCUAAACCCAUAACUUAUUACUUUACUUCAAUCGCCACCUCUAUCUACAUUCUCCGAUCAAUUGACAUACUUUGAACUUUGAGGUUUGAUUAUACACCCCACAUAAUCAUUCAUCAAACUACUACUAUUAUUAUUAAUAGUAUGAACCUUUGAAUGUUAUAGAAUACGAAGAUGAAAAAGAAGAAGUAACUAUAAUUAAAUACGAAGGUCGAACAAGUCCUAUGCAUGUCCAAUGAAAACUUAAAUGAGAUUUUGAAAUAAUAACUGGUAAUUAAAAUUUAUGUGCGGUUUGGAAGGUUGUGUUAUUGGGAUCUAAAUAAAAUAUGUAUGAACUAAUUAAAAAAAGAAAAAAAGAUAAUGUCUAGAAAUAACAUAUAUAUACUGCUGGAAUGGAAUAUUUUACACUUGAAAAUACUUUAGAAACAUUUUUUUUACCAUUUGCACAAAAAGAUGUAAAUUUCAAAUCAAAUUCAAUAGAGAAUGAAACUCAAAAGGUACAAAAAGAUAAAGAACUAAUUUAAAAUAUGGCAAAAUAAACUAAAUUAUUUGUAAAAAUAAAUGUAGCAGUUUAUGUAUGUGUAUGAUAUGAUUUUUUAAAGUAAAUUAAAUCCUUUGUUUUUUUUAAAAAAAUUAAUUGCAAAAUAAAAUAAGAAGAAGAAAAAAGGAGUAUAAAAGGUGGGAGAUGGCAUGAAAUUUAGAAAGAGAAAUAUGAAGAAGUUGUUUCCGGCGAGUUAAUUGGAGAAACGUGUCUCUUCUCUCUUCUACACCUACCGACAUAACCGUACCGACACGGCGACUCGUUUUUCACUCUGUUUUUAACUAUUUCCCUCCUAUAACUCGCUGCCACCGCCGCAUCUCUGCACCCUUACCAACGAAGUAAUCCAUUCUUUUUCCUUCAAGGAAAACCAACAUUGGCGGCAACUACAACACCACCAUUAUCACCACCAAUCCCCCGUAUUCGCUAUAAAUAACCACCUUCUCCCAUUCCCACUCUUCUACCCCACACUGGGGAUUGGCCGAUUCACACUGGCGCUGCUGUGAAUUGAAUCAUGUCCAACCCCUCUAGGCCAAUGCCCCACUCUGUUUCUGUAAUCGAAAAUUUUGCUGACUUCUACGAGUCCUGGCUCACAACUCAACGUGGCUUCCUCGAACAACUUCUCCACGUUUCCCAAAUCGCUGAUUACAAGGAGGAACGCCAAUUGGGUUUAAUCAAACAAGUUUUAGCCCAUUACCAGCUUUACCACGAGGAAAUUUCCAAAGCCGCCGGCGAGGACGUCUUCAGGGUGUUUUCAGCUCCUUGGUUGACUUCUUACGAGAGGACUCUGCUUUGGAUUUCUGGAUUCAAGCCCUCGAUUGUGUUCCGAUUGGUGGACGGUGCGGUUAAGGAUUUAACGCCUGUGCAAGCAGCGUCAGUGGAGGAGUUGAAGACUGACGUCAAGAGGAAGGAGAGGGAUUUGGCAGAGGCAAUGGCUAGCCUACAAGAGACGGUAGCAGCACCGCCAAUUGUGGGGCUGGCACGGCGGGCAGGGAGAUUGGUGGACGGAGAGAUUUGCGAAAUGGAGAAUGCAAUUGAGGAGCUUAAAAUUGGGAUGUUGGGGGUUUUUGAUGGUGCCGAUUCGCUCCGUGGGACGACUAUGAAACGGGUUAUGGAGAUUCUAAGAACUGAUCAAACACUAAGGCUUUUAACAGCGGCGACCGAGUUUCAACAGCGAAUUAGACAGUGGGGCAUCCAGAGAGAUUCACAGAGACCAAGAACAAUAUGAGAUGAAUCACCACAAAAUGGUUUUUGAGUUUAAAGUUGAAUUUGAUCUUUGAAAUAUCCGGUACUUGUGAUGGGGGGUUUUUAAAAGUUCUUGAAUUGUCUGAGCGGUUGAGUUUGAGCCAAUAGGCCAACUCUCAACAUGUCCAAAAUAAACAUAAGUGAGCCUAAAUGCUUAUAUUCUUACUCGCGAAAGCAAAGUUUCUAUUUGAGUUUGUACGUUUCUAUAAUAUAUAUAACUAACAGUUCACUGAUCCAGAUUAUAAUGUCCAAGCCCGAAAGAGUCAUCCUUCUAGAACUCCAUUCUUUCACCUAAACCAAAUUAUUUCUUAAAGAGAGGUUGCAUUUAAGACUUCUCCUCCCCCGUACAAAAUGGUUGGCUGAUAUUUCUCUCAAAAAAGUACUAAAGGAGAAUAAAAGAAAACUUAAAAUAAGAAUUUCAAAUGUAACUUUUUAACAAACACUUGUAUAUUUAUUCCGAAGGCACUUUAGAAAUCUUUUUUUAACAUCUUUGAAAUGUUUUUUUAAAAACAUUUGUCUAUAUGGAAUAUCAAGAACCAGAAACUUGAUUAAUUAUUGUUUAAAACUGAAGUAACUAUGUUAUAAUACUAUCUAAACUGGAGUUGUUCCUUCAAUGACAUUUGUUUCAUAUAAGUAAUUUUUCUGUCAUAUAAACAAUGGAACAGCAAUCUAAAUGUGGAUGGUUUUGACAAUGGCCUACUGCUCUAGAAAAAUGUGGAUCAAUGGCCCACAAAAAAGCUUAAAAAGGAGGAGGGGGGGGUGAACAAAUCGUAAAAACUACUCUAAAUAUUGAACUAAAAGUUACAAUCAAUAAGCUGAUGAUUUUAGAAAGCAGAACUGAAAGAUGAAAGUUACUAAAACCUGUGUUCCACAAAGCCCACCACUAGUGACCAUUGGUUGGAUAAAAAAUGCUAGUGGGAAUUUACACCUUUAUUAAAAAAAAACAUGCAAAAUCCAAAAACUAUGGUAAUUUGCACAUACCUCAACUUAAUCUUGCAAACAUCUCAUGUUUGAUUCCACGUCUUUUACGAUGUUAAAUUUGAAGUAGUUGACCACUCUAGAUCGAACUUAUUAUCUCAACUUUUUUAUUACACUCAUGGUUUGACUCCUUAUUGAUCACCUGGCCAAUUCAUGUCCAACCCAACCAAAUAAUGAAAUGCAUAAAAGAUAUGGAGAGAUUUGGGGGAGUGAAAAUGUAAAAGUGGGAGAAGGCAUGAUUUGAAGGUCCAUUAUAGGGUAGUGGAGAGGGCAAAGGAUGAUGAAGUGUUAUGCAAAGGUGAUUAAUUAGGCACUGCUGUUAGAAAUGGAUUUUGAGGUAAAAAUAGCAAAAACAAAGUAGAAUUUUUAACAUACCUGUCUUUGUACAUUUCAAGCUACCUUAGCUUCUAGUUUCAGUUCAGCAACCACCUUUGAAAAGAAAAUCCAUGGAUGAAUCUCAAGUGGUUUGUUCAAACUUUGUUCAAAUCUCUGUCUCUCUCUCUCUCUCUCUUUUUCUUUUAAGUCUAAAGUUUUUUCAUUUCAAGAUGUUAUAUUCUCCACAACAACAUAUAGUGGAGUAUAAACAUAAAGUUUCUUUAUACAAAGCUAUGUAUCUCUACCCUUGACCUCUCUUUCUCUCUCUUUCUACCUUUUUUUUCCUCCUUUCUUUCUUUCUCCCAUUCUCUCAGUACACUUGCAGGAACCUUUUCUUUUUUAUUUAAAUUUUCUUGUCACCAUCCAUUUUUUCAUUAUCAAGGCUUUGUUACUGUGUACCAGUACUGCCGCUUCACCAUUUUGAAUCCCCAUUUAUAUUCUCCUAUCUUCCCUUGCCUCCUUCACUUCUCAUCAUCAUUUUCAUCUCAAUUCUCUACCUCGUUGUCAAUCAUGGCUUUUCACUCAGCUUUCUUUCUUCUUUUGUUCUUCACUACUUUCUCCAUUCCUCCUUCUCAAGCUCUUACUCCUGCUAUUACUAACCAGUCUCAGUUCUUCAAUCUUAUACAAAAGACUGCCUCAGGAGAGUUCCUGUCUGAUUGGAAUCUUUCAGGAGGCAAAUCCUUCUGCAACUUCACAGGAAUUCGGUGCAAUGACCAAGGACAUAUCAUUGAGAUUGAUAUCUCUGGCCAGUCUCUCUCUGGGAGCUUUCCGGAAGAUGUAUGCUCUUACCUGCCAAAGCUGAGAGUUCUUCGUCUUGCUGGUACCGGUUUUUACGGACGUUUUCCUUCAGGAAUCACCAACUGCUCUCUUAUUGAAGAACUUAACAUGAGCUCUUUGUAUCUCAAUGGAACUAUCCCGGAUUUAUCACAAAUGAAACAGCUGCGUGUACUUGACCUCUCAUACAAUUCCUUUACCGGUGAUUUUCCCAUGUCGGUUUUCAACCUUGUUAAUCUUGAGGAGCUGAAUUUCAAUGAAAAUUACAAACUCAACUUAUGGAAGUUGCCUGACAAGAUCUCCAGUCUGACAAAGCUAAAAUCUAUGGUCUUGACAACCUGUAUGUUAGAUGGCGAAAUCCCACGAUCGAUAGGGAACAUGACGUCUCUUGUUGAUCUUGAACUAAGUGGGAACUUUCUCAAGGGAGAGAUUCCAAAAGAAAUCUCCUUGUUGAAGAACUUGCAACAACUUGAACUCUAUUACAAUGAACUCACGGGAAACAUACCAGAGGAGCUUGGAAAUUUAACAGAGCUGGUGGACAUGGACAUGUCAGUAAACCUUCUGACGGGAGAGCUUCCAGAAUCCAUUUGUAAACUCCCUAAGCUUAAAGUUCUACAGAUUUACAACAAUAGCCUCACAGGAGAGAUCCCAAAUGUGCUAGCCAACUCAACAACACUCACUAUGCUAUCACUUUAUGACAAUUUUCUUACUGGACAGAUUCCUCAAAAGUUAGGGAAGUUCUCACCAAUGGUUGUCCUUGACUUGUCAGAAAAUCGCCUGUCUGGGCCAUUGCCAUUGGAUAUAUGCAGAGGAGGGAAAUUGCUAUACUUUCUUGUCCUUCUAAAUAGCCUUUCUGGAGAAAUACCAUCAAGCUAUGCUGAAUGUGUUUCACUUUUAAGGUUUAGGAUUAGUUUCAAUCAGUUGACGGGAACAAUACCUGAAGGAGUUUUGGGUCUUCCCCAUGUUUCAAUUAUUGAUGUUGCUCAAAAUAAGCUCACUGGUUCCAUUUCAAACUCUAUCUCACAAGCAAGAAACUUGUCAGAGUUGUUCUUACAAGGAAACAGGAUUUCUGGAGUUAUACCACCAGAGAUUUCAGGAGCAGCCAAUCUGGUGAAGCUUGAUCUUAGCAACAAUCUUCUCUCUGGUCCAGUGCCAUCACAGAUUGGCGAUCUGAUGAAACUAAAUCAGGUAAUGUUACAAGGAAACCAACUGGAUUCUUCAAUCCCCACUUCAUUCACAUCUUUAAAGUCUCUCAACGUUCUUGAUCUCUCGAACAAUCGUUUAACCGGGAAAAUUCCAGAAAGUUUGAGUGAAUUGUUCCCAAGUUCUUUCAAUUUUUCGAACAAUCAACUUUCGGGUCCAAUUCCUUUGUCUUUGAUUAAACAAGGGUUAGCAGAUAGCUUUUUCGGCAACCCAAAUCUAUGUGUUCCACCGGCGUAUUUCAUUUCACCAGACCAAAAAUUCCCCAUUUGUUCAAAUUUUUCCUUUAGAAAACGUCUAAAUUUCAUCUGGGGUAUCGUCAUUCCAUUGAUCGUCUUCUUCACCUGUGCCGUCCUGUUUCUAAAACGACGAAUCGCAACAAGAAAAACAUCAGAGAUCAAAAACGAAGAAGCCCUGUCUUCUUCUUUCUUCCAUUUACAGAGCUUCGACCAAAGCAUGAUUCUCGAAGCCAUGGUGGAAAAGAACAUUGUGGGUCACGGUGGAUCAGGAACAGUUUACAAAAUCGAGCUUGGAAAUGGAGAAAUCUUCGCCGUGAAGAGGCUAUGGAAUCGAAGAGCAAAACAUCUCUUCGAUAAAGAAUUGAAAACAGAGGUCGAAACCCUAGGAACAAUUAGGCAUAAGAACAUCGUGAAACUCUAUAGCUAUUUUUCAGGUCUAAAUAGCAGCCUUCUUGUUUACGAAUACAUGCCAAACGGAAAUCUAUGGGACGCCCUUCAUAAAGGGUGGAUUCAUCUUGAUUGGCCCAAGCGCCACCGCAUCGCGGUGGGAAUCGCUCAAGGUCUCGCUUAUCUCCACCACGACCUCUCGCCGCCGGUAAUUCACAGAGAUAUCAAAACCACAAACAUUCUAUUAGAUGCAAAUUACCAACCCAAAGUUGCAGAUUUCGGGAUCGCUAAAGUCCUACAAGGAACUAAGGAUUCAACGAACUCUGUAAUCGCAGGGACAUACGGCUAUUUAGCUCCUGGUAAGUUUAAUAAAUCAACUAAAAUCUCAAUUUCAGAAAACCCUAGUAUCCAUUUUCAUUGUUCUCAUGUUUUAUAAAUGACAGAAUAUGCAUAUUCAUCAAAGGCAACAACCAAGUGCGAUGUGUACAGCUUUGGAGUAGUGUUAAUGGAGUUGAUAACAGGGAAGAAGCCGAUUGAAACCGAGUAUGGAGAAAACAAGAACAUUGUGUUCUGGGUUUCGAACAAAGUGGAUACAAAAGAAGGGGUUCUUGAAAUUCUUGACAAUAAAUUAAAAGGGUUGUUUAAGGAUGACAUAAUUAAGGCUCUGAGAAUCGCCAUUCGCUGUACUUACAAGAAUCCAGUGCUUCGACCCGCCAUAGGAGAGGUGGUUCAGCUUCUGCAAGAGGUGGAUCCUUGCAAAUUUGACCAUCCCUUCGAAGAUGUUGAAAAAGGAGAAGAUACGUAUAUGAUGUCACUAAAAUAAAGUAACCUUUUUCAGUCCAAAAUCAAAGGGGUCACCCUUUUUUUAAAAAAAAAAAAAAAAAAUCUCUUCUUUUUUAUUUUCUUCCUUAUAUGUAUGAAUGUAUGAAUGAAUUAUAUUAUAUGAUAAGAUAAGUGCUUCCUCCAAUACCAGAGGGAAGAGGGAGAGUCAAAGAGAAUCAAAGUUGCUCUCUUUCCCUCUUUUUAUAGUGUUUUUCUUUAACUCCCUUUUUGAGUUCCUUUUCAUAAUUUUGUUAUUCUAUUAUGUGUAAUAGAUGAAAUAUAUGGGUUAUAAUUUUGUUUCUUUCUUUCAUUUUCGUUUUCUUUUUUAUUUGCAAUCAAAAUAUUAGAAUGUCGAGCUCUUUCUUAAAUUAUGGUGCAAGAUUUAUAAUUUCAUGAAAGAUGGAGAAAUGGGUGAUGCAUGUUGUUGGCAUAGGUAAUGACUAUCGAUUCUUUAAAACAUUUCUUAACCAUGUUUUCAUAUACUAAAAAUCUUUGUCAUUCAAGUUAGGAUUUGUAACACCUCGUGCUUAAGAUUCAAAGUAGAAUUCUCAAUCAUUGGCCUAAGACAUUACAAUUUAUUUAUAAGUUAUUGUAUUUCGAAUACUUUUAUAGAUUUGACGUAUAUAUUUGGUUAACUUGCAAGCAAGAGAACAACAUGGUGAUGUGUGAAGAUUUAAACGAAAAGAAAAGUAAAUGUAUCAAGUGAUUUUGUAAAAAUGAGUGUAUGACGAACUUUAAACAUUUUAAAUUUACAUAGUCAUUUGGUAACAAAUAUGUAGAGAUUCUUCAAACUUGUAAGUUAAUUUGACAUCGAGUUUGUAGUCAACAGCUAAGAUAACGAUCGAUUUGUACAUCGAUGGAUUCAUCUUGUGUCGGUAUUCCUUUGCAUAUAUCUACCUAGAAUGAUAUUUCAAAAGAAAAAAAAAAGUGAGAAAAAUGGGACCAAAGAGAAUAUACAAUAAGUAACAAACUUCUUUUUCAAGAUUCAAUAUACAUCACAAAUGAAAAGUUUUGGUCAACGGUAAUUUCACCAUCUUAGAUUAUUCGUAUCAACUAGAAAAGACAAGUUUUCUUGCGAUUCUUACUUUGUUCACUUUGUUUUAAUAUAUACUCCGUCAUUUAAACAGUACAUGAGUUUACUUGUCUUAGUUUUAACUUUCAUUAUACCUAUAUUGAUAGAAAACGUAUUAAAAAAUUAAACAAGAUGGACUGAGAAUUCAAAACUCUUUUACAAAUGGUUAUCAAAUUAGAUUUCUUCAACUCUAGCUAUAGUUAUCUUUGAAUGUUUCGAUAUAAGAUUACGUCAAUCAACUAACCAUUUAAAAAAUCUAAAAGACGAACAAUAACGAAAGAAAACGUGUAUCAUAUAUAUAUAUAUAUGAUAAUAUAAAGUAAUUGACAAAACCGUAAAAGAAAAAAGAUGAAAUAGAAUGAUUUAACACAAACCCAACAAGAAAGUCAUCCCAAAUAGACACAAAUGGACCCAUAAGAAACAAUAAUGAAUUAAAAUCAUCCCCCCUUUUCAAACUUGUCAAAAGAAAAAAGAAUUUUCCCUUGUAAAAAGAAGUCCUAGAAUUGAAAGAUAAGAUCUUGAGAGUCAUUAGUGGAAGAUGGUGAUUGGCAAAAAGAUCAUAGCUUUUUGUUUCAAAAAAUUUAUCAAAAAGUGGGCUAUCUAUCCAUCCAUCCAUCCAUCCUUUUUAUAAAAGAAAAAGAAACUAAACUAAAUUAAAUUCACAAAAAUAAUUGAGCCAUCAUUAUUAUUGUCUUCUGGAUCAUUCAAUUCUCUGCUUUCAAGAUCUUGUACAAGUUGGAAAAACAUCAAAGUUUGUGUUCCUUUUUCUUUUCUUUUGACUGCUUAAUAAAGCAUCCUUUUUAUCUCUCAAAUUCACAUGUACUUUGAAUUCUCUAUUGAUCUUAAAAAGAAAAUCAAAAAGACAGUAGCUUUUUCUUUCUGCUUCUUUUCCCUCUUCCUUACCGUAACAAUUUUUAUCUCAUUCCUUUUGUUUCUAACAACCUAGAUGUAUUAAGAUUCUUUCUUUUUAAAUGUUGUAUACAUGUAUUUGUAUUAGUAGUAGAUUCAAAACAGUUAAGUAGGAUCGUUUUCGUAAAAGCAAAAAAAAUUAAGUUCUAGAAAUACUCGUAUCUCUAUACUUGUUAUCAUAUCAUUUCAAGUUCGCACUUAUACGUCAUAUUAUAAGAUUUACGAAAGUACUGCACAAAAAUGAAAGGUGGGAAGAUAUUUAGUAUAAUUUAGGAAAGAAAGGAAAAGGUAAGAAUAUGUUUGACUAAGUCAAGCAUAGUGUAUUGACCAUGGUCAAACGCAUAUCACUUUUGGAAGAAUCACUUUCUCUUAAACGUUUUUCACAAAAGUUACCAAAUUCUGGAAUUUGACAAUAACUUAUAAUGAUUCUUUGAGAAAUGCUCAAACUUCGUCUUAAAACUAAUUAAUCAAAUAAUAAAUGGAUGCUAAAAUGAUGUCAAAAUUACAUCAUCGAAAUAAGGCAUCUUAAUAUAUUUAGAAAAGAAAAGCAUCUUAAUUUAUAGUCAUUAUUGAAUAGUUCUCUUUAAUCAUUUAUAUGUGCAAACAAAAUUCCUAAACCAAAAAGUGCUUCAAUUAUUGAUAAAAGUAAACCCCUAGCUUUGCCUACACACUACUGAUUAGAUUUGAAAGCCUACACACUGAAAUAGUUUGUAUAAAAUCAUUCACCAUAAAUUUAAAUUUCAAAAUCUUUUAUAUUAGAGUUAAUUACUUGCUCUAUAUAGAAAAGAAUCUAUUGCACCAAUAAUUACUUCAAUUAAUGAGAAAAGUUAAGAACUUUGGCUUCUAGGGUUUAGGGUUUAGAAACUCAUUAAAACAAAUCCCAUCAAAUCAUCCAAUUUUUGUUAAUUAAAUUUUUAUAAUAUAGUAGGGGUUACUUUAUUAAGAACCAAGAUUCCCUUUCACCAUUUGACAAAAAUGUGAAAUAUAUUUUACUUUAUGAGAAUUGAUCAAAUAUGAAAAGAUAUAAGCUUUUGUGUGUUUGAGUAUCCUAAACACAAAACUAUUCAUAAAAGCAGUGAUUGGACACAAUGUAAUAUUUCAUUUCGAUUAAUAAAUCAACAAAAACAGUGUAAAAUAAUUGAAUUAAUGAAGGGAUAUAUGUUCUCAUUUACUUGAAAACAUUUUAAAAAAUAAAUCCAUUCAAGACAUGAAUCUAAAUAAUCAAUGAAUCAUCAGAAAUUUUAUGUAUAUGUUUAGAAGUAACAAAUCAAGCUAAAUUUUUUAUUUAAUAAGAAUUCAUUCACCCGCGACCAAACUUUGAUUUUCAAAAGAAAUAAAAUUACUCUUAAAUGACAUGUUGUUAUAUUAUAUAUCUACCUAAGAAUAAUCAUUUAUACGAUUAUAAAUAUUGAAGAAGAAAAACAAAAAAGCUAAGUGAGUUACCAGUGGAAAAAAAAUGAAACGAAAUUGAUCAAAAGCAAUACUUCAUAAAUCUUUUAGUGUCAUGUCAUAUAUCCUAAACAUGUCGAUAAAACCCCCCUCCCGAAGACCAAACAUAUAUACUUUUAUCCAAUAUUUGUCUUAAAAGAAAUGUCUUUCUAAUUUUAAAUUUAUUAGAACAUAAAAAGCUUAAAAGAAGAUAGCAACAAAAUGCAAGUAGAUGAUGGCUUUUGAGCUAAAAGAAAGAAAGAAAAAAGUGCUUAUAAACUCAUGUAUUGUUCUAUAAGGCCUUGUUGGAAGAAUGAGAUUCAUGGAGGCAUCUGUUUCAAUUGCCAAUGUGGAGAAUCCAUUAAAUUCUUUUAAAAGUUGCAAUCCCCUUUAACUCAAAAAGGAAUAGUUAUAUUAAAUUUUUUGAAGUGCAAAAAUAUAAUAAUAAUUUUUUUAAAAAUCCCCUAAGGUUUCAAAUCUUUAAUUAUUGCAUCUUUGUCUCUUACAACUACUACACUUUCCAAUCUUUUUAGGGAUCAUAAUAUCUAUUCUUAAAUAUUCACCUACACAAAAUACAUUUUUAAUAAAAUUAAGUUAGUUUAAACAUAUUUAAUUUGAUGAAAGAGUUUAACUAAACUAAGUUAAACAAUAGUAUAUAUUCUUGUAAGAAUUAUAUAAAAUAUGAGAUUGAAAAAAAAUUGUAUUAUUGAAUGAGAAAAUUUGUAUAUGGUCUAAAUUUUGUUCCUCAAUUGGGAAUCUUUUACUAACUAUUUGAGUGGCACCAUAAUAUAUAUAGCAACCAUAUUUGAACAAAACAUAUGGUUGCUAUAUAUAUUAUGUAAUUAAUGUAUCAAAAUCUUAAUGAUAUCAAAUUUCAUCACAUCUCUUUCUCAUAAAGCAAAACCCCAUUAACAUUUGUUUUUAAAAAAUGAACAUAACUUACUCUUAUAACCAAAUCAAGAGAAACAAAAUUAAAAGAAAAAGUAUAUAUUAAAAAAAAUUCAAGUCAAGAUACAUAAUACAUUUUGUUUUUUUUUUUUUUUUUAUGUAAAAAUAAGUGUGUUAUGACACAACUAAGGGAACACUAUUGGGACAUAUAUAGAUAUAUAUAUAUAAAUAGAUAUAGGGACAAUAAUUAUGUAUUCCAUUAAAAAAAAUAAAAGCACUAAAAGACUAAUGAUCAUGUAGAAGCAAUUUCUAGAGAUUUGUGGGCUUAACAUUGACAUCACCUAAUAAUUCAUAUAAUGGUAUUUGGUGAUAUUAUACUUGGAUUGCAUUACAAAAAAAAAUUAAUUUAAAUUUAUUUUUUUGUAUGUGCAUUUAAACAUGUAAUUAUUUAAUUUAAGUUUGGCCCUUUGUUCUUGGUUGUUGCAUGUGAAAUGCUUUUGAAAAAAAUAAUGGGAUUUAGAAUGGGAUGUGGGGUUUAACUGAUGAAAAUAAUCCAAACAUGUGAUGUGCACCAUAAAGCAAUAGCAAUUAUACAUACAAAGUGCUGAGACAAGUGUUGUCAACUAGUUGUGGACUUGUGGGGAUAUUUUUUCCCAUUUUUUUUUAAAGACGUUUUAACUUUACUUUACCUUCUUUUUCCAUCUAUUCAAUAGUAAAUCUAAUUCUAUACCACAUUCACAUCUUGUUUACCUAAUUCUCCUGUUUCAUGUUAUUUUUUUUUGCAUUGUUUUUCUUAUACAACAAUAUGAACAUGUGUCAAUAAGCAUAUUUUAGUGAAUCGUUUAUUGAUUACUGUAUAGGUCGAUGGUUCUAUCUCUUACAUGAAACGUUCAUUUGAUAAAUUUUAUUAUUGUGAACAUUUUGUUAGAAAUGUUUUAAGGGUAAUGAUAUUCAAAACUUUAUUCUACAAACAUCGACAAUGGUCUCGCUUGGGCCUAUUCACGCAACUCAUUGGGCCGAUGGUGUAGGCCGAAGGCCAAGGUUGUAGUAGUGGGCCUUGCCUUUGUUGCUAUUGGGCUUUAGAUGUUUGAGCACUAAAUAUAGUGCUAACUUCAAUACAUUUUGAAAGGAUUAUUAGAGGACAUUAUGUAAAGAAGUAUGAUAAUAAAUAUUUGAAUCUAGAGUUACAUAGAGUUAAUAAAAUUAAGAGGUUUAUUUAUUUAGAAGACGAGUUUUUUAAAUUGCUUGAAAAGGAUGAACUAAAGGGUAAAAAGGCAUUAAAAGAAGGAAGAUUAAAUUGAAACUAAAGGGGUGACCAAAAUUGACUCAACGAAAAAUAACCCUCAAGUAUUUCAAAAGUAGCACAAGGUUUCCACCUCCUUUCCUCUUUUGUCCUUGUCAACAAUUAUCAUUUUUAUUACGUUUUUUUAAUGAAAAUGUAUUGUUUCCGCGUGAAGGCAAUUUGAAUAUAAUAAAUGGAAUAAAAGAAAGUCAAAAGUUUUUUUUUUCUUUUUCUUUUUUUGUUUUGUUUUUAAAAAUAUAAUAAAUGGAAAAAGAAAAAUAUAUAUAUUUUUUAGUUUUUUCCAUGAUUUUAAUUGUUUUAUUUAUUUUUAUUCACUCCACCUGAUUUCUUCUUUUUCUUUUUAUUAUUUUGUAUAAUUUUUUUUCUAAUUAUCAUAAUUUUGAGUUUACUCUUAUAUAUACGAUUGAAUUAUUAAGUUUGAUUACAUUGCAAGUCGAUACUAAAUAGAUAAAUAAAAAAAUCUACACAAAAAAAUCAUAAUACAAAUAAAUUCUAAUUAGUUUUAAAAAAUUCUAACCCGUUUUUAGAUUGGAAGAUUAACCUUUGUACUACUGAAAUUAGUUUUAAAAUUAAAAACAAAAUAACUUUGUUCAUUCAAUAAAAACAAUAGAAAUAAGUGACUAAUUAAUUUGAUGCUAUAAGACACUAUCUCGAUUUAACGUGAGAAUAAUAGUUUGAAGUGAAUCAAAUAAAGAAAACAAUAGAAGUUUAUGUAAAAUUGAUAGCUAAUUUUAGAUGGUAAUUAAAUUUUUUUGUUAGAUUAAUUAUUUUCUGGAUAUUUAGUGAAGAACUAAGUAUUUAAUUAUAAAAGAAACUCAAAAUAGAUUUAAUAAUUUGUAGUUUUUCUAAGAAAAAGAAAAUAGAAAAAAACAAAUAGGAAUACUUUUUGAUUUUGUUAAAUUGCAAAUUCCGAAGAGGAUGGAGAAUGAGACGAGGGGUGGAAAUCCCAAUCCCAUUCCCAUUUCCAUAUCCCUAGAAAGGUAUUCCCACCAAAUUAAUGUACAAAGUUAUUAAUUUGUGUAUGAGUAUUAAAUAAUAAUAAUUUUAGCUUCCUAUCCCUCUUAAUUUAUUUUUAUUGACUAAUUUAACAGAUGAAUGUUUUUAAUAUUUUCAAUAUUCUAAUUCUUUAUUAAAAAAGUUUUAAAAAUUAACAAAAUAAAAUAAAAUGCACUAAAAUUUGUUUGGUCAAUUUUUAGGUUAUGAUCAAGUAAUGAGUUGUCAAUGUUAACAAAAUAGAGUCACUACCCAAAAUCAAUGUGAUUGGUAGGAGAAGUUAUUGCUCUAUAUACCUAAACAUAUUUAACGCAUUACAACCUCAAAAUAAAACUAGCAAAAAAGAUUUAUAUAUUAAAGAAUGACCACGUAUAUAUAUCAUACUACUCUAGUAUAUAAAUGAUAUUUUUUUAAGAAAAAUGGUAUAAAUCUAUAAAUUAAAAUACUACAUCAUUUAAUAACUCGUCAAGAUAUGGAUGUGAUGAGUAUUUACUCCUAAGGAUACUAAAAAAAGUUCAUAACUUCUUGAAUCAACCAACCACGUGAACCAAUUUGAGUUCAUAGAUUUCCCAUCACAAAUUAACUUUUGAAAAGAAAAAAAAUUCCUAAAAGUUGUCAUCCAACAAAACCAAAAGAAAAAAAAAGAGGAAGCUAACAUAUUAAUUCAAAAUGAUCACAAAAGAGUUCAAAUUCAAACUAAAAUGGAAUAUAGGUAGAUAUUUUGAAGGUAAAAUAACAAAUAAUAAUAAUAAAAGUCUUACGUGGGCCGAAUCAAUAUUAAAGUCAUCCAAAGCCCUCAAUGACGUGGAUUUUUUAGUAAUAAUAAUAAUAGAAGUCGCUAACUUAAUUCCCAAGUAAGUCUUCUUCACCGGACGAAGCUUCGUUGAACCGGCGUUCCACGUUCACAAGCAUCUGCCAAAUCGGCGAUUUAGUAAAUUACUCAAUUACCCUUCUCUCCUUAAAGCUUUCUAUUCUCCAUAACCGACUUUUGACUUUCCCAAUUCGUAGGGGUAUAUGUGUAAUUUGAUAUUGUUUGGUGACUGGAAACGGAUACAUAUGCCGGCGAGCUCUGUUUCUUUUGUCUUGAUUCUACUGGUUCUUUCGAAGCAAAUUUCAGCGCCGGCUUUCGAUCUCAGAAACUAGUAGAAUCCAUGGCCUCCAAGUUACUCGUGCAUGAACAAUUGAGGAAGAAGAUGUUGGGGUCAAUUGAAGUUCGAUCUCCUCUCGGAAACCCUACAAAUUCUUCCUCCUCCGAUUCUCCUCUUUCUCUGCUUCACAACUACUCCAAUUUCAAGAGAAGUGGGUUACCUUCACGUUUUAUGUUCUAUUUCCAUAGUUCUUGGGUUGAUUUCCCUACCCAAGUGCUUGAAAUCUUGCGAACGGCUUUCUCUGACCGGAAUCCAGCGGUGGAGUUGCAAAUUGAUGGAUCGAAGUACUUAUUUGAUUUGUACAGGAUGUUGCAGAUUGAUUUAGACACUGGUAGACAGAGAUCGGUUGCUUGGAUCGAUGAUAAGGGCGAGUGUUUCUUCCCUAAAGUUUUUAUUGGGGAAGAGACGACGAAUAGCUCCCCGAUUUCUUGUAGUCCGAAAAUUGAAAUUUCGAUUACGAUUGAUGGGAAAUCCGGGAAGAGAAAGAGGGAAACUAUGGAAGAAAAUGAAGUCAGUUCUAGUAAUGAACAUAUGAAAGUGAAGGCAUCGAAAAUUCCUCGUGUCGUUAUGAAUGAUUCAGAAACUUCUGUAUGGCCGAAGACGAAGGUGCUGAAUGAAGGGGAUAGUGGGUAUUCGUUAGUAAGCAAUUCCCUUCUCCCUUCAAUGAAAAAAGUUGAUUCUACCUUUUCAAUCUCCGCAAUUCAUCGGUGUACCAGAACGGGGCCACUGGAGAAAGCUCGUCUCGAUGUGUUUCUGAAGCAAAAUGAGAUUACAACGGCUGCUCGUGGUGUAUCUAAUAUGGUUUAUGCAUGGUAUGGAGCUUCUGCAAAAACUUUAGCCGGAAUUUUGGCUCAUGGGUUCGGAGAGCCAGUUCAGAUUCCUGCUUCUGAUACCACCCAUGGCAUUGGAGUUUAUUUAUCUCCAUUGGGUUUGCCCCAUUUAAGGUAAAAUUUGGCUGUUCUUUAAGUUUAGAUACUCUUUUUUUAUUAUGAUUUCUCACCAUUUUCAAACUGCGUUCAACUUCAUUUCCUAGUUCUAAGCUAUCGGAGGCCGAUGGCAAUGGAGUUAAACAUAUGAUUUUAUGUCGAGUUAUAUUGGGGAACAUGGAAAAAGUUGGAGCAGGAUCUCGACAAUCCCAUCCUUCGAGUACAGAGUUCGACACUGGUGUGGAUGAUCCAACAUGUCCAAAACGUUAUAUUGUAUGGUGUAGCAAUAUGAACAGACACAUUUUACCAGAAUAUAUAGUGAGCUUCAAAUCAACAUCUCAUCUGCCGGGUAAUUAUUAUUUUUUGAUUUGGAUCAUUUAUUUGAUCCAUUCUCCCAUCUCUUUAUUAUUAUUAUUUUCUUUCUGGCUGAUCCAUUUUUCCAGGUAACUUGAGAGAAUCGACUGAGACAAAGUAUCCCCUUGUGAAAUUACUUUCGAAGAUGAGGAAUUCCCUGCCUCCCUCUAAAGUUCAAGAAGUUGCGACGUUGUUUCAGAAAUUUAAGGUUAGCAUUCACUAAAAGGAUAGAACGAAAGGAAAACAUAAGAAUAUGGAAUCGGCCUUUUAACUAAUGGGACAUAAUAUGAUGCUAACUUAGCAGUGUGUGUUUUGACAAUUGCAGGUUGGACAAUUGGCAAAAGAUGUUCUUGUUAAAAGGUUACGAUCAAUUGCUGGAGAUCAGAUGCUUCUAUCCAUAUUUCGUGAAAGUCGUGGAUGACAAUGAGGUUCUUCCAAGUUUUAUUUGGAAGCAUUUGGAAUUUCAAUAAUUGUGCUUUACUAUUCAUAUAACAAGUUGUCAAUGUUACUAUACAAGUAGUUUUAGCAAAGAAAGCUCAAUAUACAGUAGAAAGAUUAGAAAAACAUUUGUAAUUUUUCCUUAAAUACAUCUUAUAUGCAGAGAUUUUCUGAGAGAUCAUCUUAUUUCUUGAUUGCUUAUCUACUGUAUGCCAAUAUAUUCUUCUAAUUCUACAAAAAGAGUGUUUGAAUUGCCCAUGAAAUUGUAAUUUUCAAAGUACUCUAUGGAUUUUGCCUGAAAAAGUCUCAAGUCUGUCUCCAUUGGACUGGCUCCUCUCCAACAUUGUAAUUUGUAAUUUUCAAGCUAAACCAUCAAUCUUUCUUAAAGAAACUAUGGAAUUUCUUAGAGGUAUUUUAUGAAACUGAAGUUAGAAAAUAGUUUUAUAAUCCUUAUUGAGUACCAUUACAAACACCGUGAGAGGCCAUCGCCAUUCGUUUUCAUUUAUAUUUCACAUGUUUUGAAACAUGUAGAAGUUAAAUCGAUCUUUUCCAUUAGUUAUCCUUCUGUGUCUACAUUACACUUUUGCCUAGAGGAUGUCUUUUUUCUAUAUUUGAUCGCCUGUUAGGUUGGCAUUAGUUUCCAACACAUGUUAUUUGCAAUUGGGUUGUUUUUAUGAUUGAUGUAAGAAUUAUUUUGGAAGCCACGUCGUUGAUCUAACAGAUUACCACUCACUAAUAGUGAAAUGCAGAAAAACAUGGAACUGAUAUGCCUUCCGGUAUCUGAGCUUAAAUAUAGAUACUGAUAUCAGAAAGAACUGAUGGUUCGAAAUUUCUGUAAGUAUCUUACUUAAUUCAAAAUGGUUUGUGAAGAAGUUGGUUGUGAAUUUGAUUGUAAGUUCUUCAGCUGGAAAUUAUUGGCGAGGAUGAUUUUCCCUCAAGUACAGCUAGGCGCAAGGGAUAAUAGAUGUUUCCUUCUAGUUCUAUCAUUUGUUUCCAUCUUCUAGGGGUAUGAAAAUCACUUGGUAUGGAAUCCCACGGGUAUGAAAAUCACUUUAUUAUCUUCUUGCUUUUCUGUUUUUCAAUUUUCACACAUGCAUUUGUUUAAAUAUCUAGUUUCUCCCUUGUUGUAGGGUCUUACUUUUUGUAAAUCUCUUAACUAUUAAUAUCACGUUUCAAAUAGUUUUACUUUCAAUACUAUUACAGUAUUAGAACUCAGAUCUCCUUUUUCUCACUGUUUUGAGUUUUGGGGUUUUCUAAGUUAAGUGGCUUGACAUUUAUAGUUCCAUACAGAGGAAGAUAGUUGGGAUGGCUACAGUUCAAGGAUUCUUCAUGAAACUCCUUCCCUCGAUAUGUUCGUGGCCACAUUUUUGUUAGGGCCAAGGAGGAACUCUUUGUAAUUUCUUUUCCAUCUUACUUCGUUUUAUGACUAUCUUUCAUUCGAACAGCUCAUCUCUAAUGAUAGCUUAUUGUAGCUUGCCUUUUUUAUUCUUUUUAUAAUAUAGACAUCUGACAUGCAGACACAUGGGAUUUGGAUUGUAUGCUAACAAAAAAUGUAUGCAUUUGGACUUGAGAUUGAAAUAAGGGUUUGAUUCUGCUUAGUCCUUCAGGCAUUGAUUUUCUUCAUCUUCCUUUUGAAAAUUUGAUUAAUACUGGAUUUAUGGAUUGGACAAGCAGAAUAACUGGUACCAGGAACAAAUUGAUCAGCACUCGCUAUUUUGUUUAUUAAUUCUAAUGUUGGGGCUUAUAAUUACUUGUAAGUUACUACUCAGUUUUUCGCAGGCUGCAAAGAUGGGGACAGCCUACAGGACGGAUUGUUGAGACUGGUUGGGGGCCCAUGCCAACUAUCUGGAUAAGUUAGAUGUUAGCUGAACAAUUGGUAACGAAGGGUGGUUUUAUAUUUCAUUUCUAUAGAAUAUUGGCGUAAUUAUCAUUAGCUCUUUGCUAUUGCUGACCCUGUAUAGUUGUAAUUGUUUAUUGUUAGACUUUCCUUUUUUAUUUUUAAACUAGCUCGUUUUAUGUAGUUCAAACUUCUUGAUGUCAGUCUCCUAGUGGUGAGGAAGAAUUCAUGUGCACUAUUCUGUUUGGAAACAUUGGAAUUUCUUAUUACAUGAAGAUGCUUGUUCUUUCGUUAGUCAAUGAUAUUUGGUGGAUAAUUUUUCGUGUAAAGUGAUUUUUCCCUCAACUUUCAUGUAUUGAUACAACAUUGUAUAUGACACCCAUUUCUUCAACUCAUGCAGUCUGUCUCGAGCUGAUGCUCUUUGGAGAGGAGUGUCCGAGUUGCCAAGGUGCUGACCGAAACAAAUGCCUUUCAUCUUUCAUUGUAGAAUGGAUUUGGAGCUUAGUCACUACUUGAACACCAUGGAUACAUAUUCAACACGUUGUCGGAUGCUGUCAACUCACUGUGUCUAAUAGCGAAAAGGUAGAAGGUAUGUUCAUGUUCAUAUAACACGUGAUGAGUAAUCCCACGUUUUUCUUACUGAGAUAUUUAAUUCCAGAAGAGAACACUCUUUAUUAUUUGAUUAAAUUACAAGUUUCAUCCUUGAGUCCUUCAACUUUCUUGUUGUGAAGUUUUAAAAAUGAGUUUAUGUCUAAAAAAUUCGUUCUUUGUUAUGUUUUACUUUUACUUUCAGGUUGGUGCAAAUCCAAAUCCAAAUCCACCAUCUUUUUAAUAUUGAAAAUGUAAAUUCUUAAUAGACCAUGAUCUUCAACACUUAUCCAUAUUUAGCUUCCUUGACCUUCGGGUAUACCGAAAAACAUCUACAGUUUAUUGAAUAUUAGCAUCGUUUAUAUGUAUUUAUAUGCAUCUUGAUAUUGAUGAUGUGUGAAAAAAGGGGGAAUUCUAUAGUAUGUGCUCGUUUUUUCUUUUUGUUUUACUUACUGGGUGUUGAUUUAUAUAAAAGAAUGCUGGAUUUCAAGAUACUGAAAAAUUUUGUUUAUUUUCUAAACGAAAGAAAAUCUCAAUCAUUGGCGAUCUUAGAAGAAGAUAGGUUAAAUCAUAAACAAGCACAAAAGCUUGAACUCCAAUAAGUGAGAAGAUCCAUCGUUCUUUUAUCGUAAGCAUGUACUAUGCUUUAUCACAAAUGCUUAAACACAUCAUUUACGUCCAUUUUAGACCUAAACAAAAGAUUUCUUCCACUUGGGUAGUAGUCUAAAGAAAGAUGUGACUUGUCUAAAACCGAGACCAUGCUGCUAGCAUAUAUGAUCGCUGUAAAUAUUUUCUCAAAUAGAAUCCUACUAUUCAAAGUCUCAAGAAAGAACCUCACGCUGCCAUCUUCCUAAUUAAGUCGAGAAAUUUUCUUCAUUCUCAAAAUUAUAGACAGAUUUUGACUUGGUCAAAACUAAACCCACUAACCAUUGUGUGUAUGUAUAGUGGGCCUUGAAAAUGUAAAAACUUUGGAUUCUAACUCAAGAAGGCUGGACUAAAAUUUUCCCAUAUUUAGAUUCAAAUGAGAACAAAAAAACUCCAAGAUUUGAGAUUCUUUUAAAAACUAAUAAUAAAUAAGAAGAUUUGAGAUUGAAAAACUCGACUCGAGACUCAAACGGGGAUUUGGGUUAGGCGAGCCACAAGUCAAGGAUCAAACAGUGCUGCAUCUCUUGCCCUCGGUCUCGAUCAGGUAUGAGGAAUGUUACUGUAUACAUAUCAUUUGAGUUGUAGAUUAGCAGAACUUCAAACUAACUUAAUUGUUUUCUUGUUGAUUCUUUCUUCUAUACAUUCAAAUAUCCUAUGCAUCUUCAUUAUAAAUCAUCAUUUAGUGCACAUUCAGUAAAUUACAACAAGGUCAAGGGACUUUGCUUAGUAAUGACUUAAAUAUUGAAAACUAUUAAAAAGAGAGAGAGAAGAAUAGUGGGGGGAUGGGGUAGCAGUAAUGGUAACAGUAGAAAGCAUUUACAUAAUUGGAGAUCAAAUCAAAUCAUAUUAUAUAAUUAACUUAGGUAUUGUCAUCCACAAGACCUGGAAUUUUGUCUCUUUUCUUCUUCUCAAUGAUUAUUACUAUUAUUAUUGCCAAUCACCACACCCUUUUUCUUCCCAAAAUCAUAUUUGACUUUUUUCUUUCUUUCCCCUUUUUUAUCACUGUUAUCUUCUUUCUCUUUUCCAGUCUUUUACAGAUUUCUUUUUUCUUUUCUGUUGGGUACGAUGAAUGAAGCAAAGACAUCUGAUUUGAUUCUUCCAUUUCAAAAAUAAGAGUACAUGUUAUGUUUACUUUGAUCUUAAAUUAAAAUUUUCUAUCGGUUUCCUUUGCUGAGAAUAUGAUUUAAUUUUCUGAAAACAACAUCUUAAUUUUCAGAAAAUUCUAAAAAGUAUAUAAUAAAUUUCUAGACUUUUAAUUUUGUAUUCUUCGGGUCUUCGAGUCCGUAAGAUCAGUACAUCAAUUUUAAAAGUUGAAAACUAAAUUAAUAAUCUAUAGUGAAAAGGUGUAAAGGUGUGGAUGGAUGAUCUUAUCAUAAGUGCAUUCAUUUUUUCAAACUAAUCCACUCCCCAUUACAAAAAAGGCUACUUAAUCAAUUUGACUUAGGGUUAACAUGAUAAUAUAUAUAUAUUUAAUUUGUCACAUCUCACAUAAAUAUCAGAUAAAAUUAUUUUUUUUUUAAAAAAAAGCAAGAAGUAAUAGUUGAUUUUAAAGAAGAGGCAAAAGAAAAAGGCAAUCCAACAGCAAAAUGAAGUUGGAAGGGGAUGCUUGAAGUUGAAUGGCCAACAAGGCAUUGUUUAAAGUUUUAGAAAAUAAAAUGAGUUGUACGGUAGAGAGAAAGAGAGGUAAGGUAACCCCAAUUUGUUGGGUUAUUAUUGUUUUUUCUUUGUUAUUGGAGUUGACCAACGUGGCAAUUCAUUCGUCACACACAUUUGCUCACGUGGCUUCCUUUCCCAUUUUUAUCACUUCCUUUUUCAUCAAAUAAAUAAAUACAAAUAUCUCUUCUUCUUUUUUCAUCCACUUGGUCUCAUAAAUUUUUACCUUUUUAGAAAUAAAAAAUUGAUUACCAAUUUCCUCCUAAUGCUUUUGCUCCAACCAUUAUCAGAAUUCAUUUUAAUACUCAAAUUUGUUGUAUAGAUGAUUUUCAACCGUUGGACUAAAAAAAUCAUAAGUUACAUUACAUGUUCAGUAAUUAGAUAUAAAUUGAUAUAUGUCUAAAACGAAUUAAUAAGUUUUGUGUGUACUAAAAUCUAUAUUCAAAGGAUCAUUUGAACAAAAAAAAAAAAAAAAAUAGAGAUUUCUUUUAUUUGGGUGGAAAUAUGUAUGACGUAUCUUUUUGUUUAAGCUUUUAUAUGUAUGUUACACUUACCUAAAACCUCUUCCAUAAAGUUUUAAUAACUUUGAUAAAUUUCAUGUGUCUUUAAAAAUAUUCCACAAUAAGUUUGUUUAUUAAUUCAAGUUUCAUAUAAUUUGUUAUAAUAGAUAAGUUUUUGUAGAGAGUUUAGACGGAAGAAAUUAGUUCAAGUAUUUAAAGUAUGAGCAAUUCACAAGCUAUACUUUAUGUUAUUGUGCGUCACCUUAGUUGUAUUCAACCUAGCUAACAUCUUGCAUAAAUGUAUCGUUGUUUAAAGGGGUUGGAGAAAAUCUCUAGUACUACGAUAAUAUUAAAAAAAAUAUAUUCAUAUUAUUUUUGUUUUCGUUGAAGAAUUAAGUAGGUCCAUAAAAUAAAUGUACAAUAAAUUAGUUGAGGACAUGUUACGCAUAGUAAAUAAAAGUGAUAUGUACUACUAUAGUACUAAAAAAUAUAUUUAAAGUUUGGGAGAGUAAAUUACCAUUUUAGUUUCCUCAAUAAAUAGUACCGAAACUUUCCACACACCAUGUGAACAUAGACAACACAUCCCUAGGGGUAAACAUGAUAGACCUAAAAAUCAAGUCGACCAAAAUCGAUUGAACGUAAGGUGGUCUAUUGAAGAUAAAGAGGGAUUUGGUUGGUGUUGGUUUGAAAAAAAUUCUAAUCGAUAACGGUUUUUAAAAACUUUAAAAACUUAAACUGACCAACCUACGGUGGGGUCAGUUUCAACACUAGACUAAGUCGAUCAUAGUCGAUACAGUGUCAGUUUAGUCAAAACAUCGACUCAGAUCGACCAAUGAUUAUCCUAAGUGAACAUUUUAUUCAAAUAUUAUCUUUGUCCUUUAUUUUAAAAGUUUGUUUAAUUUUCGUAACUCGAUUUCAAUUAAUCUUAAAUUUAGCAUAGUAAAGUAGAAAUUGUCACGAUGUUAGAGAUGAGGUUUAACAAAGUGUCAACACAACAAGUUUGACACAUUUUGGAAUCAUAAUAAAAUAUUUAUUGGUAUUGGAGUAUGACUUUAAUAAGAUCAGAAUGAACCCUUCUAAUUUCAAAUUUAUACUUUAUACCAAUAGAAUAUUCUCAACUUAUUCUCACCUUUCGAACUUACCUUUUUCAUCCAUCUUUAUAAUAUAAAGCAAUUUCUUGAUAUUUUUCUUUUGAUUCUAUAUAUUGAAUUAAAUAUGAGCGAAGUUCACAUAAGUAAUUUUGCAUUUUUAUCAACAGUUGUUACUCACACCUAAUUUUAUUUAAAAAGCUUAAAUGAUAGAAUAAACUAAAAUUUUAAAAGAAAAUAUCUCACUAAAUUAAAUAAUUUCUUCAUUUGAAAAACUAGUAUGAAUUAUUUUUCAUGAAUCCAAUUUCAUCAUGUAACAAAUACAAUCUAUAAAAAUCAAAGUAAUUAAUUAUAUUGACCUUUUCAUUUCCUUAGUUAAACUAAUUCUCUGGUCCUCGUAAACCAUAAAUGCAAGUUGAAAUUUAGAUUUCUUUCGUCAAUUUAUGUAUGUAUUUAUGGAGUACUUUGGUUAUAGGAGAUUUGAAUCAUCUCGUCUAUGCAUGACCAUCGUUUUCUUUGCCACCUUUUAACGAAUUAUAUCAAUUCUAACAAAUUGUCAACAACGCUAUUAGCAAUUAUUUCUACUUAUUGAAAGUAGGACUCAAUGAGAAUGAAGUCGUCUAAUUAAAAUCAAAAUUAUACUUUAUACCGAUAGAAUAUUCUCAAUCUAUGGUCACUUUUCAAAGUUGCCUCUUAAAUGUUGUAUUAUAUGAUGUUGUUUUUUAUACUUUUGAAUACUUUUUUGAAAUGUGAAUUCUAGAUGAACGUUCUCAAGUUCUAAUAUAGAGAAUUGAGUAUGAGUGACAUUUAAAUAUAACCAAAGUUGAUUAAUUCUUGAAGAAUUUUCCUAGUGAAACUAAUUCUACUUGUCAUAAAUUUAAUUCAAAAGUCUCAUUCAUAAAUUCCAUUUUACCAAAAUUUACAAGAAAUAUAUUACACGUGGAAUAGGAAUUUUGAACCAAUCUAACUUAUUGAAUUAAGAAAAAAACAUGUUUUACGUGAGUAGGUUGUAAUUGAACCGUGCUUAAUUAAACGGAUCAAAAAACAACAUUCUAAUAAAGUUUAGUUAUGAUCAUACCUAAAUUAAACUACAAUCUUAUUCUGUUUUGGCAUUAAGUUGAGCAAUAAUUAAGACCAAAAGAUGAAGCAUUUCCUCGUGGGAUAAAGGAAAAAAUAAAACUAUACGCAAAGAUUUAAUAAGACGUAAAAAUACAUACAUAAUUGAACAAAUUGAUAUGUUUGUUAGUUAUUAAAAUACAUUGAUUAAGUUUCAUAGAAAGAAUUAAAUAGAAUUAGAAUUGACCAAAUUCACAACCCAAAUUCACUUUUAAUACUAAUUUUUUUCAGAUUGUGGCAACGGCGGCGCGGCCUCUUUUCAUUCUUUACUUUUUUAUUUUCAUUUCCACCAACUUAUUUUCUUAAGAAAUAUAUACAUAUUUUUUUUAAUGAUAAAUUAAUUUGUUAAUUGAGGUAAAUGACCUAAAAGUUGGGACAAUUUGGUUGAUUUGUGAAUUAAAUUAUCUUUAAGUAUAUAUAUUAAAAAUACCAUCCAUUAAUAUAUUGUUAUUUUAAUUAAAAAUUACAUAACUUUAAGAUAGAUAGUUUUAAAAACUCUUUUUUAACUUUUGGAAGCAUUAACUAAUCUUUGACAUGAAUAUAACAAAAGCAAGAGAGGACUUAUUUCAUUCCAACCUUCAUUUCCAUUUUCAAAUGGGUUUUAUUGUCAAAAGUAAAAACUUUUUAAUUUCAAACAUAAGAAAAUAUAUAACACCCACUAAUUUUAUAUUUUUUUUACUAUUUUACUUUGGUGAAAAAGUUUCACUUUUAAUUUAGCUCUAUCUUUUUUACUUUUGAAUUUAUUCCAUUAACUAUAAAUUUAAAUAACCAACUAUAUUAAUUAUAAAAAUUAUAAAAAUUAUAAAAACGGGAAAUUCAUGGAAAGUAUAUAUAUUGAAAUUAUUUGAAAGGUUUGUUCUAAGGGAGGAUUCAUGUGGUGUUAGAAAUAUAUUGAGAGUGACAGUCCAAAGUAUAUGUUGAAGUUCAACAUUUUGAUUUAUAAAAUAAACUUUAUUUUAUUUAUUAAUUAGUACUAUGUUGAUUAAAUAGGAUUUUCCAAUUCAAACAACCAUAUAAAACCCAUUUUUGCUUUAUUAUUAUUUUUUUAUUUAUAAUUCUCUGGCCUCUUUAUAUUACGUACUUUCCUUUAUUCUUUAUCAUAUCAAUAACUUCGAUAUUGAUAAAUAAAUACAAAAUGAUAGAUCUAUUAUGUAAAUAAAUAAAAGAAGUAUAUACACUUUUUUAUAACUACGAGUAAUAUGGGAUCCUUUUUCAAUGAGAGAAAAUUCAUUUUAAUUAUAAAUGUUUCAAUAGUCCCAUGCAAACCAAACACUCCAAAACACGAAUAAAAUAAUUAUGGAGUUAAAUUUUUAAUUUAACUAUAAUGAAAAUAAAACUAGUUUUUAGUUAAAAGAAACGAAGUUUGGUAGAAGUAUAAGUUUUGAAAUCUCUAGACUAAAUUUAAAUUUCAACGAUAAAUUAAAUUAAAAUAAAUUUAAACUUUUAGUUAAGGUAAGUGUUUUGAAAUCUAAGGAUCAAAUAAAAACAAAUAUAAAAUAUAUGAACAAUCAAGUAUUUUUUUUUAUAAUAUUUGACUUAAGGGUGUUCACGGUUUGGUUCGGUUCGAUUUCAAACUAAAACCACAAAAUGCAAAAAAAAUCAUAUGAAAUCGAACUGAACCACAUGUUUGUGUCAAAUCGAAUUAAAACCAAACCAUAUAUAUGAUUUGGUUUCGAUUCGAUUUAUAUCCGAGAGAAUCUCAAGCAAUCAAAGUAUUGAGUUUGAUCAAGUUUGACUUUUUGUUUUAAAUCCCUAACAAUCUCGAACCACAAAAAUACUAUCAAACUAAACUAAACCGCAUAAAAAACAGUUUUAAUAUAGCACAAACCGCACUAAACUGCAUGUAAUUAGUUUCAGUUGGAUCGGUCAAAUCGAUUCGAUUUUCAAAUAUUCUAUGAACACCCUUAAUUUGACUUACGUACUGAUAAAUAGGAAGACUAUUUCCUUUUCUUGACGUUAAAAAAUCAAUUUGUUUUUCUUUUCUUACCUCACAUAGAGUAUGAGAUUUGAACUCCACACACACGUAUACGUUUAAUUUAUAUACGAUCAAGUUAUUUAUAAAUAUAACAAAAUGAGGCAAAAUUGAUGAUAACAAAUAACGUGUGUGUGAUGCCACGUGGAAGUUGAAAGCAUUUAUGAAGAGAGUGACAAUAUGAAAUCUGUGUUAUAACCCUCAAAUGGAAACGAAAAUAUCUUGACAAGUGACGUUGAUAUUUGACAAUACCCACACCCUCCUUUUCAAUAAUAAUAACAUUAACUACAACACACACUCUCUCUGGCUACGGGACCGAUAUAACAAAGAAUUGACCGAUCACAAAAAUGCUCGGACACACGAACCACGCCGCCCGGACACACAACUCCACAUUCUUUUUUUUUUCUAUCCCAAACAACAAACCUCAUCAUCACCUUACAAACAAUCUCCACCUUUCUGUUUUCCGGCGGGGGGCCGGAGUGUCGUCAUGUCCAGGCACUGAUCAGGGCUGAUUGGGGUGAAGUAAUAAAGGGCAUAGGAAGGGGAGUAGUAGGCGUGGUGUUGUUGCUGGUUGGUGGGGACGAAAAGUGGAGCGCCCACCACCCUGAUCGACGAAAUGUGUGAACCAUAUACGUAUGUAAUUGGAAAAGUUUGAAAGGGAGGAAUUGGGAUUUGAGAGCGUCAACUUUUGCUGCGACCAUUAGAAGAGGCAAAAGAGAGAGAGAAAAAAGAUGAAUAAUGUUUAUGAGGGUAACAGAAUUGAGCAUAUAUGUUGUAGAUGAUAUUGACAUGCAAAUUUGUAAAGAGAGAAGUGACUAGAAUUAUCAUAUAUGUGUGUGUGAGUGUGACAACCAUUGUGUCAAUCAACUUUUUCCAAAAGCAAAUGGAAUGUGGGGAAGAUGAAAUGAAACCAUCUUUUUUAGUUUUUAAUUAAACUGUUUUAUUACCGUUUUAGAAAUAUUACUUUAGCAGAUCUGAAUUUAUUAUUGAAUUAAUCUCAUAUAUAUCUAAAACACUUUAGUUUUUCUUUCUUCUUCUUGAUAAUCUUUAUAGUCAAACUUGAUACUCAUAUAUAUCUAAGUAACUAUUUACUCUUUUUGAUCAUUGUAGACAACUUUAUAUUUCUUCAUAAAAAAUUUCUAUGUAUGUGAUUGUGUGAAAGAAAGGGUGAUCUCAUAAUGAAUUAAUUUAUAGAAAUUUUGUCAUUAUUGUAGAUUUGGUUUGCUCUUUUCUUGCAAUUGCUUGGUGUUGAAGCGUUGCUAAGUUAAGUUAUAUGUAUUUAUUAUUCAUGAGCAUUGGUGGCCAGGUGGAGUACAGGCCAACCAAGCAACAUCACCUUUUAAUUUAUACAAUAAAAUGACGAGAGAAAAAACAAAACAAAAGGUUAAUAAAUAAUGUAUAUGUUUGGAAUCGCUUUUUACCCUCACAAAAGUGCUUUUUGGAUAGUUGAGAUUUGUGUUUAAUUAUUAUCGUCUUACAAUACAAUUCUUUGUUAUUCUCUCUUCCAAAAGAGAUAUACAUCACCAAGUGUUUAGUUAAUUAGCUUUCUUCCAUUCUAAGAUUGGAGAAACACUUCCAAAACAAUGACCAAUCGUUAUAGUAAAUUUUGAACGUGAAAUUAUAACGGUUUUGAAAGUUUAAUUUUGAGAAUGUAAAUACAAAUUUUAGAUAUAUGCAGAUUGUGUAAUCUGUCCUUUUAUCUUUUCACCCCCAUUGCUCUCUGUUUCUCCACAGAACAAACAUAUGGCCAUAUGGUGUGUCAAAAAGUAGUGGCCUUGGCUUAUAGCCACACCAAGGACGUGGGAGCCUGGGAGGAGGAAUAUGAUAUAACAUUAUAUAACCCAUAUCUGCCCAAAACAUAGGCUUUGAAAUUUGGACUAAACCACCACCCUUCGCUCUUCAUUCUGAUUUGACCUCAACUUUUCUCCACGUGGAAAUUUCUUUUAACUAUUUCUCAUCUUACCUUCCUUUCUUUAUUUACCACAUAAUUCGAAUUUGAGAAUCUUGGACACCUCAAAGCCGUCCAAAGCUUAUAGUCUAGUGAAAUUUUUGCUAAUUUUUAAAGAGAUAUAGUUCCAUAUAAGUUAAGUUAAGUUGAGUUGAAAUUUAUGCUAAAAACUUUAUUAAACGAAUCUAUAUCCAAAACAUAGACUUAUGGUUUCCUAACGUGUUAAUUCAAGAUCACUUCAUAACUCAAUUUAUCGUUCUAAUGGUAUAUAAAAAUGAAUUUGGAAAUGAUCGCAUAAUACAAUGUCAAUGGAGAGUGGAAAUAAAAUAUGAAUAAUGUUUUUGUACAUUUCAAACUGCACUUAUCUUUGUAUCUCAUUCACAUUAAAAAAAUCAAAAUAUAAACAAAAAGUUAUCACACGAUAAAUUAUAACCCGAAUAAUUUAACGAGAUAGAUGAAUAUAUAAAGAUAUACCAAAAGAGAAAUUAAGUUGAAGAGGUGUUGAAAGAAUUGAAAUAUAAUUGGUCCACGUCUUGGAAUCUAAACUCGAAAUAGUUUCUUGGUGAUGGAAAUUUGUGUAUAUGUGUCCCUUGAAAAUUGUACCCAUUGAUUCUCUUUUUGAAAGUGCCACCUCCCCACCUCCAUUUUCUAUUUUUAUUUUUUUGUUCAUCACAACAACAACCAAAAUCUGCUUUCUUUUUUCUAAAAAUAAUUUUUAAAAAAUUAUCAAAAUAUUUAAUUUAUGUGUGAUUUUGGUAAGUAUAAAUAGUUUAUCCAUUUUUCUUUUAAUUAAAAAACAACCUUUUAAGAACGAGAUAUCUCAAAAUAUUUUAAAAUAAAUUCAGAUAUAUUGAUACCAUCUAUAAAUAUUUUUUAUUGAUUUUUUUUAUAUUUAAAAAUAGUUUUAUCUUAUUUGUUAUUCGUCUAACAUUUAUCUAAGUCAAAAUAUUUUUAAAUUGAUUUUGUUUGAUAGACUAAGACUUAAAUGGUUAAUUUCAAUAGCAAUGUCACUGUUUUAAUUUAAUAAUUUUUUUACAGAAAAAGUAAGGUGUCUUUAAAAAUAGCUGAAUCUUAUUUUUGUGUGAUUAAAUAUCGAAAUACAGUAUGUUGGAUACUACGUAACUCUCAUGCAACUAUGUUAGCUAAGAAAAUGAUGAAAUUAGACUAGAGAAAUGAGUUUUUAAUGGCAAUAAAAUAUGAAUGUGAAGUUAAAUUAAGGUAGAUGGAGUUAGGUCUCAUUUUGUAUACAAAACCCACUGCUAAUAUUGGUGUGUUAUUAUUUAAUUUAUGAAUGUUGUUGUUGUAUGACAGUGACAAAAAAGAAUAAGGUUUUGUAUUUAAUAAGGCCACUCUUACUCAUAAUCACACAUGAAGUUGAUAUAUGAACACUGAGGGUUCCUUUUGCAAUGUUUAUCCACACAUAUAUUUAUUUUCUCACUAUGACCAAAUCUUUUAUCUUUUUUCACAUAUUUCUUUCCCGGAUUUUUUCUUCAUUUUAUAUAAUAUAUAUAUGGUGAUUUGAUUUAAUAUUCGUAUAGAAUAAAAAAUGAUAAAAUUAAGGAGUUUUUGUUGAGCUUUUUGUAGUUUAACGAUUUUUAUAAAGUGGAUAUUCAAUUUCUAAACUUUUUAUAGAUAAUGUAUACUUUAUGUAAUUUGAGUUAUGCAUUAUUAACGGAGUUUUUGUAACGAUAAUUAAAUUUACUUUAUAGAAUAUAACAUCCUUUUUACUUUAAGUAUUUAUGUGAAAUUUAGAUUCUCAUUGAAUAAUCAUCUUUGUAUUAAUAGUCUUUAUACGAGCUUUGCCCUUGAGAAAAAAUAUCAAGAAAGGUUUGCUUUGUGGAAAUGAGAAUGUGAAAACCUUUGGAGUGGUAGAAUGUCUACAAAUAGAAUAUAUGUUGUUUUGGAAUGAAUUAAUUUAUAAAACAUGGGUUUGUGUUCGAUCUCGUUUGAUAAUUGUGUUGGAUUCUAUUGGAUAACUACUUAACUUUCGGCAACUAAGUCUUAUUUUCCUCGGGUAGUGAUUCGGAGUUAGAAUGUUCUUUUUUAGUACAAUUUAAGGGACGUGGGAGAUUUGAACCCACGAUUUUAUAUUCACUUACAGGUGUAUGUUGAACUAAGCUCUUGUUGGUCGAAAAUAAAAUGUUGUAUUUUCAUAAUCUUAAUUUUUUUUAAUAUAUAGAAAAAGAUUGUAUAAUUGGGAUGGUGGUAGAUAAUUAGAACGUGGUAUUUUAUUGUGAUUUUAUACAUUUUAAAAUGAUUCCAAAAAGGUAUAAAUACUCCUAAUUUGAGAAUAAUGAUAUGAUAUGAUGGUUAAUGCUUUUUAAUCAAUGCCUAAAAAAUGGGAAUAAUGAAUAUUAUAUUAUUCUCAAAUAAAGUUGUAUUUACAAAAUCCACUCUUAUCCCCUCACAAUGAAAUGCCACGUCAUUUAUAUUGUAAUUAACAUUCAGCCAUUCAAAUAUGAAGAAGUAAUCUUUAGGCUUUAGGCUUAGUCUUCACUGUAAAAUUCACUCUUUUAUUUGACAUUACUGUCCCAAUUAAGUUUAUUCAAAGCAUACUUAAUUAGCUGUAGUUAAUUUAAUUAAGUACCGUAAAUGAGUUUGAGGGUUAUCACGUUUAAAGAACGUAUAAUAUGUUAUUAAAUUGGAUAAUAAAUGUAGACAGUACAAUUUAAGCUAAGGAGAAAUCUAUACAAAGUUGUUCGAGAGUGUUUCUCAAGCCAAAUUUAUUAAUUACUUUGUUUCUUUGCGUAGGUUAGAUUGUGGCUAAUUGAGUUCCAAAUCUAGUUGAUAAAGAAAGCUUUUGUUUAUCUCAUGUAUUUAGUUACAUUAUAUAACAUCAACAACGAAUUAUAGUUCAUCAACGGAGAAUUAAAUUUUUGUCGUCGACAAGCUUCAAAGUGUCAUAGAACAAUCUCUACCGUCCAAAAAAGCUCUUCAUUUCAUCUAGAGUCAAUACUUUUGCGAGCUAAAUAUAUAUAAUGAGUGGUAGUUCGAAAACCUUGUACUAACUACACCACAACACAAUUUAAAUUCAUUGACUACCAUACUAAUUUCAAGAUGUGAAAGAACCAUUAAUCAUUUGUAACCACAUAAAAUCUACCAACUUUGAGGAAUAAAUAAAUAAAACACUAAGCCAGUAUGAAGACUAUAUUUCACCAAAUUACAUGCAUAUUACCUAAUUAACAAUCAAAUUAGUUUUACAAAUAUUUAGUUUCCCAAUUAUUUGAGUACACUUAAACCAACACAUCAAUUUUUUUUCUUAAAAAAGUCCUAAAAUAUAAAAUUAAGCCCCAUUGUAUUAUCAUUUUCAUAAUUAAGAAAAAAAACCUUAAGAAUAAAAGAAUAAAAGGAUUAUUAUUGGUUUAUAAAAUCCAAGGAUUUGGCUAAACACGGUGGAAGGCAAGAGGAGAAUUAAAAACGUGUAAAUGUGGGCAUGGCCACAGCGCGUGGAGCUUUAUUUUUCUAUUUAUAAUUAAUUAUUCAAAUAAAUUUUAAACUCUUUUUUCUUUUUAACCAAAAUAAAAAUAAAAAAAAUAAAAAAACAGUACAGCUAUAAACCAUUCCUUUUUAUUUAUUUUAAAAUAUUUUCAUACAUACAUACAUACACACACAUAUAUAUAUAUUUAAAUUACGAAACUCAAAAACUAAAAACCUGUCUAUAAAUAACCCAUCUCUACUCCGAUUUCUUACCUCCUCCUCCUCCUCUUCUUCUUCUUCUUCUCAUCAACCUUAAUCUAAAUUUCUUCUAUUUUCUACAUCCAUUCGAAUUCCGUUACUUCUCCAAAUUCCUUGCAUUUCCCCCCUUUCUUCUUCGAUUUUUCCGGCUCUGAAUUUCUCCUACUUCUGAUUAUGAGGUUGAUGGAAGAUUUGUCUUACUCUGCCAACGAAGGCACCCCUGAAAUGGACCAAACGGUGUCGCUUCACUCCAGGUUUUCCAAUGCCCAUCAACAACGGAAGGUUGUUGUUGUUGGCUAUGCUCUUACCUCCAAGAAGACCAAGAGUUUCAUGAAGCCUAAGCUUGAAGGAUUAGCUAGGUAUAAUUAUACCAAACUCCUCCCUCCCUUCUUUCCUUCCUCCUUUUUUUUUUUUUUUUUUUUUGGUUUUUAUCCUUUAUUAUUUAUUCUCCGUUUUAUGUUAUAUGAUUGUUUGAGUUUCAAUGUAGAUGGGCUUCUGAUUUCUCUGGUGCCCUUGUUUCCUUUUCCUUUUUCUUCUGGUUAUUGUUUCGUAGAGGAAUAUUCCAGAGCCGCUUACGUCGUUUUCUUUUGCCUAGGGGAAGAAGGGGGGAGAGGGUGGGGGGAAAUAUCAGAAUGUUCCAAAAAUCUCGUAGUCGGAAAUGGGUUGAUUAAUCAACUUGUAUUUCUUUUGUUUUCUUUUGAUUCUGAGGCCGUAAUUAAGAUUGGAUCCUGCAAAAUAAAAUUCUGGGAUUUUUUUUUUUUUAAUAAAUGGGUUUGAUCAAUUUCGCUAUCUUCGUCUUAGACUCUCACAUCAUGAAGAUUAUUAAAUGAUUGUUAUUAAAUUUACUUAUAUUCUGUUCUGGGAAAUGCAGGAAUAAGGGUAUAUUGUUUGUUGCAAUUGAUCAAAAUAGACCUUUGUCGGAUCAGGGUCCUUUUGACAUUGUUCUACACAAGGUUGGUCUUUCUUUGAAACUUUCCUCUAUGGUUGUAUUUCCUUGAUAGAAACAUUUGAUGUUUGGUGGAGAACCGUCUAUGUCUUGCUCAGAGUUUGAUUCAUAAUUCUUCUUCCACCACAUGUGGAUUACAUUACAUGCAUCAAGUUAUUGAUUUUUAUUUUCCUUUUACAAUUCACUGGGUCCCAUUUGCUGUAGUAAGUUUUGUGUGGUGCUUAUGGGUUUUCAACUCUUUCUCACAGCCCUUCUUUCUCUCUUUGUUUUUCUAACAUGCAGUUGUCAGGAAAAGAGUGGCGUCAGAUUCUUGAGGUUGGUCCUCUUUAUUGACUAUCAAUUUAGUUUCAGUUUGACUUGUUUUAAUUUUGUAUAAAUUACAUCUAAACCUCGUGGAAUGUAAUACUGUUUUACCUAACUUGUAUGUUACGCGACAUCUAUUCACAUGGUUGGAGUCGAAUGAUCACUGACAUUGGCUAAUCGGCUAACUAGUUUUGAUUUAUAAAGCUCAUCCACAUCUGGCGUAAUGUGCAGACUGGUUCUCUUACGUCAUGAAUCAUGACUCAGUAGUUGAGGUCGAGGCCUUAAGGUUCCAACAAGUGAGGAUGUCUCCACUUCUUACCACGUGGCUGACUUGUUCAGGUUUUCUUGGAAAUUUUUGCCAAAACAAGAAUUGGCGACUUCUGAUUUGCAUUAACUUUUAUGGGUUCCAUUGUCUUGAGUAUAUGGCUACCCAUUUCAACAUUCAUUAGCCUAAAGUUAGAUGGCUUCAGGGUUUCCUAAUCCAUUAUUUCUAAAUCCUGGUAGAAAUCCAAUUUAUAGGAUUAGAUUAUGUAAGUCACCCUACUCCUCUUCCUCAUCUCAACUGUAAGCUUGCAGUCAGACAAAAUGUCAUGAUUUGUAAACGAGGAAAAGGUUGUGCUGGAUUGUUGGGCUACAGGAUUCUCAGCUACUAGAAAGUUUGAGGGUCUUCUAACUUUACCAUCUUUUUUAUUCAACAACUUAUCAUCUGACAUUUAAUUGUGUCUGUUUGAACUGUCUUGUUUUGAAACAUCCACAAAUUUUCUUGAAGAACAUAGCUAGGAUGUACAAGUGAUCGAGGAUUGUGGACCAUGAAAGUUAUAUUGUGAUUGAUUUCUCUAUUGUUACUUUUUAUACAAAUUCUGUGUUUGGAAGGACUCAAACUGAUACAUUCUUAAAUUUCACAAAUGUACAAUGCCAUUUUUUAAAAAACAUGUACAAUGUCAUUUUUCAAUUGAUUCUUUGUGAUCAGGAUAGUACAACAAAAUUCAUAUGUGAUCUAGUUUUCUAAUUGCUUCUUCAUUGCUUAAAAAGGUUUUGUAGAUGUAUAAAAGGAAUUGUUGAACUUUUCUAUUCUUUUCAUUUUGCAGUAGCUGAAAAUUCCUUCCUUCCUCCUUUUUCUUCUUCUUCCUCUUCUUCUUUUUUCCGGUAUUCUGGCUUACUGAUCUUUUCUGGUGGCCAUUUGACCAUGAUGGACCAUAUACAUGUGAAAUUUUUGCAUUAAAAAUAUGAAGUUUCAUAAAGAAAAUGUCUGAAACAUUUGCAAAUUAACUCCAAUUUUUUCUUACCUUCUUUGUAUUUGUUUGUAGGAAUACAGGCAAACACACCCAGAAGUGACUGUCCUAGAUCCUCCAGAUGCGAUACAGCAUUUACACAAUCGCCAGUCUAUGCUUCAAGCAGUUGCUGACAUGGACUUAUCUUUAUCCUAUGGUAAAUAUUGAGAACUUUUUUUUAAAAUUUUGUUUUUAAAUAAAUAGAAGCAAAUGCUUUAAUUGAGAAGAAAGUGAAAGAAUAUGGGGCCAUACAAAUAUUUGAGAAUGUUCUGCUUGAGUUCCACACAUGAUUAUUACGUUCUGGAAUUUACUGAAUGGAAAAUGGCCUUUUUGCUAUGUGCAGGCAAAGUAGGUGUUCCAAAACAAUUAGUCAUAAAGAAAGAUGCAUCAUCCAUUUCUGAUGCGGUGGUGAAUGUCGGGCUGAAACUUCCUCUCGGUAUGUAUACUUAUGCAAUACACGGAGUCCUAUGUAGUUUGUAGCAUCUUUUAGAAGAUCUAGAGGAGUGAUUUGUGUUAUAGAUAUGCUUGUUUACUUAAGGAGGUUGUUGACUACAGACCAGAGAAAUUCUUCUGGCUAAGGACAGUAUAGUAAAGUGUCUAACAAGCUUUAUCCAUUCUUAUCUCUAUCCAAUGCUUUUUGUAACUAAUAAAAUAUAUCCUGCUAGUGUUUAUCUCUUACUUUUUACGCUUUAUCCUUACCUAUUUCUCAUAUUGGCAUCAGUUGCUAAACCGUUGGUUGCUGAUGGAAGUGAAAAAUCCCAUCAAUUAUCUUUAGCUUAUGAUAAGUACUCCCUCCAAAAGCUUGAGCCUCCUCUUGUUCUCCAGGAGUUUGUUAACCAUGGUCAGUAAUUUUAACCUUCUUCCCUUUAAUCCAAGUUACAUUCAUAAUUUGGGAUCAUGAAUUUUAUUUCUGAUUUGCUCUUAUUUAUGAUGCCAGGAGGCGUCAUGUUUAAGGUCUUCAUCGUUGGUGAAGCUAUAAAAGUGGUCAGACGUUUUUCUUUACCAAAUGUCAGCAUGUGGGAGGUAUUGAAAAAUGCUGGCAUUUAUCAUUUCCCAAGAGUUUCUCAUGCUGCGGCAUCUGCUGAUGAUGCUGAUCUAGAUCCUUGUGUUGCUGGUAAGUCUUCAAAUUUCAAGAAUUGCCCUUUGACACCUUAGACGUCUUCCUCUACUCUUUAAUUUUACUUCAAGAGAUCAGGAUCGGUUACUGUGUUCACAGCAUAUGUAGAAUACUUUGAAGAAAAGUGGAGACAUCAUUUGUUAAGAAUAUUUGAAUUUCAUAACGAGAUACUUAACUCUCUACUUGCAGAACUUCCUCCACGACCUCUCUUAGAGAGACUAGCAAAGGAACUCAGACGUAGACUGGUAGGGCUGUUGCUCAUUUUCCUCAUUUUUCUUUAGGGUGGGAAAAAUAGAUUGUGGCCAUAUAGUCAUAUUGUUUACCUCUAUGCAGGGGCUUCGUUUAUUCAACCUGGAUAUCAUUCGAGAGUAUGGAACUAGAGAUCACUAUUAUGUCAUUGAUAUCAACUACUUCCCUGGUGAGUGGUUUACCUUUUAUUUUCGUGAAAUCGAUUUUGCAUCAAUCAAGAUCUGUUAAUGAUGGUUUAAAGCUUUUAUUCUGGUUGUAGGAUAUGGGAAAAUGCCGGAAUAUGAGCACAUAUUCACAGACUUCCUGUUGGGUUUGGUGCAAAGCAAGUACAAGAAGAGAACAACUUACUAGAAAAUUCUUUAAUUCUCGUAUGGUCACGUUCAGUACUCUCCAGAUUAUAUUACAGAACUCUAGAAUGAAUAAGCGGCACAAGGGCCACUCAAGCAACUCAUACAAUCUUUUACUUGGCUGAAGGAUAAGGACAGGGACGAGGAAGGGGACAGGGACAGGAGAAGCCUUAGCUAGUAGGUGUUAUGGUAUGAAAUGGAUUGCUUAAAUCUCUGUCCUUCGGCUUCUUAGCCAAUUAUCUAAUGUUAUGGCUCGCUCACAAAGUUGACGAGUUUGCAGUUUGGAAGGUGUAAAUAUGCCUUUUUAACUUUGCAUUAAUUAGCCCAAAUUUGAAACUAAUUCUCUCUGGGGUCCUCUGUUCGCUUUUGUUAGGAGGUUACUAGAAAAUGGCUGUAAAUAUUUCUAAGAUAGAAGGAAUGUGUCAAGGAUCGAAUGUAAAUUUUGAUUUAGAAGAAUCAAUUAACGAAAUGUGUUUUUACAUGGCAAUGGGUAGGUGAGAUCGUUAUAUGAUUGUUGAUCGAAAUGAUUUUAUAGAAGAUUUCUCCCGCUAUUUUCUUCCAAUUUUUUACACUUGCGAGAUUAAAAGCCAAAACAGAGAUCACAAUAAACUUAACUUUAAUAUUACAUGCAUUUGUUGUUGUAUGUGAGAUCUGUUUGGUUUAACUUAAACUUUUUUAGUGGGAUUAGUUUUGGGUUCACGUUGAAUUGAAAAUCAAAUUUGAUGACAAAUAAUAUUCUAAAACUUCGAAGUUGCUUCGAAACUUAAAUUUUAGAUUACUGGUGCAUGCAUUGAUAUGACACUUUUGAAAAAGCUAUUAUUUUAGUUUAUUUUUUUGAAAAUGUCUUUUCUUAUAUUCUCAAAAUGUCAAACGUGUUAUUAUUUUAGUUCAUGUCCAAGACAUUUGAAACAUGUUUUAAGUUGAAUUGAAGUUUGAAGAGAAGGAGUCGUCUGUAUGGGAGGGAGAAGGUGAAGAAGCUUUUCAAACAAAGGUGAAGAAGCUUUUCAUACUUAACCUCCAUCCACACUUUAACCAGUUGAGUUAUGUACAAAGAAAAGAAAAACUUAUUAAUAUUUCAUGUGAUGCAAUUAAACCAAAAAAUUUAUCCCAACAGGGAAAAAUAUAAAAAAAGAUAGGGUUUGUUGGGUUUACUGUAGGAGUGUAGUAGCCAGCCAUGAAAAUAUGUUUCCAGAUUCAGAAAUCUUGUAAUAUACGAAAACCAGAAUUUUCUGAAACUUUUCUUCUGACAUUACUGCUUCCUCUUUCUUCUCUCUCUCUCUCUCUCUUACUCUUCACUCUUCACUCUUCCUUUUCAUCUCAUUAAUACCUCUCUAUUUCUCUUCUCUCUCUCUUUUCUCACUUCAAAGAUCCAUUAUAUUUCCCUUUUUCUUUCCCUUUACAAUCACCAAAUCUCUCAAUAUUUCUUCAGCCACUGAUGACUUCCUUCCCUUACUGUCAUGGAAAACAGUGGACAAUCCCCAGGAAUCUAACGUCUUUACACUCCUUGUAAUAUAGAUUAGUUAUUAAUCUCGUUAUCAAUUAGUUAUAAGAUUGAAUCUCAAUACAAAAGACACGGAAAUUCAAGCAUUAGUAAAAACACAACAGAGAUGAAACUCGGGAAGAGAAGAAGUGAUGAUUUUCCAUCUUUUUGAUCUUUACAAGUUACCGUUUUUAUUCAAAAAAGAAGAAGAAAUGAAAGAAAAACAAAAUUCAUGGGUUGAAGAUGAAGUUCCCACAUUUGCAUUUCCAGCUUAUAGGCUUAUAAUUAGAGGUCUCAUCUUCACUAGAUAAAGCAACAUCAUGUUUUGAAUUAACAGAGAAAUAUCUACUACUACUUCUUCUUUUUCUUCUUCCUUUUCUUUGAUUCUGAUUUGAAUCAUGUAAUGCCACUGGUACUUGUACUGCUUCACAAUGUCCUCCACAUUCCCUACACUUCCUUCUACAGCUUGGUGGUCUUGACCCUAUUUGAUUCCUCAUCAUCAUCCCCAUCUUCUCCUCCUCCUCCGUCGCUACCUCCGCCGACUUCCUUUCUCCCUCCAUUGCUUGAAUUCCCCUACCUACAAUAUCCUUACAACUCAAAAACUCAACAAUCUCUCUAUAUAUGAAAAAAAAAAAAAAAAAAAAGCUCAACUUUUACAAUGACUUACCUUCAAUGGAUGUGACAAGAAUGAGAAUGAAAACAGAGAGGAACAGCAAGAGAAUUGAAAUAUGUUUGUUUCUGUUUCUGUGCCAAAUUUGAAAGCUGCCCAUCUUUUUUCAGUUAAAAAGGGGAAAUGGGUGUUAAAGGUUUAAAGGGAAUGGAAAGAAGAAGAAGCGUUUAAAUAAGAAACGAGAUGAAGAAUUUUGAUGACAGAACCAAAAAAGAAAAGAAAAGGGGUAAAAUGAAAGAAAAAGAGAAUCAGAGAUUGAGUGAGUGCCCACUCUAUAAUUCAAAUUGACCCAUCAUUUUUAACUUUUUUAUAUAUAUGUGAAUAUGAAGGUGGUACAAGCAAUAAUCCAAAGAAGAAAAGGGAAGGACAUCAGCCUCGUUUCAUGAGCCAACGUUCUGUUCUUUUUACAUAAGAAAGAAAAGGAACUGUGUGUACUGAUGAAUUUCAGAAGGGGGAAAAAAGAAAAAAAAAAAAAGGUAUAUAUAUAUAUAUAUCAAAUAUCAAAUUUUUAUGUACAUAAUCACAAAUCUCCAGCUGGGUUUCUCGUUGCCUUUUCAUUUUCUUUCAUUUUGUCUCCCUUUUUUUUAAAUGGAUAGAAUCUUGGCCAGUUCCACUUCUACACGCCAAAUUAUUUGGUCCCUUUUUCUUUGAGGAUAAAAAAAAGAACUGUUUUUUUAGUUUUUAUCUGUUUUUAAAACUAUUGUUGAGGAUUGUUGUAGAGGAAUCGUUGAAAGCUUUGAACAUCACUUGUUUUGGCUUAGCUUUUUCUAGUUCUUUCCAUUGUUAAUGGUUACUCAAUUGUCAUUAUUGGUCAUGACCGUCAUUAUAAGCUUUAGCUCGUAAACUGGACUAGUGGUUUUUCCAAGAUAAUUAGAAGUGUGUAUGGUUAUCCUAACCUCUCUUUCUUCUCCAUUGUCAAAAUAAUGAGCUCCAUUCAAAUACUUCAUCUACAAUUUUUAUAUUUGAAAUGAUUGAUUUAGAAUAUGUAUCACUAGUUAAGAGAUUAGAGGUUCAAAUCUCCUAUCUUUAUAUAUACGUUGUUGAACUAUAAAAAUAUUAUUAAAAUCGAACAAAAACACUUCAAAGCCGAUAAGUUUUACGACAUUGUGUUAACCAAAAUAUGAGUACGAGAAGAAGAAUAAUACUUCUGCGUUGAUUUGGGUAGCAAUAAUUCUCUAAUGUUUACCAAUAUGGCCUCGUUUGAUAACAACUACCUUUAUUUGUUGUUUAUAUUUUUAAAAAAAGAUAGAACUUUUGGUUACAUAUAAACUUACUUCUUUGUAUUUUGAGAUAUAUUCAUUUUUGUUCUUUAAAAUAUUAAAUAUUUGGUUUUAAUAUUUUUAAUAAAUCUUAAAUUUAGUAUGUCACAUUUUUUUUUUAUUGAAAUUGGCCAAAUAAUACUAAUCAUUUUGGAAAAUUAUCAAAAACAGCAAAUUUGACAAAAUAUUUACAACAUAGCAAAAUUUUCAGAUUCUAUCAAUAAUAAAUAUUGAUAGACACGGAUAUACUUCUAUCAAUGACAAUAAUAGAAGUUUAUUAGUUUUUAUAGUUGAAAUCCAAAAUUUUGUUAUAAUUUGUAAAUAUUUUAAUUUAUUAUGUUAUUUUUAUAAGAGUCAAUAACUUUUAUAUAAAAAUCUAUUAUAUGUGAAAAUGUUUUCAAGUUUUAAAUAAAACACUAGUAAAUAACAAAAAGUUAAAAAAAAUAAACUAGUAGUAGUGUCUAAAUUUAAAAUUUUAUGAAAACUAAAAUUGAACAUUUGAAAGUAUAAUAACUAAAAUUUAACAAAUUUUAAAGUACACGCACAUUUUAACCAAUUUAUUUAAAAAUAAAAAUUAAUCAUGUUUUAAAUUUUAAAAAUAAAGUUUGAUUUUAUUAAAACAUGGAUGGAAAGUCGAUAACUAAACAAAGAAACUUAUAGUUUAAAUUAAUAUUUUUAAGUUUAAUUUUAAAAUACCAAAUGGUUGUCAAAUGAAGUAAGGUUAUGAAUUAAUCUUCCUCGAAUUAGGGAAAAUGCUUCAUCGUUUAAGCAAAGAUCGAGGCAAGGGUGGAAGGACAAUUUUAGGAAUCGAGGAUGUAUGUGUGGAUUGUAAUCUUUGAUUCCAUCCUCGACCUCGACCACCUUGUUUUUUUACCCUCCCAAUGUGAAACGUAAAUAUAUAUUUACCUCUCUUGUUUCUCUUCUCACAAACAAGAAAAGGAAAAAUGUAAACAAUAAAAGAAAAUUGUGAAACAUGAUUGCUUGAGCAACCUUUCAAUACUAGAAAUUAGGGAUUAAUGACUAGCAAGAACAAAUUUUAAUAAUAUGUCUUAAUCUUUUGAAACAAAUACUUUAAUAUUUGAAGUUAGAGAAAUAAUGUUAAAUGGACUAUAAACACUUUUAAUCGUUAUUUGACUAACAAAAACAAUUAAGAUUAAUUCCAAUAUAUAUAUAUAUAGUCGACAACAAAAAGGAUUGUCUAAUUGAACUUUCUAUCGUAUACACAAAACUCUAACGAUGUACGCUUUCUUUCUUUUUACACGACUUCAUUCUAUAUAUACUAACUUAAUUUAGGGAGAGACACAAACAACGAGAGAGUUUUGGGAAGCAAAAAAAGUAAUUUACAGGUUUGAUUAGCAAAUGAUGGAUGUGAAGGAUGUGAAGAAUGUGAAUGUUUUUUUUUUCUUUUUUUUGUUGUUCUUGAAAUUAGAACACAAAAUGAUGAAAAUGGGAAAGGGAGUUUUCAAAUGGAAAAUGCAGAGAUGAAACGUGUGCAGAUUUGGGAAUCGAAAAACGAAACUCUUUCAGACAGUAAAAAAACAAAGAAUCACACACAGACCCAACCCUUUUUCUUUCUUCAUCUGUCUCAAUCUCAUUUGAUUUUAUACAUAUAAAUAUAUAUAACCAUUGGUUCUUCCUUUCUCUCACUUUCCCUCUUUUAAGAAACUGGUUGAUGAUCUUUAAGGAAGAUGCAUGUGUGGGUUUGUGAUCUGUACAGAACAAGGUUUCUCUUUUCCCUUUUCCCUUUUCCCAUGGAAAUUAAAUUAGGCCAUUUCUUAAUUAAACGUAACUCUGUUGGGUAGUAUGCUACUUUACAUUUAGAUUUAGAUCUUAAUAGUUAGUACGUUUAUACCAAGCUAAAAAAUGAACACAUGUUAGAUCAUGUCAUUAUAUUCAUGAACAAAUAGUUCUUCGAUACAAGUUUGUGAUGUUCUUUUCAGUUGAUCGUCAUUUUCAUUGACACUUACGGUGUGUAUAUUGACAUUUUGUAAGUUGUCACGUAUAAUUUAUAUAUGGGCAAUCGAUCUCUCAUCGAGAUCAUUAAAGUUUGUCAUAUAUGCCAUGAAGGUAAAUGAUUUAUUUGUUGUUGGAAAAUAAAUGACAAACGGUAAUGUUAAAUAAUGCAAAGAUGUCAAUGGUAAUAUAGGGGAGGAAUCAAACAUGUAGAGUGUUAUUUCAUGUCAACAUGCAAAGUUAUGAGUGUAAUUUAGUCCCACGACGUUACAAUUUGACACUUUAAAUUUGAGUUUUGUUUUAAUUUGAUUGUUAGGUUUUAAUAUUUACAAUUUUAAGUAUGGCGUGUUUUGUAUUAAAAUUUAGUUUAGAUUACUGGCGUCAAUAUUUAUUAAUUAGUUUUAAAUAAUUAAGUGAAUUUUGAAGAACAAACAAAAUUUGUAAUAUUUUAGAACCCAAUUAGUAAAAAAAAGAAAUUGAUUUGUUAUAUUUUCAAACUUAAUAUUAAAAAUAUUAUGCAAAUAUAAAAAUGGUUUUAAAUAACAAAUUUUCUAAAAAAUAUUUACAAAUAUAACAAAAUAUCAAAGUUUAGCAAAAUUAAUUUUAAAAAUUAGAUCUAUGACACACCAUUUUGAAUUUGCAAAAAUGACAAAAUUCAAGUACAACCCAUAUUUGAAAAAUGCAAAAUUACAAAUCUACCCUAUGGAAUUAUAAACAUCUCCGUUCGUCGUUUGAUAUGCUGUUGAUACACUUUAUGUGUUUUUGAUAUACUCAAUAUAUUAAAUAACACUUGAUACUCAUAAUUGGUUUGAUACACUUGAUAUGUUGUUGAUAUAUUUGUUAAACUUUGCAAAUACACUCAAUCAUUUAAAUACAUUGAUACACUAAAUAUAAUACGUUUGUUGUAUUGUCGAUACAUUUAUUAAACGAUUUGUUCAUACACUUGUUGUGUUUUUGUUCAUACACUUGAUGAGUUUAAUACACUCUAUAAUUUUUAUACACUAGUGAUAAACAUUUUAUACUUCACCGAUACACUCAACAAAUUUAAUAUAUUUGAUAUAGAUCACAUGUUUGAUAUCCUUGAUGUGCUGGUACGUUUUCUAUGUUUACUGAUAUACUCAAUUGAUUAAGAUACAUUUCAGGUUUUUGUCGAUACACUUAAUAUACUUCACUAGUACGCUUUGAUACAUAUUAUAUGUUUGAUACACUAAGUUAUAUCAUUCAUAUACUUAAUAUUACUAAAAUGAAUUGCAUAGAAGUUACAAAAAUGAAAAUCAGGUAGUAAUUAAGUAUAUCAACAAAAUAAUACAUAUAAUAUAAGUACAUCACAACAUUUAUAUACAAAGCUGAUACAUAUAACGUGAUGCUCUUAACAAACCAAAGACAACCAUCUUCAUUACAUCCCAACUCAAUAGAUUUUGAAUUAGAUCUCAAUGUCUUAAACUCAAGAUUAGUCUUGAGAGCAGAGUGACUUCAACAAAAUUUAUUUACUAUGUACAAAACAAAUUAUUCUCCAGAAAAGCCAACUCAUUCUUAAUAUCGAUAAUAUCAAUAUCUUUAAAAAUUGUUAAUUCACCUCCCAAAUCAGUUUCAACUAGGAAAGAAGAAGUUGAAGAAUCAAUUAAGCAUCAAAUAUUGUAUAUAUAAAACAAGCAAAUAAAGGAUAUUGGGUAGAUUGAUCCUUAAUUAAUAUCAAGAACUAAGUCACAUUUUUUUUAAAAAACUAGAACCAAACAUAAAUAAAUUAAACAAAGUUCUCCAAAUCCCCUCUUGGUAAAAGAGAUGAGGAACAAAUAAAAAAACAAACAAAAGAGAUGAGGAAUAACAAAUCGUAGCCUUAAAUUUUAAUAAAUGUCGAUCGAUUCACAAAAGAAAAAAAUGAUGAUCAAAGUCUCUUACCAAUUUUGGACACCAAAAUAUAUAAAAGAAUACUAAGGAUUUAAAAAAAUAUUGAAAAAAAUACGUACCUAAAGAAGAACGGUGGAAAAAAGGAAUAGGAAGACGAAGAUAAGAGACGUAGUGAAGAGAAGAAACCAAUAAUUGUGGAGAUCGACGGAGUGACAGAGUAGACUACGAAAAGGAAGAGAAUGAAUGAGAAAAUAAAAAAGUAGAAAUUUAGAGACGGACAUUUUUUAAAUAAUGAAAAUAUUAAAAUAUGAAAUAUCAAUACUUAUUGUAAAGUUAUUAUAUUUGCAAAAUUAAAAAAAAUUAAUUAUAAUAUUACUAAAUGAUAUCUAUAUCGUUUCAAUCCAAUACAAUUUUUUGUUUGGAAUGUAAAUUAUUUUAAAAAUAAUAAAUAAUACGAGAAGGACAAAUGUCAAAUAUUAAAAAAUUUAGCUGAGUUUUUUUUGAAAGAGAGUAUAUUUUAAAAAAGUGUUACGUGAUUAUGGUGUGUUAAUCUUCUCCCCAAACGUAAGGAACGACGAUCCAUUGAAAAAGUUUCAAUUCCUGACUCGACCCGCGAAGAAAUAUCCAUUCGAAACUCGUUGACGGAGAGGAGAUAUUUUCUUGAACUUUUAUUGCCCUAGUAAGCAAAAGAAAUCUUGUUGAUUUUCCAAAUUCUUAGAAAGGAGAUUAAGAAUUGGUGGUAGAGAAUUUGCAGUUUCGACGUCCACAUUUUUCACUCAUCAGAUUGCAUGUGACUAAUUUACUACUACUUCACCACCAACCUUCUGCCUCUCCCUGGCUCCAAUUUUCAUGAUGGGAACAAGUUUUAGGCCAAAUCUCAGGUGGGGUUUUCAAAUUCAGACUCAUUCCCUCAAGAAUUCCCCUUCCAAGCUUUCCCCACAUGCCUGUUAGUUCCCUUUUCCCUUAACCACUUCAUGAUUUUGUGUUUUGACGUCGAUUCAUAUCUGGGUUCAUAGUUUCUUUGUGAAAUAUGAGAUAUAGAGCUUGUCUUUAGUUAUUUUGAUUCUGUAAUUCAUCGAACUCCAUCGUUCUGUCUAUUUGGUUUUACAUUUUUAAGCUUACAUUGUUCUGCUUGUUAUACGUUUUAAAUUGUUUUGCGAUUAUCUCGAUCAUCUGAAGAUGGAAAAUUUUUGGGGUUUAUUUGGGAAUUUUGGAUUGAAAUUAUGAACAUCCCGCCAAAAUCUUGCUCCGGAACGGUUAUAUAUGUAUAUAUCUGUUACAUGCCCUGAAUUUACAGUUGUUUAAGUUUUUCGGGGAUUGUUAGGCUCUGAAAUUUUUCUCAAGGACUACUGACUACCACUGGACUGAUUAUGAACUGAAUUUUCGAUGAUCUAUCUUUAAUUUGUUUUCUCCUGCUUAGAUACGCGUGAGAAAGAACCUCAUUUCUUAAAAUAUAUGAACUGAAUCGUGUUUUUAAAGUUAUAUGAUGAUAUUGGCAAUGGGAAUGCAUUGUUAAGUUAGGUUGGUAAAGUGAAACUCCUUUGGAUGGUUUCUGUUUCCUAUAAAAGAAUAAAAUAAGAAUACUAGUUAUAGUCUCUAAUUCGGUUCAGUUCUACAACAGCUAAAGGCAGGGAAGCCGCCUUUAAUUCAGGAAGACUUUCCUUCUUCUCCAGUAUUUGUGAAGAAGGAGAAUCUAUCCCUAGAGAAACCUUGAAAACAUACACUUGCUUGUCUGAAGCUCCACAAACCUCGGCCAAUGAUCUGUUAAAUUUGGAAGAGAUCGAGGUUAGCCCUUUGCAAUGAACUUCACAACACAAAACCCACAUGUAAUCUUGACAUCACCUAGUUUUUUGCUUUUCAUAGGAUGGAUUUUAUAUGUGAUCGUGGGUUUAUUAUUCUUAUCUUUCAGAUGAACAGUGGGGCAAAGUCACUUGGUCCUAUGCAUUAUGGGAUUAAAAGUACCAGGCCAUCUAAGGUAGAGGACAAUUUUUCUUCCUGUACGAGCUUGCCUACUGGCAAGGCGUCACCUUUUGGCAUCUUAAUGGAAAACCUUGAUGUUUUGGAGGAAACUUUUACUGAAUCAGGCAUGCUCAGCUUGGAAAGAGAUAUUGUGCUGCAACUAACAAAACUUGGAGCUUUGGAGUUUUUUAAUACCUGUCUAUCUAGGACUCUUAAAACUUCAAGUUUUCAUGAUUCGUCAGGCUUACCCAUUGAGGGCGGUGAAGAUCACAAUGUAAACCAGAAAACCAAUGACCAGAAUGACAAUGUCACAGUUUACUCUGCAAAAAAAGCAGGAAGAAGAUCAGUAAAAAAGAGAGCAAUGGAUAAUGCUGAUAAAAUUGCUUCCCGGCUGCUGACUACAAGAGCUGUUAAAGAAAAAAUCCAUAGAUCGACUGUAUUUUCGAGAAAAAAAUCAUCUAAUUCAAGUAAAAGAAGACUGAUUGUUGCAAUAAAUGAAGCUGAAAUGUCCACAGGGGUUAAGGUUGAUACAUCUUUGAUGUUUGCACAACCAUCUUUUUGAUACAUAUUAUGUUAACAUUGCUAAGCUUCUAUCUCAUUCCAGGUAGUUGCAAAUUUAGAAAGAAUUAGAGAAACCUUAGAAAAGGAAUCUGGAAGAAUAGCAAGCAUGAGUUGUUGGGCUGAAGCUGCCAGUGUUGAUAUAAAGGACCUGCAGAAACAGUUACAAUUUGGUUCGUUCUGCCGGGAUGAGCUUUUAAGGAGCACUAAUUCAUUAGUCGUGUUCCUGGCAAAGAAAUACCGAUGCUCUGGGUUACCAAUGGAGGACUUGGUUCAGGUCUAUUCAUUACUGUUCUAUGAGAAACCUGAGUGCUUUGAAUUUCAAUGUAUAUAUUCUUUUAAGCUUUGCUUUUUGAAAAAGUAUAUGGCAUUUUUUCCCUUCAGUUAUUCAUUGAUAAUAGCUUAUCAUUUACAAGUUUCAUUUUUUCUUGUAUGAAACCAAAUUUAUAGCACCCUCUAAUUCUUUUUGGAGAUGAAAAGCAGAUAAUGGUUUUUUCAGCCUACCACCGUAAAUUAAGACGAGAAUUGUGCUUGAUGAUUAAGUAUUUCACCAAAUUAAUGCUCAUUAAGGAAAUUGAUGUCAACAUAUAAAUAUGCAAAUUUUGAAUACUGAUGCCUUACGGAUAGAAAUUCAUUUCUCAAUAGAAGCACAUUAAGGAAAAUGCAAGAGCUUAUGCAUCUUUGAUGUUUAUUUUCUCUUGGAUUCGUAGGCAGGAGCCCUUGGUGUGCUGCAAGGUGUUGAAAGGUUUGACCCUAAAAGGGGUUUUAGAAUCUCAACAUAUAUUCAAUACUGGAUAAGGAAAUCAAUGUCAAGAGUUGUGGCACGGAAUUCAAGGGGAAUUCAAAUUCCAGUAUGAUGUCUUUUACACCGGGAGGCGAAUUUCAUAAAAAAUUUCAUAUUCUUGUAUAGCUGACUCAUCUUUAUAAUUCUUUGUAGAGGUCAUUAACCAAGGCAAUAAAUCAGAUACAAAAAGCACGAAAAGUGUUGAACCACAGUGGUAGGAGAUAUUCGGAUGACGAUAUAGCAAGGGCUACUGGACUUCCUUUAGCCAAGGUUAGAGUUGCCAGCAACUGUUUAAAAGUUGUGGGUUCGAAUGAUCAGAAGAUGGGUGAUGGAGUAAAUAUGAAAUAUAUGGUAGGAUUUGCUCUCUCUCCUGUUCCCUCUUUCAUUGAGGAUUUCAUUAUGUUUAUGGAAAAUUGUCAAAAAUAGCGAAGUUGACAAAAUAUUUACCUUUCAUGAAAAAAUAAGUGCAACCUAUAGAGUGGAAAUAAUUUGUUUUUUAUAUAUAUUUUUUAAAACCCUAUGUUUAUUAAUUGAGAGUGAAGAUUUUGUCUACUAAAGUUGGUUCAUCAAAAGCUUAUAUAUUGGUUCAAAAUGGCAACGCCAGCUUGUAAAGUUGCGCUAACUUAAAACGAUCACGUUUAGAAUAUCCCUUUGCAGACUUUUACAGUGGGAGUGAAAAUCUUAAGAACGAUGUUUUCCUUCUGGAUGUUACAGAUUACAAAACAUACGAAAACUCUGAUUUGAUAUAAUUUUCUUAUGGUGCAGGAAUUUACAGCUGAUAUGUCAAUACAGAGCCCAGAAGAGACUGUGAAGCGAAAACUAAUGAAGAAAGACAUCUUUAAUAUUCUUCAAAGGUUGGAAUCAAGGGAGAGGCAGGUCCUGGUGCUGCGUUACGGACUUGUGGAUUUUGAACCCAAGUCACUCGAGGAAAUUGGAAAACUUCUGCACAUAAGCAAGGAAUGGGUUCGAAAAAUAGAAAAGAAAGCUAUGACAAAGCUGAAGAAUGAAGAGACUGUGAAGCACUUGAGCCAUUACUUGGAUUGAUCUACUUCUUUCAAGCCACGAGAACCUCCAGUCUUUUCAAAACUUGCAGCCGGCCAAACAAGCCAAGGGGUUCGCAUUGCGCUUUCGGGCCACACUAACAAAGUUGUUACAAUGAGCAUAUCUCAAUCCUCAACGAUUUUCGCCGAGCAAUGAAUUCUGUACAGUUCCGUAUGUGAUUCAUUACACACCGGCCUCUACACCACUGAAACAUCAACCCAUCUGGUUGACGGUUCAUGUUUUUUGAUGUAAAAUAUGAUCUUUACUUCCAUCAUGGAUUGAUGGGACUGUACAUAGAGAUAUGCACUUGAACAUGGCCAAACCUUUCAUAUACAUAUAUAUACAUGCAUGCUUACAUAUAUAGCCAUUUUAAGCCAUAUGGGACAACAUGUAUUAAAUUGUAUUUCACAUACAGGGCAAUUCAUGCCAUUGCUAUAGGUGUGUGUGAGGAUGAGCAUAGUAUAUUUAUUAAUACAUAAUUUCUUUAAAGCUUUUGUAUUCACAUGUGACUUCAGGGCAGGUUCAUGACUUUGCUUACAUUUCUUUACUGAGAAGAAAUUUGAAGGACUUUACAAUACUUUUCUUGCUUGAGAAGGAAUGGACAAAUGAAAUUGUGAGUUGAGAGAGAAAUCUGCUUGGUUUGACAACGUUGGCAAGAGCAUGCUUUUGCCCUGGUCAAAAUUGAAUGCUAUAAUUUAUUGUUAUCAGCUGCUUUGCUUUUCUUGAUGAAGGGGAAAGCUGACACCAAAUUGGAUAGGAGAGGCCCGCUUGUAUGUAUGCUAAGCCGUACUAAAUGGUAUAAGAUUAGACCAUUGGAACGUGGAAAAACAACCUUUUUCUCUCUCUUUUUUCGGUUAAGUCGAUGAGAAAACAGGUUGAUUUCAAUUAUACUUCAGAGUAGAAAUCAUUUUAAUAUUUAGAAGUUUGAAAGACUUUUAAACAGUAGCUUUGAAAGCAACUGUUGUUGAGUUUACUACCAGCAAAAUGUUUAGAACUUCAGGGUUAUAAUCGAACCUUGAUCCAUAAGUUUAAUGUUUGAGCUAAGGUGGAAUUGGUAUGUGAAAACAACUUGCAUUUCAUUAGGGAUGUAAUAUUUAUUGGAGGAACAAAAGUUUGAUGACAUUCUUUUCUUUGGGAUGUACCACUCCUCUAGCAGAAACAAAAAUUUAUGAUGAGUGUGAUACGUCUAUCGAUACAUCAAUAAAUUUUCUAUCUAUCAAUUUUAGCCAUGAACUUUCAAUUGUAUUUCGACCGUUUCAAUUAAUUAUGAAAUCGUUUGUGUAGUACAAAAUUGAUCAAAAUAUAGUUUAAAAGGAUAUUGGGGUGGAUAUUUUUAUUGAAAUAUAACUUGUGCAUUUUUCACACUGUUAUUGUUCGAAAGACUUUUGUCCAUGACUUUAUUUCGUUGACAUCAACCAAUUUCAUUUCCUACUAGAAUUAGUAGCACAACUAUGAAACUUAAAUCGAACAAAAAAGACUACAACAUUUAAUUAAUUUUAGUUCCCAAGUUAAUGAAAUAUAAAAUCCAUUAUUGUAUUAACAAUUAAAUUAAAAUUUAAUCAUAUGAAACACAUCGAAACAUAUAAGCAAAUUAUGAAUACCAAAUGUAUAUUUUAACAUAUGAUUCAAACAGAAAAAUAAAGAAAGGUUAAUAAAUUUUGGGCAUUUUACAAAAUAUAGCAUAAUAAUCACAAAUAUUUAAUUUUUUUUGCAAAAUCUUAGAUUAUAUUUUAAUAAUUUUACCAUUUACAAUUGUGAAAUUGUAAUUAAUUGAUUUCAUAUUUGGAUACACAAAAUUACCUAAUAAAUAGACCCAAAAAAAAAUCUAAGAACCGAAGAAAUAGUAAUAUAGAAAAUAUUAAAUAGGAAUAAAACCAAUAAAAUCGUAAUUAAAUUUAAGAUAAAUAAUUUUCCAAUUAAAAUUUGCAAAGCUGAGAACAAACAUUUCUAUUAAUAAACAUGAAGAAAAUUUAUAAAAAGAGAGAAAAAAAUGUUGAGUUGGUGUUAAUGUUAGCAAUAAAUAGUGUUGUCUCUCCAAAACUUUCACACGUCUUCUCCCUUUCACUGCCUUCGUGACAAAUCAAAACGAUCACCACCAAAUCCAUUCCGAAAGUGACCCUGUCACAGCCCAAUCACGCCUCGCCUUUUCGUUGAAAAUUAGUCAAAAACCUUGACCAAUAUCCUACCUGUCUUCUCCUCAUUGGUCGGUGACAAAACUACAUCCCUAAACAUAAACAUAUUAUCACACCCCAUCUCCGUAAAUGAAUCUCUGUCACGCAGGCGCUUGAACGACACUCGCUCGGACAAGAAAACGACGGAUUUGACGGAUUCCUUUAGAAACGCCGUCGUUUGGUAAUAGCGAGUGGUUUUCACGGUAUUGGAAUAGGAGUAGGGUUCAUUAUGAUUUAAUGAUGAAUGUGACAAAGUACCACGAUUAACCUCCACACGUGCCAACCCCUGCGCGGGAAAACAAGGAAAAGUCAAAAAAGAGAGUUGACGAUAGGGUUGAGCGAAUGAGUUAAUGACACGUGGAAGAGCGUAUUGAGCUCAAGCCGUUUUGGAAUAUUUCUGUGUCAUUUUUAGUCGUCCAGGAAAUAAGUAAAGGCCUCUUCCUUCCUUCCCUCUUUCUCUCUCAUUUGUUCUUACAAAAGAAAAAAACACCUCAAUCUUACCUUCUCCGUUCGUGUUUUUGCUGGGCGAUUUCUAGGGUUUCAGUGGGAGAUUGAUUGAGCGGGGGGUUUUUUCUCACCAUUGAAAUUCAUGAGAUUGUAUUCAUGGUGGAAUUAGUUUUGGCCUUAAUUACUGCAUUUCAUAAUUCAUCUACAAAUCUUUACAUUCUCUGACCUAAUGACUCUUGACAGUAGUGAAUGGCUCGAUUCCACUCCCGCUCCAUUUCUCUUUUGUUUCUAGUGAUUCUUGUUCUUGUUACAGUGUUUCGUUUUGUUCUCUCAUCUACGGCCGACGAUGAAUUUUCCAUUCUCGAUUACGAUGCGUUUCUUUUUCAUCAGGAUUACUCGCCGCCGGCCCCACCGCCACCGCCGCCUCAUCCACCUUCAGUUUCCUGCACCGUUGAUUUAGAUGGUGUCGGUUCGUUGGAUACUACAUGUCAGAUUGUCAACGAUUUGAACCUUACUCAUGACGUGUAUAUAGCCGGGAAGGGGAAUUUUUAUAUCCUGCCUGGGGUGAAAUUUAAUUGUCUUAAACCAGGGUGUUCGAUUACUAUUAACAUUACUGGCAAUUUUACGUUGAGCAAUGAUUCGUCUAUAUUUACCGGGAGCUUUGAAUUGGCCGCCUGUAAUGCUAGUUUUCUUAAUGGUUCUGUGGUGAACACGACGGCUUUGGCUGGGAAUCCGCCGUCACAGACCAGUGGUACGCCACAAAGUGUUGAUGGAGCAGGAGGGGGACAUGGAGGGAGAGGAGCAUGUUGUUUGACGGAUAAAAGUAAGCUUCCCGAGGACGUUUGGGGAGGGGAUGCGUACUCAUGGGCAUCGCUGCAGAAGCCUAGCAGUUUUGGUAGCCGAGGUGGUUCAACGAGCAAGGAGGUAGACUAUAGUGGUAAGGGUGGCGGAAAGGUGAAGUUGAAUGUUGCUGACCUUCUUGUAAUUGAUGGGGUUGUUCUGGCCGAUGGUGGUGAUGGGGGGACUAAAGGUGGAGGUGGGUCAGGUGGCAGCAUCUAUAUCCUUGCUCACAAAAUGUAAGUAUCUAUCUUAUCUCCCUAUCUGUUUGUCUGAUUUCUUUAAUUUCAUCUCCACAUUGGAACACUGUAUAUCCUCCUCCUAUUUGUUCGAUAAUUUUAUUUGCGCGAGAGCUAUAUGAGUUUUCCUUCUUGUAGAUAAGUAAGAAUAUUGGAGGGGUUAAGAUGGUUUAUGUUUUACCGUUUUUUUAAUAAAUAAUUUGGUUCUUUGACUGUUUCAUAAAAAUGGACAUGGAAAAAAAUGAAUGUUAAAGUAUUUUGUUUUAAGAACAGGAUUGGCAAUGGCAAGAUAAGUGCCUGUGGAGGUGAUGGAUAUGGUGGGGGAGGUGGUGGAAGAAUCGCUGUCGACAUUUUCAGCAGGCAUGAUGAUCCUCAAAUUUUUGUUCACGGUGAGAGUUAUUAGCUAUUCGUGAACUUCGGUGGUGUUACAAAAUCGUCGACCAUGUUACAAGAUGAUAUGCAGUAUCUAUAAUAUAUUAGUAUACACAUACUUGCACACCACACACGUAUACAAACACAUAACCAUCACCCAUACACAGCCACAAAUGCUUAUAUAUAUGUGUGUGUGAUGAAAUUUAUGUAUGUAUCUAUGCAUGCAUGAAUUUUAUUCUUCAAUUUAUGCUUCAUUUUCUUGUCAAGAUAUUUAUUGAACUCCAUAAAUGUGCAUGGGAAAGGCUGGAUAUAUUAUGUUUCAGUUGCAUAGUUUGAAGCUCAUUUUGUUCAAUUGGUAUUUUUCUUUGGGAUACGGAACGAAGUAUUUUAUUGGUAGUAUUAUGUAUGAAAUGUUACAAAAGAGUGGAGAAAGCAAAACCCCCAGCCAUGGGGGGUUACAAAAAAAGAGAUCUCCUACAAGGCUAAGUUCAUUAGGACCAUGAAAAUUGGAGUAAAAAGGAAUAAAUUUACAAAAUAUAAGAGUGGAGGCUUGGUGAUGAUUUUUCAUUUUACGAAAUUUUUAUCCUUUCCUUCCCAUUUCACGCUCUAUUGUGACUAUACUCUAAUACUUCGAAGAAACAAUAUUUCAAUAAUGUAUUUAUCCAACCCACAAGAAAAAGAAGGCAACACUUAAAAAGUAUUUUCAGAGUGGAGAUGAUGUAUUCUGCCAGAACCUAAAAUUAUGUUUAGUAUUAAAACUUGAUGCUCGUUUAGAACCAAACUCAAUGUUCUAUUUACUUGGGAGACUUGCUCUUGUUUCUAGCAGCAUAAAUACUUAUAUGUAGGAUGGACUUUAGAAACAUCCUGCUCGGGAGCCUCCUUGUUUUUUGUUCUUUCCCUUCAUUUAGCAAUUCCUGUUUUUUGUUCCCUUCUGUACUCUAUGCUGCGUUCGAUAUUUUUUUUCCUUCAUCUAAUGUGAGUUAAUGAAGCAAGAUUGGAUGGACUCCUUUCAUCUAUCUGCAACAAAAAAUUUCUACAAUUUUCUUUUGGUACUUAUCUGUUGGCAGUGAUGGGAGGAACUGCUCAUCUGCAAUGUACCUUUGACUGCUUAUUAUGGUUGUCAAUGUGUUAAUUCAUUUAGAAGUAUUGCUAAGAUGGUAAAUAUAUGUUAUAUAUGUAGGGGGACGUAGUUUGGCUUGUCCAGAAAAUUCUGGCGGUGCUGGAACUCUGUAUGAUGCUGUUCCUCGAAGCCUUACAAUUUCCAAUCAUAACCUGACAACUGAUACGGAUACACUUCUUUUGGAGUUUCCUAAUCAACCACUCAUGACAAAUGUUUAUGUUCGAAACAAUGCCAGGGCUUCAGUUCCUUUGCUCUGGAGUCGUGUUCAGGUUUGUAAUUAACCUGAAACUCAGUUUAGAUUGUUCACUCAGCAUGAGAAAUCUGGAUAUGGAGAAGUGCUACAUUACAGAAUAACACGUACCAUUUCUUUUGAGCUAUAUAUGUAGUACAAACCCUAUACACAUAUACUUACUUUUCCUAGUGUGAUUCUUUUAUUCUACAUCUUUUUUGCCCAUUCUACUUUUAACUUUGAAGCUUUUUAUUGAUAGUCAACACGUUCUUCUACAUUUGUGGAAGCCUCUUCCACCAAAAAAAAAAAAAGAAAAGAGGGAGCAUGGCAGUUAUGUUUGUGUGUGAAGUAGUUUCAAAGUUUCAUUCACCAAUCUAAGAAAUUCCACGAUUUUGCAUAAAUUAUUUGUUUGACAUCAAAUGUUUAAUCUAGCAAUUGUGAACCUUGAAAGUUGAGGCAGCAUAGACAGGUUGAUGCAGUAGAUUUGAGAUUAGGACAAAUCUAUUUCAAAACAAGGGAUGAACCCAUCCCUAAGGUUGAGAGAACACUCUACAACAGUGUUCUAUUUCAAAAUGAUAUUCAAAAAGCUCCCAUUAAAAUUCCCAAGGUUGCUAUUUGUAGCCUUACGAAAAAAUAAUGAUAAACAUAUGAAUUUCAAUAACUAAUUAAACACUAAUUGAUUUGAAAUUAACAACUAUACAAACAUAACCUAGACUAUAGUAAUUAUCUAGCAUUUCAUCCUGCAUCACGUUUUACGAAUGGCUUUUUCAAUGAUUAGUUUUGGCUUUCCUUUAUAUAUUGCCUAUGUGUGACUAAAAUUUACUGUCUCUCUGCAUUUUCCCUGUUUUUACGACAACUUUAUAUAUGAUGCUCUUCUGAUUGUCCCUUUAGUGAUAGAAUUAACUGCUAGCUCUUCUGAUUUUUUUGUGCUCCCUGUUUUCUUACUUGAUGAACCAUACUUGUUCACGUAUUUUGGUUUUUGUUAUUUCGCCAAAUUAGCUAAUAGUUUAGGUGGGUUUUACUGAAUUUACUAUUCUAGCCGAUGUUAAUUUCUGAGUCUUAUGUGCCUUGUACCUUAGAAAAUAUUCUGUAGAUAUCGUUUGUUUGGAUGGCUUGGUAGUUGGUUUGAAAAAUGAUGCUAGAAUCAUAUUGUGCAUGGCAAGUUCUCAUUCGAUUCUUCUGAUGUAUAUUUUCUUUAUGAUGGUAAUGCUGGAAUGAGCUCUAUCGACAAUCUUAAUGUUGGUUCUCAAUACUAUUAACUAGGUUCAAGGUCAGAUUAGCCUUCUAUCUGGCGGAGUAUUAAGUUUUGGGCUGGCACACUAUGCCUCUUCAGAGUUUGAGCUAUUGGCAGAAGAACUUUUAAUGAGCAACUCAGAAAUCAAGGUAAAAUUUUUUCUGUGGCCUACAGUUAUGCUCUUCAUGCUUGCAGUACAUUUAUUUUUAAGCCAGUCAUGAUUUAGGGAACCAAUGUUGGAUAUGAUCACUUUUAGCCCCUAAAAUUUCAUGGAAGUAACACUUAAAUGCACAAACUUUAGUUUGUGGCGAUUUAGUCUUGGUACUUUCAAAUUUGUAACAUUUUAGUCCCUGAAUUUUAACAAGUAUUAAUUUAGUCCUUCACAUUUCUGUAAUGAUUAGUCCCAGUGACGAUAAUACUAUCAAGAUUUAACGAAUUUUCUUAUGCAAGACUAAUUAAAGGUUAAGUUUGUUUAUUAAUUAUAUUAGUCGUUUUAUAAUCAUAAUUGGCAAUUAAGUUUGAUGAGAUUUUUAUGAUAGGGACAAAAUUGUUUGAUAUUUAAAAGUGUAGGUACUAAACUGAUACAUUCUAUAGUUCAAGGACUAAUUUAUACAAAUAUUCAAGUUUAUGGACAUGGACUAAAUUACUACAAAUCAAAGUUUAUGGACUGUAUUCUUACUUCCUUUUUUUUGAAAAGGUGACAAGCUUCUUUAUUAUUAAUGAACUCAAAGUACAAGAGACUAUUCUUAAUUCCUUGAAAGUCCUCCAUGGAAGUUCAGGUCCAACGGUGAUUUUGAUCACUAAUGUUUGUUAUGAUGAAACCUUUUUGUUUCAUGCAUACACGCAAGUGUUUGCCACAGAUGCAUGCCCACAAUACCAUAUAAAGAAUUAUUAGUAUAGUUCCGGUUAUCUGAAAUAUGACUGUUUGUUAUCCUAGUUUUAGUAUUCCCCCCCCCAUUCCCAACAGUAGCUUGGGUUUCGCACAUGUAUAAAUAUGUUAAUAAAUACUACUUUAAGUAUAAACAUUCCUUGCCCAUUUCUAGCUGAAUCUUCUCCUGUUUGAAAUUCCUUCUUCUCAUUUUUUUAUAACUUUAUUUUGGUGGUGAUGGUGGUGUAAGAAACAGCUAUUAAACAAGGAAGGAGAAUAAAGUUUUUCCUUUUUUGGCACUGAAAUAGGUGCAUUGCAUCGGUAAUACUAAUAUUAUAUGCUUUUGAUUCCCUUUAUUCUUGUGUUAUAUUGUAUAUACAAAUGGGUUUAUCUAAUUUAUUCUAGUUCUUUUGGGUAUGUAUCACGUUGGGUAUUGCCAAUGUCCUUUCUCGGCACUGAAAAUAGGUGCAGUUUGGUAUUGUAACUUAUUUGCAUUGUGAUUUGAGAAUCCUUGGUUUACAAUUCCAGGUGUAUGGGGCUCUACGCAUGUCAGUGAAAAUGUUUUUGAUGUGGAAUUCUAAAUUGCUUAUAGAUGGAGGUGGGGAUUCAGGCGUUGUAACAUCCUUGCUUGAGGCCAGUAACUUAAUUGUUCUUCGGGUAAUUUAAUCACAACUUCCCCCACAUUUAUUUUUUGUAGCCUUCCAUUUUAAAGCAUCUCAUUCUUUUAUUUUUUGAUAUAGGAAUCAUCUGUUAUACAUUCUAAUGCUAACCUGGGAGUCCAUGGACAAGGUUUAUUGAACUUGUCAGGUCCUGGAGAUUGGAUUGAAGCCCAGCGGCUGGUUCUGUCUUUAUUUUAUAGUAUUCAUGUAAGUAUCACUAAAUUUGAUCUUUGUUUAACUAUCAGUUUAUUUAUCUCAUACAUACAUAUACAUACAUGUGUACAUACAUACAUACUUGCUUACAUACGUACGUAUGUGUUUUUUUUCGAUAAAAGAAUACUUAGGAAAUUAUACAAGGAAACAAUGAGAGAAGCAUCCACGAUCAAUCUAUCUCCUGGAAUGAAAUGGGGAUGAUCUUGGGUAAUUCUGUUUGGAAGGACAUUUUUGAGUCUUUGUAAAUGAACUUGGGGAAUGAUUUUGCAUAUGCAAGAAAUGGAACUUGUAGGUUUAGCAUUCAUGGUUUUCCAUCUGUCUUCUUUGGAAUGGGAAAUUGUAGGUCUCGUCCAAGUUAGGAUUGAUGAUCCUUUUUUUUGAUAGAAUCAGGGAACACCCUGGGCAUAUUCGUCUUUUAAGUUAUCCAUGAUCUUUUGUGGCAUUCUAUUGUAUAGCCAAUUGAACCUGGAACUUUAUUGUUCUCGUUCUAUGAGAAACGUAGAUUGGACCUGUUUCUCAAUGUGUGGUUUGGUAUGUUUAUUGUUUUUGUGUUUGAUUAUUAAUUUGGUUAUCCAUUUUGGGAAAAAGGUUGGCCCCGGAUCUAUUUUACGAGGGCCUGUAGAUGAUGCAACAAAAAAUGCUGUGUAAGUUUGAAACUGGCCUUUGUUUCUUAUCUCUUGCGUAUCAGUUAUCCUUUCAAACCUACUAAUUUUCAUUUUCGCAUUCCAUAGAACUCCUAAGCUCUACUGUGAAGACAAAGACUGCCCCGUGGAACUAUUUUAUCCUCCUGAAGAUUGCAAUGUGAACUCAUCACUUGCUUUCACUCUCCAGGUGCUUAUCAGAAUGGAACGGAGUAUGCCAUGGAUUUUACAUUUCUGUAGUGAUAUGACACUUUGUUACCUUUUCAGAUCUGCAGAGUUGAAGAUAUCACUGUAGAGGGACUUAUCAAAGGUUCGGUUGUUCAUUUCCACAGGGCAAGAACAAUAACUGUCCAGUCUCAUGGGAUGAUCAGUGCAUCUGGGAUGGGUAGGUUGAUUCGUGUCCUCAUGUAUCACAUGCUUGGGUUUUCAUUUAUUUUUUUUGCUUUGCCAUGCAUCCUCACACUCACACCCAAAAGUUCUGAUAUAUAGGGGCUUAAUUUUGAAGUUCUAAUAAUAUGAUAAUUGAUAAACAAGCUUACCCCUAUCUUAUAUUAACUGACAAUGUGCUGUUCUGUUUUGCAUUGGAAGCUAAUUUUUGUAUGACUUAGUGGCGUGUUAGAUUUUUGGAGUCUGUUAGAGUUUUAAGAGAGAAGUGUUGUCACCAAGUGGAAUAAGCAAUGAGGGCAGUAACUUUCAUGGAGAAUUUUGCACGAGGCUUACUCCAGGAGAAGUUCUGGUUUCAGAGAAUUGUCUGGAUUAUCUCUUGUUAGGAGAAACUUCCCCGGGAGUAUUUAUGGUAGGAGAAACAAAUUUGGGAAAUGUUCAGUAAAAAACUUCUUUCUGGAGUUUCAUCUCUAAUUUAAUGUUUUUCUUACAAAAAAAGUUUUUUCAAUUUUUAUAACUACGUUUUUGUUAUCCCUUGAAUUUUCACUUGGGUUGAUGCCUUAUCACUGAUACUAAUGUUUAAUAAAAUAUCAAUUGUAUCCUAUCCAGUAUCCACUCCGUCCCUUCGGAAAAAUCAAGGAAAAACCAUACAAGGAUUACUGACAAAGGGAGGGUGCUUAGGUUCAAAGUUGCCUAGAGAACUAUCUUUCUACUUGUCAAUUCUAUUCACUUGUUUUUUGUUUCUAGCUUAUACAAUGUAGCCGUAUUUGGUUGGAAAAAACACUUCUUUUUCUUUUCUAAUUUGAACAUUUUUGCAAUUGCAGGGUGCACUGGAGGUGUGGGAAGAGGGAAUGCCAUAGGCAAUGGUAUAUACAGUGGUGGUGGGUAUGGUGGUAGAGGUGGGGUAGGAUGCUUCGAUAAUAACUGUGUCCCAGGUGGCAUCUCUUAUGGGGAAGCAGAUCUUCCCUGUGAGCUUGGUAGCGGUAGCGGAAAUGACAGUUUAGCCAGUUUCUCUUCAGGAGGAGGCAUUAUAGGUGAGUUUAUAUUGCAUGUUCUUUGUGGGAUGUUCUUUUCAAUUUUGAGACCUUAUUCUAGAUGAAUAAGCUUCUAUUAAAUUAGCUCAAUAGUCAUUUAAUUCCUUUACUAUAUUUUUGUUAUAUAUGCAGUGAUGGGCUCAUUAGCGCAUCCGUUGUCAAGCUUGCUCAUUGAAGGCUCAGUGACAUCUGAUGGAGACAAUUUCAACGGAACUGCAGGAGUAAAAAAGUUGACUGAUAUUCAAGAGUCUACAGGCCCUGGGGGAGGAUCUGGUGGAACUAUUCUUUUGUUU
rnacentral:lncRNA from 1 species